rnacentral:lncRNA from 1 species
AGUACAGACUCAAUCGGAUGAAUCAACGGAGCCCUAGUGUUCAAGCUUCCAUCCUUGCGGUAAACUUAAGUGGUGGCUUCAAGAAAUGGAUAAUCAGUGUAACCAAUGACGGGAUCAGUGUGUAAAAUGUCUCUCUGUUGUACUUGUUUAGAGGAGCAUUAAGUUCAAAUCUCUUUGGCAAAUCCGGAUUCGCCAAGAAAAUACGGCCAUAAGCAAUAAGAUCUGCACGGCCCUCGCCCACAGCUCUGUUUCCAUCUUCCCUGUGAUAACUGUAAAUCAUUGUGUAUGUUGAUGAAGAAAGAAUAUGCAGGAAGAAAGACAGAGAGAAAUGUAGAAGAAUAAGAGAGUAAGAGAGUUUAGAGAGUAGAGAGAGAAUCAAGAAUUGUAUUUUCUUUCUAGUUAGUUACAACUGACUAUUACAACAUGUAUUUAUUUGUAUUGGUAGCUUACACUCUAAGCCACACAAUAACCACCUUAACUAACUCUUAUAUCACAGCUAUAGAAUCUUAGUACACCUAUCAUCCCCCCUCAAGCUCAGGGGCAGAGAAAUUGAGCCUGAGAUUGGCACAAUGAGUCUGAAAGAGUGGUGUAGAAAGACCCUUGGUGAGGAUAUCUGCAAACUGCUCAGUAGACGAUACAAACUGAACAUGUAGUUGCUGUUUUGCAACCCUUUCUCGAACAAAAUGGACAUCAACCUCAAUAUGUUUCGUACGUUGAUGUUGAAUUGGAUUGCAAGUCAGUGCAAUUGCAGACAGGUUGUCACAGAAAAGUAAUGGGGGCUCGGCCAAAGGAAUCUGCAAGAACGACAACAGAGAUUUAAUCCAAUCCAAUUCAGCCGCUGUAGUAGAGAGAGCUCGAUAUUCAGCCUCAGUUGAUGAGCGAGAGACAGUGUGUUGUUUCUUAUACAUCCAUGAAAUGGGAUUAGACCCCAAGAACACCACCAUUCCAGUUGUGGACCGUCUAUCGUUCGGAUCACCCGCCCAGUCUGCAUCACUAUAGGCAGUAAGAUCAAGGGAACCUCGAAUAUACUGAAUACCACAGCCUCGAGUAGCCUUUAAGUACCUAAGAAUCCGUUUGACAGCCAUAAAGUGGGAGUCCAUUGGUCGCUGCAUAAACUGGCAGACCUGAUGCACUGCGAAAACAAUGUCAGGCCGCGUAAAAGUCAAGUACUGGAGAGCACCAACCAAGCUCCUGUACAUUGUAGGAUUAUUAUAAGGCUUGCCAUCAUUGCUGAGAAGACGGUUGUAAGGCAAACAUGGAGUAUCACACGGUUUGGACAAUAGCAUAUCAGAUUUAGUAAGCAGAUCCGUAACAUACUUGUCUUGAGAGAGAAACAAACCAUUCUUGUUCUGUACAAUUUGAAUGCCUAGAAAAUAAUGAAGAGGUCCCAAGUCUUUCAUAUCAAACUCAUGAGUAAGAGCUUGAAUAACCUCAGUGAUAGCUUGUGGAUGGCUGCCUGUGAUGAUAAUAUCAUCAACAUACAACAACAGAAUCACCACAUAUGUGUCAACAGUUUUUACAAAUAAAGAUGAAUCUGCAAAUGUAGACUUGAACCCUAAGGAAGGUAGAAAAGUAGUGAACCUUUCAUUCCACCUGUGGUGCCUGUUUCAACCCAUAAAGCGAUUUAUGUAAUCGACAAACAUAAUCUUCAUGUUUAAGAUCAACAAACCCAGGUGGCUGUGUCAUGUAGACCUCUUUCUUGUAAAUAUGCCAUGGAGGAAGGCAUUUUUCACAUCUAAUUGUCUCAAUGUCCAACCAAAGUUUGCUGAUAAAGCUAGAACGAUUCUCACUGUUGUAGGUUUAACAACAGGGCUAAAAGUCUCUCCAUAAUCGAUUCCUUCUUCUUGAUUAAAGCCUUUUGCCACCAGCCGUGCCUUAUACCUCCCAAUUGAGCCAUCAGCAUUCUUUUUUAUCUUAUAUACCCAUUUACACCCGAUUAAAUUCUUGUGACGGGGCAAUGGAACCAAUGACCAUGUUCCCUGAUUAUGCAAAGCCAAUAUCUCAUCUUGCAUAGCAUUAAACCAAACUGGGGAUUUCAACGCAGACUUAUAUGUUGCAGGUUCCACUUAUGUCAAAUCAACCCCCCCAUGUUCAUGAACCUGAGCAAGUAAAGCAAGCUUCUUAAUAAUACCACUUUUGGAUCGUGUCUGCAUAGGAUGGAAGUUCACUGGGGGAACAGAGAGAACCACUUGGAGCUGCUCAGGUUGGAAUUCAGGUACCACAGGAGGUGCAGGGGAGAAGGGUUGUGUAGUUGGAGAAGUAAUGGAAUGAGUAGCAGUUGAAUUUCCUGCACUGUCAGGUGAACCUGUAAUUGGAACCGUAGUGGAGGCUGCUGAAAGUUGCUGGAGUACCAGAUUUGGCAUGCCACUAGAGAUAGAAUCUGAGCUUAAUGAUGCAGGACACUCAGUGUAGGGAUUAAGUGACUCGUGUAACACAAGUACAUUACUAUGAUUAGGAACUGGAAUUGGUGUUUGAGAAUGUGAUGGAGGUGGUGAAAUAGUGGUACAGUGAGAUUUAGAGACCAAAGAACGAUAAGGAAACUCUGUCUCAUCAAAUAAAACAUGUCUAGAAAUAUACAUUUUGUUUUUAGAAGCAUCAUAACAAAGAUAGCCUUUAUAGUUAGAUGCAUAUCCCAAAAAGAUACAUUUUGCAGUGCGGGGAUCUAACUUGGUAUGAGUAUAAGGCCUUAACCAAGGAUAACAAGAACAGCCAAAUAUUUUCAAAUGUGUUAUUACUGGUAUGGAAUUGUGCAGCAAUUGAAACGGAGAUAAAUUUCCCAAGGAAGAAGAUGGCAUUCUAUUAAUGAGGUACACUGAGGUUUUGCAGGCAAAAGACCAAAACACUGAGGGUAAGGAAGCAGACUGUAGCAAAGCAAUGGAAAUUUCAAUAAUAUGCCUGUGUUUUUGUUUAGCUAUUCCAUUCUGUUCGGGUGUGUAAGGACAGGAAAGUUGGUGCUUAAUUCUUUUAUCAGACAAAAAUUGUUGAAAUGCUUUGUUUAUGUAUUCACCACCACCAUCACUGUGAAGAGUUUUAAUGGCUACUUGAAACUGAUUUAAGAUGAAAUUGUAUAAAGAAACAAAUAUACCCGAAACAUCACUUUUAUUGCACAUGGGAAAAAUCCAGCAAUAUUUUGUACAAUGGUCAAUGAAAGUGACAUAAUAUCUAAAUCCAUCUAGAGACACACAAGGAGCAGGACCCCACACAUCACUGUGAACAAGAUCAAAAGGUUUUACAGAUUUAUCUACGGAGGAAGGAAAUGGGAGUUUACUGAAUUUGCCCUCUAAACAUGGGUGACACAGUGAAGGUGUUUGAUCAGCAACACAAAGAACAUGUGAGGAUUCUAAAAUGCGGGAAACAAUUGAAUUAGAGGGAUGACCUAAUCUCUUAUGCCAAAUACUGGUAGUAACUUGUUGUCCCAGAAAAGCUGCAAGGUUCCUUUUGUGGAUGACUGCAGGAGAACUUGGUGAGAUGAUCGGAUACAAACCAUUGUUACACAGCCCUUUGUAAAGCACCCUCCCUGUGGCUUUGUCGUGAGAGAUAGCUAAACCUUCACCAUUUGCAGUCUGAAUAGUCUCAUUAGACGGAUAUGGAGUGGACAAGGAAAGAUUUCCCAAGUCUGAAGUCAUAUGAUUAUUUGCACCUGAAUCAGUAAGCGAAAUUUGCUGCUGUGGAGGAGGAGAUGGCACUGAGAAAGAAGGAUUAGGACCAUUGAGUGUUGCAGCAUGCAUAGCACUCAUUUGAGGAUUGGCAUUCUUUUGAAAACAUGUUUCUGCAGUAUGAUUGGAGUUCCCACAAAUAAAGCAGCCUGAGGGACCACUUGUAUUUCGAAAUCUACAGGUAUCAGCCAUAUGGUUGUGCUUCCCACAAAUUUGGCAACCUUGUGAAACAUUCAUGUUUCGAAAACGACAUGUAGAAGCCAAAUGAUUUGACUUCCCACAUAUUUGACAAAGUUAAGGCUGAAACCCAUAAAUCUGUGUUCUUGGCGGAGAAGCACCAAGAAUGCCAGGUGCAGGAUUUGAAGAGAAGUUCUUUUUAUUACCAUAUCUCGGAUUGAAUUAGAACCAAAACGAUUUCUGCCUUUACCAUUGUGAUUAAAAGACCUGUAUGCAUUUGUAUUGGAACUAGGAUAAUUUCCACCAGAACCUGAAAAAGACUGAUUCUUGGACACCAAGUCAUUGUUCUGUGCCAUUAGUGCAGACAAAACAGGUGAUGCAGAAAUGGUUUCAAUCAAUGCUUCUUCAGCCAACAAUUGAGAACGAAGAUCUUUCAACGAUAUCACAGUUUCACGACCCCGAAUCACAGAUCUUAUAGUAUUAAAUUCAGCAGGCAGACCAUUCAAUGUAAGAAUCACCAUAUCAUCAUCAUCAAAGAAAACACCAGCAGCAAAUAGUAAAUCCCGUGCUUCUUUAAUCUUCUGCAAAUACACAGUGAUAGAAUCAUUACCCUUCUUUAUAUUUUGCAGUUCAGAUUUGAGUUGAAAGAUACUGGUUCUUGUGAUAGUUGAGAACUGUUCUUUAAGCCUAGUCCACAAUUCUUUGGAACUGGUACUACCAAUCGCACAAGAAAUCCCAGCAGGGGACAAGGUUGCAGUGAUCAACUGCAUUAAUGCUUUAUCAUGCAUCUUCCAUACUCUGUAAUCAUCCGAUUGAACUUGGGUAGUAGAACCCCCAGAUAAUUCUUGGCAAAAUUGGUCAGGACAAGGAAUCGAGCCAUCAACAAACCCAAUUAUACUAUGGCCUUCAAGCAGGAGCUCCAUCUGAAAAUGCCAAGCCAAAUAAUUUGUUUCAUCCAACUUCACAUUAACUGAACUUGAAACCGACGAGAUCAAAGAAGCAAUCGGAGACUGAAGAAUAUGUAACUGAGUAGCAGUCACCAUUGUUACCAAUUAGGAGAAAAAUCCCAAGAAAUCUUGACAGAGGAAUAACCACAAACACUUGGUGGGUGUACUUUGAUCGAGAACGAAUCAAAGGAAGAAGAAGACUAAACCAGCCCAAAUUUUAACACAAGAAAUCACAGCAAGGAGAAGUAAUAGGGUAGAAGCGGAAGCAACCAUAACCAAGAUCGAAAUCCGUCAAGCUUUCAUGCUUGUUCCGGCGAUGAUACCAUGUAAACCAUUGUGUAUGUUGAUGAAGAAAGAAUAUGCAGGAAGAAAGGCAGAGAGAAAUGUAGAAGAAUAAGAGAGUAAGAAAGUUUAGAGAGUAGAGAGAGAAUCAAGAAUUGUAUUUUCUUUCUAGUUAGUUACAACUGACUAUUACAACAUGUAUUUAUUUGUAUUGGCAGCUUACACUCUAAGCCACACAAUAACCACCUUAACUAACUCUUAUAUCACAGCUAUAGAAUCUUAGUACACCUAUCAAUAACCACCACCAGCAAUGAAGGUACCAUGGAAAGCCUUUCUCAUGGGAAGAAGACUCUGGUGGGUUUCAGCUUUUUCUCCUAAUGUCUUCAUCCUCGGCUCAACCAUGUGGCAGUACACGAUUCCAUAUUUGUUCAAGGCAUUGGCCAUAUAGAGGCCUAAUUCUUUUGGAUUUGAAUCCCCUGAGUCCAUAUAGUCAGCAAAUGGAGAUAAUCUAAUUCCAACUUUAUCUGCUCCUAUUUCGUUAGCGACAGCUUCAACAACUUCCAGAGGAAGGCGGCAACGAUUCUCUAGAGAUCCACCAUAUUGGUCUGUUCGAUCAUUCACAUGAUCUUUCAGAAACUGAUCAAGAAGGUAGCCAUGCGCCCCAUGAAUUUCAACUCCAUCGAAGCCUAUAUAGCAGAUUAACAAUUUCAACAUACUGACGGUAUUAGAACCCUAAGCAUUGUCGCUGAAUUACCAAACAAAUAAUAUAAAGACAAACUACCGGCUUCAAUAGAAUUCCUUGCAUAAGCUUUGAAGCAAAUUGAGUUGUUGUAAAUUAUGUUUCAUAUGUAACGUAAAGACAAAUUACCAGCUUCAAUAGAAUUCCUUGCAGUAAGUCUAAAAUCAUUGACAAUUUGCGGAAUUUCAUCCGUCCUUAAUCGUCUUGGAGGCGUGAAUUCAGAAGCAUCGAUGCCAUUUAAUCGUAUCGGCUUGUCAGUAGAAGAUAUGGGAGCUUGCCCAUUUGGUUGAUAACCUGUAAGCAAGGAGAGAGAAUUACAACCUGAAGUCUAACGACAGUAACUAACAUCCACAGCAGCACUCUUUUAAGUGGGAAUCCUUUGUUACAAAUUACUAUAACCACACGUGCUAUAUACUAGUUCUGAAUUCUGAGUUAUGUUAACAUCAAGCUUCUUCCCAUCCAAUAAUAAUAAUAACAAUGCUUCCGAAGCAGCAAAGUCAUAACAAGUCCAACUCGGAACUUAACAAGUCCAAGUUUUAUCGUCAUUUUGAGCAACAAUGUUGUCAAUUAUAAUCACUAGCUCGUUCUGAUGCAUACACCAUUAUGUUAUACAUCAAACUUCUUAAUCGGUCUAAUUAUUCACUCAUGUUAACAAAGCAUACUAUGGUAAAAGUGUUGUGCCUUGGCCCGUUUAUCAGUGCGGAAACGAGAUUCAGAUUACAACCUCACCAUAAUCACACUCAGUUGAACAGAAUAAAAUACAAGAAAUAAAGACACCGAGAAAUUUACGAGGUUCGGCAAAAAUCCUGCCUACGUCCCCGGAGAGAUAUUGCUCUUCACUAUGAGAAUAACAGUACAAGUACACAUGAGUUAAAUCAACAUAACCCAAUCCCGAAUCCCUUGCACACCCACUCAUAGAAUUUUCCCAAGAGCCUCACUCUAUCCCAAGAGUUCUUUCACCAGAGACCUUUCACUCUAGCUCUCUUGAUUUCUCUCUCACCCGUGUUCAACCCUUCCCAUGGGAGAGCUGAAUGCUCUCCCCUUUUGGAUGCUCACUCCAUCCUCACAAUCGGCAAGCUCUCUUCAUUUUGUGUGUGAAAAAUGCCUUCACUUAUAGACAUGCACCAUCAAUUAUGUCAACCACAAAACAUGCUUCCACAAAACAUGCUUCCUCAAAACAUGCUUCCACAAAACAUGCUUCCACAAAACAUGCUUCCAAAGUCCACAAAGUUGAGAGGAAAUGGUUGCCAACUCAUAAUUAUAUGAGCCAAACACAACAAUCUCCACCUUGGCGAAUAUACUGUGCAAAAAUCCUUGCACCCAUCACCAAUGUCCAUUGGCCUUACGUACCAGCAUACACAUUCUGAAUCAACCUUGUUGGUCCUGUUCCUGAUUCAGUCACUGCCAAUGCAUGUGCAGCUGCUGCAAGCUAAAAAUCACCAUUUAGCUUCAGACAGGAUCUCGACACAUCCUCGUCUCCUCCAGCAGGUUUUCCUUCUCUUCAUUGUCUGCAACUAGGAAACUCGUCAGCGCGCCCGUUUCCAGUAACAACCCAUCGAGCCAGACAAAAUUCCCACACUUCCUCCUACCUCAUGAUCAUCUCAUCACCUGUGAAUCCCAUAGCUCCACCUGCUGCAAAACCCCUGCAACACUUGAGACUAAACAUCACCAGGAGAAGUGUUGCUUCGAGUACCUAGAGGACAUACUCAAAGUCUUCCGCCACAAACUUGCUACAACCCGGCCUUGCACCGUAGCACUGUGGACCCUUGCCUCCGGAACCGGAUCUGAACCUGCUGUCUCUCUCUGAUCCUCUUUCCAAUUUUCUUCCACGAUUCCAACCUUGAAUAACUUAAGCAGUCUUGUGCCCACCAUCAUCCAUGGUCUCCUUUGUGUAUCAUUCCACACCAAAGAAGCUUGCACCUGCUCCAAACUUACUGUAUCUUUCCAUGCAGUAAAGUUUCACAAGGUUCUAAGACAAAUCUGAAAGUGAGGUAAGAAGAAAGAGGCCUUUGUUUUCUUCCUCAACAUCAACUUUCGCAGUUGAUCCAAGCAUCCCUGAACACGGCUUCCAUUACUCUCCUUUGCCAAGAGUAAAACCGCCUCUUCCUUUAAACUGCUCAACUGAAAAUUCCAUGGUGAACAACAAAUCUGGACCUCCAACGAACCAAAGACUCCAACGAUGCUCUGAUACCAAUUGUUAUGCCUUGGCCCGUUUAUCAGUGCGGAAACGAGAUUCAAAUUACAACCUCACCAUAAUCACACUCAGUUGAACAGAAUAAAAUACAAGAAAUAAAGACACCGAGAAAUUUACGAGGUUCGGCAAAAAUCCUGCCUACGUCCCCGGAGAGAUAUUGCUCUUCACUAUGAGAAUAACAGUACAAGUACACAUGAGUUAAAUCAACAUAACCCAAUCCCGAAUCCCUUGCACACCCACUCAUAGAAUUUUCCCAAGAGCCUCACUCUACCCCAAGAGUUCUUUCACUAGAGACCUUUCACUCUAGCUCUCUUGAUUUCUCUCUCACCCGUGUUCAACCCUUCCCAUGGGAGAGCCGAAUGCUCUCCCCUUUUGGAUGCUCACUCCAUCCUCACAAUCGGCAAGCUCUCUUCAUUUUGUGUGUGAAAAAUGCCUUCACUUAUAGACAUGCACCAUCAAUUAUGUCAACCACAAAACAUGCUUCCACAAAACAUGCUUCCUCAAAACAUGCUUCCACAAAACAUGCUUCCACAAAACAUGCUUCCUCAAAACAUGCUUCCACAAAACAUGCUUCCACAAAACAUGCUUCCAAAGUCCACAAAGUUGAGAGGAAAUGGUUGCCAACUCAUAAUUAUAUGAGCCAAACACAACAAAAAGGGAGGUCAUAAAGGUGUAAGUCAGAAACGCACCGCUAUUAGAAACCCUUCCAGCAUGCCAAAUCUGACAGAAGAAGACGCCACCUUUAGCAUGAACAGCAUUAACAAUGGGUUUCCAGGCUUCAACUUGCUCCUUUGUCCAUAUACCAGGUGUGUUUGGGUACCUUCGUAUAUUAAAGAACCAAAAAUUUCAUCAAACUUUGAAACGAAAGAAGCACCCUCAAAUGCUUGUUAGUCUAUGAAUCUACUGUUGUUGAAAUUACCCUUGAGCUGUGUUGGAAACUCCAGCGGCUUCAGCUAUGAGAAGACCCCCGUUCGAAGUUCUCUGAGAGUAAUAUAAGAUAGCAUGUGGUUGAGGAACAUUGUUGUAUGAUCUCUGUCUGGUCAAUGGUGCUAAAACAAUUCUGGAAAGGAAAAAGCAAUUGUAAAUUAUAAAUACAGAGUGAUCAAGACGGAAUGUGGCUGAGGAACAUUAUCGAAUGAUCUGUUUCUAGUCAUCAACGGUGAAAAUACAAUUCUAAAGAGGAAAAACAUAUAACAAACCAUAAAUACAACCUUCAGACUUUGUAGGAAGCAUUAGUUUGCUAAGGCUCUUUGAUAACAAAUUCGCUUUUAGUUUUCUUGUUUUAGUUAAAAAGGAGAAACGAGGGAGGAAGAAGGAAUUUGGGACGAAAAUGUAUGAAAUAAAAACUCGAAUUGUAGAUUAUCUGAAUUUGCUAAGGCUCCUUCAUAACAAAUUCGCUUUUAGUUUUCUUGUUUUACUUAAAAAGGAGAAACGAGGGAGGAAUAAGGAAUUUGGGACGAAAAUGUGUGAAAUAAAAACUCUAAUUGUAGACAAUCUGAAUUUGCUUUAUGUUCUUCAUUUUCGGUAUCAUUCCAUGAACAUUUGGUCCCUCAUCCAUCCCUUCCCCUUCCCCUUCCUCCUCCUCCUCCUCUUCUAUCAUGCAUUUUCUCUUUUACUUAAAAUUAAAAACUAAAAAUCAAAUACGAAAUCGUUACCAAACACAACCUAAACAAAGCAAUGUCUUACGAAGUGACCAUGGCCGAAAGGGCACAUACUUUUAACAAUCUAUUGCAUCUAUUUUCAACAAUUAAUCAAUGAAAUAACUCAAGUGUACUGUUGUUUUGAUUUAAUUUGUAACAUCUGUACUAUUUUAUAGACAAAGAUACAGUUACUCUUUUUUUUUUUUUAGGUAAACUAGAAUUACACCAGGGCAAAGCCAGAGUACAACAGGAAAGCCCACACAGAGGACUAACAUAGCUAAAACCAUUGAGACGACAAACAACAAAAUGAUCCAGGGCCAAGGACCAACACUAGUCCCGACAUUAUGUCACCCUUAAUCAUUCCAACAUAGACUCAACUUAGUGUGGGCAAGGUAGACCAUCCUUGUUCAACUUCUUGUCUCCUUCCCAACAUCUGUACUAUUUUAUACCAACAUGAUUCUCUCUGGAUUCUUUUGGUGAGAAUCUUGUCCGUUCAUCGUACAUCGUGCGAUCAGUUUUUGUCAAAUAAUUUUGUGUUUAAUUUUAAAUAAAAAUAUUUAAAAUAAUUUUUUACUGCACGAUAUACGAUGAACGGACAAAAUAACGGAUUUUCAGGAUUCUCACAAAGAGAAUUCGACGAGUAUCCGGAUUCUAUUUUAUAGACAAAGAUACAGUUACAAACACUCCUUGUCUCCUUCCCCAAAUCAUUCUUCGUUUUUGUAAAAUAGGAACAAUGUAUGAAAGUUUUAAUUACCUAUGAGAAAGAUUGAAGUUUCCAAUUUGUAGGGAGUGAGGAGAGGAACUGUGGGAGGUUGAGCAGCAGCAGACAUCUCAGAAUUCGAGUCGGUCGUCUACCACCUGAUCUUGCACUUGGCCUUUUAUACUGGAUUCUGGGAUGAAGGAAGGAAGGAAUGAAUGAAAACAGGACCCAAUUGGGUCUUUAUACGUUCGGUAGGAGCUUAAAAGUCCGCCCUGCAGCUUUCCUCCACAAAAGUCAGAGAAGGCCGGGUCCCACAUCUCCCCUCCCUUGUGUGGUGGUGGCGGCGGCGGACGUCGGUGGGUGGACGAUGGAUCUCUCCAAAGCAUUAAUUAAACCGAUUAGGUGAAGACAGGUAGGAAGGUUUGAUGAGGUCUGUAAUUACGUUUACGUGGGUUGAAAAUUCACCAGUUUUAUGAGGUCUGUAAUUACGUUUGCGUGGGUUGAAAGUUCACCAGUUUUCCCCAUGAAAAAGGACGUCUACGCACGUUCAUUUCGAUUUUGCUUUUUCAUCCUGCAUUAUUAGGCCAUGGUUAGAAAAAUAUAUUAUUUAGGUCCUUAAGGCCACCUCCAAUCAGAAGGGUUAAAACAUAAUCUCAUAUAGAAUUAUAAUUUUGUAAAAAAAUUAAUUUUAAAUUAAUAGUGUCAGAUCAUAUUCAUAUACUAUCUAUAACCAAAUGAGCUAAACAUAGCCUCAUCAAUUUCCGAUGGAUAGCUAGACUAAAAUUCUAUGGAGCUCAUCAAGCCAUCAUUUGGCUAAAGGGGCAUUGGGUUGGCCAAAUGUAGCCCCCCUUCUUAGCCCUUUUUGGAGCUCAGCUCCUCUACUGCACUAUUUGAGUCAAAUUCAACAACUAUGUUUGAAAACAUUUAAUGGAAGUUUAAUUAAAUUAAUCGAUAAAUUUAAUAUAUAAACUUAAAACUAAGUAAUUAUUGAGAAGGUUAUGUUUAGCCACUUCAGUGACGGUAUAUAAGUAUGACGCGAUAUUGUUCAGUCAUUUCGGUUGAAGAUGGCCUAAGGUAAGAAUUUUGAGGAUAUGUGAGACUAAUGUAUGUUAGUUACAAAAUUAUGUUUGUAUAGAUCACUUGAAAUAUUUGACAACUUAAUAAAGAAAAACCAACUUAAAAUCCAUGAACCAUUAGAAAACUCAUUUUCUUUUUUGGUUUUAUUAAGUUGUCAAAUAUUUAAGCUUUUGAAUACAAACUAAUAUAAUCUUGUGGCUAAUAUACAUUUGGUCCUCACAAAUCUUUAAAAUGAAGACCUUACUUGAUCAAUGAAUUUAUGACAAAUUAAAUAGUCUAAAAAUAAAAGGCUCGAAUUAGGGCUAGGUUCGGUUCAAAUCGGUUCAAUUUUUUUUUUCGGUUUUGGUUUUUUUUUGGUUCCGGUUCGGUUUUUUCCGUGAUUUUUUUAAAUCUUUUUUAUUUUUGUCAAAAAUAUAAAGAAGAGUAAUUUUACUUUUUGUUUCCGAUGAACUAAGAAAUUAAAGAAGGAACUUGAAUUAAAACUAGGGCAACUCGCAAUGAUGGCUGCAUCAAACAAAUCAUCCAUAUCUACAAUAUGAACAGAAACCUUUGUAAAUCAUAAAGUCCUUAAUGCUAAAUCCUUUAAGAACCAAGACUUGAAAACCCUAAAUCUGCAAUACAAACCCACAAGUAAGAAACAAACCCACAACACAAAAAUCGAACAAAUCUGCAAUACAAACCAAACUCCCUCCAUGGCGCCAUGUCACUGCCUCCGUUUUCCGGCCAAACCAAGGCGAUUUAGCCCAAAAAAAAGGUACAUCUUCGUCUCAUCUAGAAGUAUGAUUUUUGUUUUUGAAUCACUUGAUUUCGUUGAGUAUUCAAGAAGUUAUGAACGUUUAAAGUUUACCCAGUUUCUGGCGAGUUUCCAAGUUUUCCCUCGUACCAAUCAACUUUGAGGCUAUUUUCCCGCCAUCUCCAGCAACCAUUGGGCUUCCAAAUAGGUUUAAUCUUAUUAUAUAUUUUCCUAUCUUCAUUUUGAUAUUUUAUGGGUCGAAUUUGGUUAAGAAACGAUUAAGUUACAAAGCUUUGAAAAUUGCCCAAGAACUCCGGGACACUUAACGGAGUUUUUAACGGAAGGACCAAAAUGAUGGAUGGUGGACAAUCUCAAGGACCACUUUUAUCGAUUUGAAAUGUUAGGGACCAAAGUGAAGAGUUAUGCAAAUCUCAGGGACUAUUUUGACUAUUUAGCCUUUUUUUUUCCUAAACGAAAAAUAUUUUUUUUAAAUGAAGAUAGAAAAGUGUAGAAUAAGAUUAUACCUAUUUGGAAGCCCCAAUGGCUGCCGGAGAUAGCCGGAAAAUAGCCUCAAAGUUGACUGGUCUGAGGGAAAAUUGGAAAACUCGCCGGAAACUGGGUAAACUUUAAACGUUCAUAACUUCUUUAAUACUAAACUAAAUCAAGUGAUUCAAAAACAAAAAUCAUACUUCUCGAUGAGACGAAGAGAAUGGUACCUUUUUAGACAGUUUAAAUUGCGGUGGUUUGGCCAUAAAAGGCUAAAUAGUGUCUAACUCGAGACUAAGACAGCAUUUAUAGAACCGUUUUCUGCCAAACCACAGUGAAUUUACCCUUCAAAUAGGUACCAUUCUCUUAUUAUCGUCGAGAAGUAUGAUUUAGUUUUGAAUAACUUGAUUCGUUUAGUAUUGAAGAAGUUAUGAAUUUAAAGUUACUCAGUUUCUGGUGAGUUUUCCAGUUUUCCUUCGGACCAGUCAACUUGAGGCUAUUUUCCGGGCUAUCUCGGCAGCCAUUGGGCUCAAUAGGUAUAAUCUUAUUCUACACUUCUAUCCAAUUAUUAAGGCUAAAUAGUCAAAGCUUUGGAAAACCCACACAGAAAAAGUUCGCAACACUAACUUAACCAAAUUCGCCAAUAUCAAAGCCCCUGGAAGGGAGCCUCCCUCCAUGGUGGAAUGUCACUGCCUCCUUUUACCGAUUUGCGAAGCCCAAAAAGGGAGUUAUGCAAAUAGAAGAGAUUUUGUUUUUUUUCUUUUUUUUUCCCUAAACGAAAAUAAUUUUUUUUAGGUUUUACCCAAUAAGAUGGGAAGCCCUGGCUGCCGCGAAUAGACGAAAAUAGCCUUCAAAGUUGACUGGUCUGAUGGGGAAAAUUGGAAAACUUGACUACUGGGUUAAACUUUUAAACGUUUCAUAAGAUUAAUAAUAAAACUAAUUUUGGUGAUUCAAAACAAAAAUCAGGGACUUCUCAUGAGACGAAUAUAAAGAAUUGGUCACCCUUUUUAGACAGUUAAAAUUGCCCAUAAAGGCUAAUAAGUGUUCUAACUCGAGACUAAGACAGCCAUUUUAGAACCGUUUUGGGCCAAACCACAGUGAUAGCCUUCAAAAUAGGUACCAUUCUCUUAUUAUCGUCGAGAAGUAUGAUUUAGUUUUGAUAAACUUGAUUUCGUGAGUAUUGAGAAGUUAUGAACAUUUUAAAGUUACUCAGUUUCUGGUGAGUUUUCAGUUUUCCUUCGGACCAGUCAACUUUGAGCUAUUUUUCGGGCUAUCCCGGCAGCAUUGGGCUUCCAAAUAGGUAUAAUUCUUAUUCUACACUUUCCUAUCUUCAUUUGUUUAUUAAUUUGGUUUAAGAAAAGAGUUAUGUUAUGAAGCUUCUAAAGAACUCCGGGUCCAAAAACUUCUAAAGGCCAAACUCCGGGACACUUCUCAGGGAGUUUUUCGAUUUGAAAAGACCGACCAAAUCUUAAGGACAUUUUUGGCUAUUUAGCCAAUCUUAAUGUACUCCCCAAAUAUGAAUGCAAGUUAGGACCAAGAAGUUGGGUUUUUAGCCAAAAAUUACAAACUUUAAAUGAUUAAUAGAACCAAAGUCAAUACUAAUUAUAGCCAUAGAAGUAUUGGGUUGACCGUUUAGAAACGUGAGAUUUCAAAAGGAUGUUACUAAUAAUAUGGUAAUUGUGGUGAUUGAAAUAUUUACUGCAAAUUCACCUUUUCAAGAUUCUGAUUCUCUUGAUUUAAAAAAUUGAUAUCCACUUCCUGAAAAAUCUUUACAAAACUUGUCUUCUGGUUGAGCUUCAAAUGCCCGUAUGCUAUUCUUUUGAUUGUAUAUUACAAAAGAUGUUAAACAUGAAACUUCAAAAGGGGAUUUAAUCCAUUCUAUAUUUGAAAAUUUCCUAAAAUGGAUGUUAAAACUGAAAUUCAAAUGUUUUUAUCCAUUUCUGUCCUUACUUCCAAAAUGACUGGGAUCGUGACCGAUAAUUUUACAAUUCCAAUCCCCUUUGAAUUUUAAGAGUUAUGCUAUUACUUUAGUCUAACUAGGGUUAUGUGGCAUUAUGCAAUUUUGGACAUUUCAGUUCUACUUACGAUAAUUCAUUGAGUUUUCUGUUUCCUUCAUUUAAUUUAUUUGCAAAUUUGCCAUUGGGCUUAGAAAGGUUUUUGUCUUUACGGUUAUUUCCGUUCAUUGGAAUUUUUUCGAUUAUUCGAUCCACGCGUUGAUCAUCGCUGGAUCGCCGGCUGUGUGGGAUCUGGUGAGGGGAUGGGUUACGUGUCCAUCAUUGUCGAAAGGUUUGCUUCGACUGCAACCUCUCGACUUUUCGUUUCGUUUCAACUUCUAUCUCACAAGCCUCUGCUUCAGUCGCUCUUGAUCUUCGCCUUUUCUAAGGCGUUCGAGGGACAAAAACCGAAAGCCAAACCUCCACCACAAACGAAGUCACAAAUAGGGAUGGGCAACGGCGGACGGGUAACCGCGGUUAUUUACCCAUAACCAUUUAUACUUAUACCCGCAUAAUUGUUUACCCAUUGGGUAAUUGCCCAAGCAGUUAUACUCAUACUCAUAACCAUUUAUAAACGGUUAACCAUAUCCAUAACAGCAUACCCAUUUAACCAUAAUCGUUUAAUACCAGUUUACUCAUUUACUCUUUUUAACCCGUUUAUUUUUUAUUUAUUUUUUACCAUUACCUCUUUUUUCACCCUUAUACAUGGUUUUUAACAACUUGAAAAUUAAAAAAAAAAUGUCAUAAUUUUUUUUGGCAAUUAAACACCGUUAUAAGCACAUUCAUCAUACAUUUCUGUAUUUUAAUUUUUUAAAUCCUUAUCUCAUUCCAAUAAUUGAAAUAAUUUCCGGCAAAGACACAACGGCGUGCACUCGUACGUGGGUUAUUUAUAUGCUCAGCAAGCACCCUUAUAUGCAAGAAAAGGUUGUAACAGAAGUUUGAGAAGCAGCAAAUCUGAAAGAUGACUCAAGCAUUGUUGAACUUGCAGACAAUCUUAAUGAAGAUGCCCUUAAUAAAAUGCAGUAUGUCUUAGUAGCUUUGACUGAGACACAGAGGCUCUACCCUGUAAUUCCACCGUAAAUUUGACUAACAUCUUAACUAAAUCUAAUGCAUGCAUACCGCAAGGGAAAUGAUUUCAGUGCGCUCCCGUUUAGUUUUCUCACUUAAAUUUCUUUUGAUUUAUUCAAUUUAAGAAUAGAAAUACUCCAUGGAUCAUCGUUGAUUACUUUUUAAUUAAUUAAAACACUACUAUAUAAACCACAUUAUAGUCAAUAGUAUUGAUCUAAGUUUUGUCUGAUAGAGAACAUGAUUUGUAUUAAUUUUACAUAUAUAAAAUAAAUAGGUAAACAGUUAUUCGUUUAUAAUCGUGAUUAAUACUCAUAACCAACCAUUUAAAUUUUACAGAUGAACGAUUAUACCUAUAACCAUUUAUUUAUUUAAACAGUUACCCAAAUGAGCAUGUAACCGCGGGCCAUCCCUAGUCACGAACGCCACUCUCACUCACCCUCCACCGUUACACACGAACCCAAUCAUAAUUCUGAAAUCCAAACACAACCCAGAUGUUAAUCCUUCAGAGAAUGGCAAUGGCCACUUCUUCUUCCUUCCUCUUAAUCCCUCUCCUCAAUAAUCUUCUUUGCUUUCCCCAGUUAAACACCAAGCUCCGAGUUCAGGUCUCUGUCCUUCUACGGCGGUAGAACUGGAGUCUCCACCUCCUCGGCGAUGGCCACGGAGGCUCAGGUCUCGACCCAAGACGACAAAUUGAAGGAUGCCCAGAUGGAGGUAGCUGAUAAGCCUGAGACAGUCGUGCUUCCAACCAACGAGUCCUCCGAAAGCCUCAUCAUAAUUCGACACACGGUAUUUAUUGAAAUUUCAUUGCUUUGGAUUGGAUUUAUGAUUGUUUUAUGUUAAAUUGAAGUAGGGUGCUUUCCUGUUGAAUUUUUUGAAUUUUUAGAUUCUUAGGAGCUUCCCUUUUUGAAAGUUUGAUGCUUUUAAUUAACUAUUUUCAAUUCUGCGUUACUAAUGGUCACCUGAUUCUAUUGUGAAGAAUGAGAAAGUGAGGAUGAAGAAAAUAAGAACCUAACUUUUCGGUAAUUUGAAAUUUGAUCGCAUAGGACAUGGAAAAAUGGGUGUACAGCGGUAGAUAAGUUGGGAAAAAUUUCAUCCUGUUUUUGGGAAUGUGAGAAGAUACAUGGGUUUCUGUAUUUUGAUAAAGUGUUGAGGUCGAGCCAUGUUCAUUUUUUUCUGAAUUUUCUUGUAGUUUGGUAUUAAUGGCGCCUUUUCCGCUGUUAUGGUGAUGAACCAUUUAUAUGUGUUUGACUGCAGUGUGCACACGUGAUGGCCAUGGCUGUUCAAAAGCUCUUCCCGGAUGCAAAAGUGACAAUUGGUCCAUGGAUAGAAAAUGGGUUCUAUUAUGAUUUUGAUAUGGAGCCUUUGACGGACAAAGAGUUGAAGAGAAUCAAGAAGGAGAUGGUAAGUGGAAUUUCUGUAUAAGUUAUCAUGUUUGUAUCAAAGUUUUGGAACCAUGAAACUAUUGAAAACUAUUCAUGCACAUUUCUUUUGUGAUUUGUAGGAUAGCAUCAUUGGUAGAAACUUACUAUUAGUAAAGAGUCCUCCACGUCUAUACCCUUGUCAUAAUCUCCAUAAUUAUCUUAUGUAUAUUAUCACGUUAUCUUAGAGAUUUGUAAUCCCGUUAGGAUUUGUAUUGGGAGCUACACAAUCCCUUUAGGACUCUUUGUAAACUGGUAUAUUUAUACCUGAUUAUGAGCAAUGGAAAGUUAAGUCUUCCACCAAUAUUACUGCUUCGUGUUUACUGUGCUCUUUCUCUGAAUAUAUAUAUUUCUACAUGGUAUCAUCCCUUUCUCCGGCUUAACCACCCUUCUCGAUCCGCUUCCCAUCAUGUCCUCUACCUCCCCACUUCCUGGCCCUGCUAUUGCCCAGUUUCUCAAACUCAAUGACUCCAAUUACCUCACAUGGCUUCGUCAGAUCAAGCCCUUUCUUGUUGGUCAUGAUCUGUGGAAGGUCGUUAAUGGCUUCUACCCACCCCCUCCGGCCACCUUCACCGUCACUGCCACCCCUUCCUCUGCCGCUACUAACUCCGACAGUUCUUUCGUGACUACUACCUUUACUCUUCCCAACCCCACUUUCGCUCAUUUGUACCAACACGAUCAGUUGGUCGUAAGCUACAUAGCCGCCACCUUAACAGAACCUGUCCUUGCUCUCACUGUGGGCCAUGACUCCGCCCAAGCCGUUUGGGCAUGUCUUCAACGGCGCUUCGCCUACGACCCUGUCCUCAACUCCGUCGCCUUGCGUUACCAACUGCUUGAUAUUUCCAACAGAUCUUGCUCUAUUGCUGACUAUCUUCAACAUGCUAAAUCUCUUGCUGACAAACUCGCUACUAUCGGCCGUCCUGUUGAUCUUGAAGACUUCAUCACCGUUGUUCUCCGUGGUCUUGGAUCUGACUACCUUACCCUUACCACUGCUAUCAUCAACGUCACCAUUCUUCUAACCUUUGAGGAGUUGACCUCCAAGAUUGAAGCUUUUGAUCUCCAGAACCUUCGCACCUCCACCACGUCUGCCGCUUUGUAAAUUGCCCUCAUCACUACCCACCAACCCCGUGCUUCUUCUCAGUCCUCAGGCAGUCACGAUGGAAAUUAGAACGGUCGUUUCCAACGGAACAAUGGUCCGCAGUGUAAUACCUCCGGCUGGCAUCCUAGCAAGAAUACCAAUUCCCGCAACCAACAACAACAAUGGAAUGGGCCUCCUCCAUUCAAUUAUCAACAACCUUGGCAUGGACCCUCUGCUCCCAUUUAUUGGCCAGGCCCACGUGGUUUUUCUGGGCCAGGCCCACUUGUUCCACCUCGCAACAUAGUGCUACACACUGUCCACACCGCUAUGGCGGCCCCGAACCUUUCCCCCCCUUUGAGGGCUCUCAGGUGAUUUCUUAUUAGGAUCCCAACAUUUGGUUUCCCGAUACUGGCGCUACCUACCACAUGACGGGCGAUCCCAAUGCCCUCCCCCACCCACAACCUUAUCGUGGUCCUAAUUCCGUUCAAUUGGGUAAUGGUGAUUCUCUAAACAUUACAUCCACUGGUACAAUUCCUAUCUCUCUUAACUCUAUUCCGUUUAGUCUUUGUAAUGUCUUUCUUGUUUCGGCCUUACGUAAAAACCUCUUGUCUGUUACAUACUUUACACAUGAUAACAAUGUCGUUAUUUGUUUCUUUCCAUCCUUUUAUCGUAUCUAUGAUUUACACUCUGGUGUUUUAUUGUUUCAAGUCCCAUGUAGAGAUGGCCUUUAUCCAUUAUCCUUCUCCUCACCACAGGCCCUUGCCGCUUCAUCCUUUACCCUUUGGCAUCAACGUCUCGGUCACCCUUCAUCUUCGGUUUUGUCCCGUCUUAGCUCUAGUUUCGGUUCUACGUCAUUUUCUUCAAAGCAUUUUUGUAAAAGUUGUGCUUUAGGCAAGUCCACACAACUUCCUUUUUCAAUUAAAUAAUGCAAGGGCUACUACUCCAUUUUAUAUUAUACAUUCUGAUGUUUGGAUGUCCACUUCUACCUCUGUUUCUGGCUUUCGUUAUUACGUAUUAUUCACUGACGAUUAUUCUUGUUAUUCUUGGAUUUACCCCAUGAAAAAGAAGUAUGAGGUCUUUACACAUUUUCAAACCUUUGUUGCAAUGACUCAUAACCUAUUUAACGCAUUUAUUUAAUAUUUUCAAAGUGAUGGCGGCACCGAAUAUGUUAAUCACUCAUUUUCUGCAUUUUGUCGUCAAUUAGGUAUCCAACACCGUCUUUCGUAUCCACACACACCCCAACAAAAUGGACUUGCUGAACGUAAGCACCGUCAUAUUGCUGAUAUGACUCGCACACUGCUUACUACAGCUCAUACCCCACUCACCUUGUGGGUGGAAGCUACGCUUGAUGCGAAAAUUAACUUAACACACAAAUUAAACCCUCUUGUUGUCAAUUGUAGUAAAGAAUGUAAGUAGGGAUCGUUCUAGGCCGGAGAUUAGAAGGGAUUGCUAAAACACUUGAAACUGACUUAAAUAUGUGAAAACAAACUUAAAAGCAUGAAAUUAAACUUACAAGACUCAAAACAAAGCCACAAGACUCAAAACAGAUUAUAGAGACUCAAAACUGCCUAAAAACAACUCUAAGGCAGUUUCUGCCACUAACACAAAGUUUGGACGAAAAUUGAUUUUAUUUUAACUUAAAACACUUAAAAACACAAUCUAAAACAAGUACUGACUAAUAGACACUCUAAAGUAAAGGGGGAUUUGGUUUUGGAUGAAUUUAAGUAAAAACAAGUAAUUAAAGACUUAAAACAGAUUUUGGACGAAUUUGGUGAUUGGAAUGGAUGAUGGGCUAGCUAGAAGGUCUUUCUCCACACAUGACACACUUGCAUAUAAAACGAUUUCCAGUUGCUUUUCAAUAAACCAUGAACCUCAACACCCCAGAUUAAUUAGGUACGCUUAAAUUAAUCCUCAGAUUUUCCUAAUUUCAUUGAAUUGGAUGAUUGCAUACAACAACCCAAAGCAUUCCCCACAAGUUCCCUACAUGAAUUGCAUAAUAGAGAUACAAGUAAGAAUCAUUAAGUUCUAGGAAAAUCAUAAGCAUUGACGAAACACUUGUAACUAUGAAUUGCAUGAAACUUAUGCCAAGAAUUUACUUAACACGGUUGUGACGAACAACCUUUAGUACUUGUAAAUAUAAGUUCAUAACGAUUAGGUGAAACUCCCUUAAUCCUAGCAUCAUAUUUAUGCAUGAAAAUUAAGCGUGCACUCUCAACCAACAUACACAAAUCAGUUUUAAUUCAAAUGGAUAAGUAAAUUGAAUUCACAACUUAUGAAUCACAACUGAAAGUAACCAAAUCAUAUUGCAAGCAUGAACAUGGUUUCGAAUUCCCCCCUAGCUAAGGAGGUUUAGUUUCUCAUACUUACAAAGUAAAGAUAAACAAAUUUAGACAUUGAGAACAAAAGAAAGAAAACACCUAAAAACGCUCCAACAAUCCAACUUGAAUGGCAAGCACGUCGAAGGGUCUUCCUUCUUCUCUUUGUUGCAGCACAAGGUGUGGUUUGAUGGAUGAGUGGUAAAUUAUAGUAGUGGAUGGAUAUGCACGGCUGAGAGAUGAAAGUGUAUGGAUUGGUGAGAUGUAGUAUGGCUAAAUGAAUGGAUGGAGGUCACGACAAGGAAAUUGUGUUUGCGAAUGAAGUUGUGAGAUGUGAAAUGUAGUGUCUUUGUAUGAUGGCCCCCAAAUUAUGGUGAAGGGUGGAUGUAUUUAUAGGCUAGGGAGAGGAGUGUAUGGAGUUGUAAUGAGUGGAUGUAAUGGGUGUAGUGGGUGAGUGUUGUGAUAAUGAGUCGAUGUAAUGGGUGUAGUGGGUGGAUGUUUGGUAAUGAGUAGAUGUAAUGGGUGUAGUGGAUGAGUUUUUAGUAAUGAGUAGUGUUUGGUAAUGAGUGAAUGUAAUGGGUGUAGUUGAUGAGUGUUUGGUAAUGAGUGGAUGUAAUGGGUGUAAUGGGUGAGUGUUGUGGUAAUGAAUGGAUGUAAUGGGUGUAGUGGGUAGAUGUUUGGUAAUGAGUGGAUGUAAUGGGUGUAGUGGAUAAGUGUUUGGUAAUGAGUGGAUGUAAUGAGUGUAGUGGGUGGAUGUUUAGUAAUGAGUGGAUGUAAUGGGUGUAGUGGAUGAGUGUUUGGUAAUGAGUGGAUGUAAUGGGUGUAGUGGAUGGAUGUUUGGAGUUGUAGGUCAACACACUUGCACACACACAUGCUGAUUUCUAGCCUUCAAAUCUUCAAAAAUGUCCAUCCUCAUGUCCUCAUGCUUGCACUAUCCAAUCUUGGCUAAAAAAUGCUCUAAAAUGCUCCAAAAUGCACUUUCUUGCCAACUUUGUUAUUAUGACCUACAAACACAUGAAAAUAGCUUAAAAUUCAUAAUUAACUAAGAAAUAACAACACAAAUGCACAAGAACAAGCUAACUAAGUCGCAUAAAUAUGCUCCUAUCAGCGCUCACUUCUGUCCACCUCAUCAAUCUUCUCCCCACCUCUACCCUCAAUUGGUCAACUCCCUAUACACUUCUAUUUGGUUAGACACCCACUUACUCUCACCUACGUACCUUUGGAUGUAUGUGCUUUCCAUACCUUCGGGAUUAUGUUCACGAUAAACUAAGCCACGUUCUAUUGAGUGUGUUUUUGUGGGUUACAGUGCCUCUCAUAAAGGUUACAGGUGCCUUGAUCAGACCACUGGACGUAUUUAUAUCUCUCACCAUGUGGUGUUCAAUGAGGCUACUUUUCCUUUUGCAACCUCUCUCGGCCAGCCACCAACCACAUAUGUGGAGCUGGAAAUUCAUCCUACUGCCAUCCCACAAUUUGCUUGCUCAUUGCCCAUCCCUACCUCUCUUGGUCUCGUGGGCUCCUCCUCUAAUGAUGGCCAGUCAAUGCCACAUGACAAUGACCUACCUACUUCUGCUGCUUCUCCACCGCAGCCUGCCGCUACCCAGUCACGGUCACCACCACUUAUGCUUCCAUCUCAUCCCAUGGUCACCCGAACUAAAGACGGCACGCGUAAACCCAAGUCCUGGACUGAUGGCUCUAUCCGGUAUCCUCUCCAUCAUGCUCUUUCAGUUUUGCUUACCACUGACGAACCCACAUGCUUUACACAGGCUGUUCGCAAACCCGAAUGGCGGGCUGCCAUGACCGAGGAAAUUAAUGCCCUUUUUUUAAAUAAUACUUGGGUUCUUGUUCCGCCAUCACCCACCCAAAACAAAGUCGGCUGCAAGUGGGUUUAUCGCAUAAAAUGGAAAUCUGAUGGAAGCAUCGAUAGAUACAAAGCACGUCUGGUGGCAAAGAGCUUUCACCAACAACCAGGAAUUGACUACGAUGAAACUUUCAGCCCUGUGGUCAAACUUGCAACUAUACGUACAGUUCUCAGCCUUGCUAUUUCAAAUCAUUGGUCCGUUCGUCAGCUCGACGUGAAAAAUGCUUUUCUGCAUGGUCAUUUGAAGGAGGAAGUCUACAUGUCACAACCCCCUGGUUUUGUUGAUCCCCAACAUCCCAAUCAUGUUUGUUGUCUCACCAAGGCACUUUAUGGUCUUAAGCAGGCUCCUCGGGCCUAGUUUCACCGCUUUAGCUCAGUCAUCAAGAGAUGAAGCUCCCAAAAGAAUAACCGCUCUCAGUGAACCAUACAAAUUGGAAAUUUUGGAUAGUAUUAAAGAAGAUCCCAUUACCAUAUAUCAUAUUGGUAAGGGUUUCACUAUUUUCAAGCUCAAUAUAGUGUAUGGAAGGUGAUGAUUUAAUGUGUAGGAACUGUGCGUAAAUGAUAUUUUUAUUAGCUACACAAGUGAAAUGUACAGUGUUUGUGUUGAGUCUUAAGAUGGAAAUUUAAAGGAAUAAAAAAGAGAGGGCGGGGUGUGCUCAGGGAAAACAAUGUUGUUGGUGCUCUUUAAAAAUGAGUUAUUGAUAUGCAGAUUGAAAAUAAGACUAAUUUGGAGGUGGGAGGAACCUUUUGGUCAAGCUAACCAAAUUAUACUUAUGUUUAUACAUAUGCAUGCUUGUACUAGGAUUUGAUUGUGUUUUGAACUAGCAUCCUGUCAUAUUAGACUGUCUUGAUGUCAUAAUUCCUCAUAGUAUGCCGAAUUCUUCAUAGGUGAUGAAUGGUGGAACCUAUGUGCGGGGCCCCAUGUUGAAAAAAUUGGGAAUAUUAACAGAAAACUUGUCGAACUUGAGUCUAUGUUGGUGCCUACUGGAGAGGACAUGAAAUGAAACCAAUGCUGCAGUGGAUCUAUGACACUGCAUGGGAGAGUGAAGAUCAAUUGAAGGCAUAACUUCAAUUGAAAGAGGAAGCUAAACGUAGAGAUCACAGGCGCCUUGGUCAAGUCAAAUCAAAGAUGAAAUUAAGGGUGUCAUAGAUCUUACAGAAGAACUUUCGUUGCAAUUCGGCUUCAGCAAAUAUGAGGUCAAUCUCUUUACAAGGCUAGAGAAAGCUGUUGGAGAUGAUAUAUGGGUGAAAGCAACAUAUGCCCUUAAAGAUGCUUUGGAUGAUAAAGGCUGGAGCUAUCAAAUUGAUGAAGGCGAUGGUGCCUUUUAUGGUCCAAAAAUUGAUCUUAAGAUUAAGGAUGCCCUUGGAAGGAAGUGGCAGUGCUCAACUAUGUAGGUUAAUCCAGUGCUCAACUAUGCAGGUUAAUCCUGAACUCAUGACGGGAUAAUUCUAAGGAAAACUAAUGAAAAGGGUUUGAAAACUUUGAGUUUUAACGAUAAAGACAAAAUAAAGGGUAAAGUAAAUAGUACCAAGUUUGACUUUUUAGUAUAAAAAUGUGGUUUUUCAUUAAAAUGAACAGUACCACAGACUUUUCGUUAAAAUUCCCAUAAUUCUAAUAUAUGCUUUGUUUUUUAAUUGGUAAUCUCUCAGUCUAUCUCUGUAUCACUUUGUAAAAUGUUCAUUGGAGAUUUGAGCAUCUUUUUUGAAUUGAGCGAAUUACAUGGAUUUGUUUGAUAGACUAAAGCCACUUAUUACUGUUAUUUUAAAUUUUUGAUCUUUUGUAUUUCCCAAAUUGUACAGGUUUGUAAAGCAGUUGCACGUUUAAUGUUUCAAUUAACUCAAGAACCCUCAACACACCUGCACGACGGUUACCUAGGCUACGACCCCUGGCUUUCCUCCCAGCGAUUCGACUCCGAGUCCCUCAAGGACCUCGCCAUGGAUUCCCCAAUCUUCCACGGCUCCGCCGUAGAUGACGCUUUCGCCACUCAGCCGGCGUCGGAGGCCUUCUCUCCUCCGUCGAUCUACGCCGAAUCGAACGGCCAGGGCUUUGAUGGAGGGUUUGGCAGGUCCGUGUUAGAUACCAAUUCCAGCCACUAGUUCAUCCUUAACUGGAAGCAAGAAUUGUAGGAAAUGGCGAGAGGGAAAAGAUGGAGUAUUUUUUGCAAAAUGAUUUUUUAUAUUUGAUUUCAUCUAUCCCCGUUCAACAAGAAAGGGAGAGCUUUAAUAGCACUAGCAACCUCCCCAAUGAAAGAUUGUGACAUGGCAUACAUAGCCUAAACUCUUAAACAACAGCACAAAGGAAAGGCAAAUUACACAACGACCCUAAAACAUUACAUUUCGACCCAAAACUUUGUUGCUUGUGAUCAAGGCAAUCACAGUACAUAACAAUGCUUCGUCUUUGAAAAAUAACCUUGUCCACAAGGUUUACACUGGAAAAUCGGGGUGUCGGGUCUUAAAUGCAUCGAAAUCUUCCCAUGAAGCUUUAGCUGCUUCCUGUCCAUUCCAUUGCACUAAUAGCUGCACCAUAGUUGCAUUUCCCUUCUUAUACAUCCUCCUAGCCAAGAUUGCCUGUGGUAAGUUCUGCAUCAACCCAUCAUCUGCAGCAAUGGGCAGAUUCACAUGUGAAACUACUUUUUCCCCCAAUUGCUUUUUGAGGCAGCUUACAUGGAACACAGGAUGUAUCUUUGAUCCUUCAGGUAAUUUUAGUUUAUAAGCCACCAUACCAAUAUUUUCCAACACUUCAUAAGGACCAUAGAACCUAGGCUGCAGUUUAUGGUAACUGUGCUGCCAAUGCUUGCAACUGAUAAGGAACUAGCUUCAAGUAUACCUUAUCCCCCACAUUGAAAUGCCUUUUAGUUCUUCUUUUAUCAACUUGAACUUUCAUCUUGUUUUGUGCUAAUUCCAAAUUGUGUUUGAGAACAGUAAGCAUGUUAUCCCUUUCGAGAAGACUUUGUGCCACAUAGUCCAUUUUUGCAGUUCCCACUUCAUAUGGAGCUAUAUGAGGUGGAGCAUGACCAUACACCAAUUCAAAAGGUGUAAAACCUGCAGAGGUGUGAUGUGAUGUAUUGAAGCACCACUCAGCCCAUGGCAACCAAUUCACCCAUUUUUUAGGCUGCCCUCCAAUAAAACAUCUUAAGUAGGUCUCCAAACACCUAUUCAUAACCUCAGUUUGUCCAUCACUCUAGGGGUGAUAACCUGAACUCAUGCACAGUUUUGAGCCUUGCAACUUAAAAAACUCCCUCCAAAAUGCACUGAUAAACAUAGGAUCUCUAUCACUCACAAUGGAACUUGGCAUACCAUGCAAUUUGAAGACAAACUCAAUGAAUAUUUGAGCCACACUCACUGCAAUAUAUGGAUGGGAAAGAGCAAUGAAAUGUGCAUACUUAGAAAGUUUGUCCACCAUCACCAUGAUCACAGUUUUGCCCCUACAAUUUGGCAAACCAAGUAUGAAAUCCAUGCUAAUGUCCGACCAAUUCUUCUGUGGAAUUGGUAGUGCUUGUAACAAUCCAGGUGGAGCUAUUGUUUCCACUUUGUUUUGUUGACAAAUGCUACAUUCAACCACAAAAUUUCAAAUAUCCUUCUUCAUUCCCUGCCAAUAGAACCUCUUUUUGAUCCUGUGAUAUGUUUUAACCACCCCUUGGUGACCUCAUCCAGAAGUAGAGUGAUACUCUUCAAUGAUUUUGUGUCUCCAAGGUGAUGUGGGACUCAAAACUACCCUCUUUUUAUAGCAUAAGAACCCAUUAUCAACAGUAUACUUGGAAACUGCAGCUUUAUCAGUAACUGUCUUAGAACUAUCAAGCACAAAUUUAAUCCUUUCCAAAACCCACUUAUCACUUUCAAAACUCCUCCUUAAAUCAUCCAUCCAGCCAAAAUAAGGGUAGAUGAUGGCAGUGAGUUCCAUGUCAAGGUGAACAGGUUUCUCUACCAACUCAGAAUUGACAUUUGGUACCUUAGAGAGUGCAUCAGCCACUGUGUUUUCAACUCCACUCCUAUACUGGAUCUCAUAAUCAAAACCCAAGAGUUUUGAAACCCAUUUUUGUUGAAAAUGAGUAUUAGCUCUCUGACUUAAGAAGUACUUGAGACUAUUGUGAUCAGUCUUAAUUAUGAAGUGUUUACCUUGCAAAUAGUUAUGCCAUUUUUUUACAGCAUGAACUAUUGCAAUCAGUUCUCUUUCAUAAGUAGAAAGAGCUUGAUUCUUAGGUCCUAAUGCCUGACUGGUGAAUGCAAUUAGUCUAAGGUUUUGCUGCAUAACUGCUCCAAUUCCAUUGUCUGAAGCAUCACAUUCCAAGACAAAGGGUUGAUUGAAAUUUGGCAAUGCCAAUACUUGUGGUGAGGACAUAAUCUUUUUGAGUUUUUUAAAUGCUUCCAAAGCUUCCACUCCUCAAUAGAAUCCAUCCUUCUUAGUGAGAUUAUACAAAGGCUGGCAUAUUUUCCCAUAUCCAGGCACAAAUUUUCUGUAGUACCCAGUGAGGCCUAGAAAUCCUCUCAAUUCCUUCACAUUCCUUGGUACAAGCCAGUCAGUGAUUGCUUGGAGUUUGCUAGGAUCUGCCAUAACACCAUCCUUUGACACAAUAUGGCCAAGGUACUCUACUUUACUUUGACCAAAGGAACAUUUAGAUUUUUUCAAAAACAACCGAUUGUCUUGCAAUAUCUGAAAAACUUGUUGUAGAUGUGUCAAGUGAUCUUCCCAAGACUUGCUAUAUAUUAAAAUGUCAUCAAAGAAUACCAGUACAAACUUCCUGAGAAGUGGUUUGAAAAGAUCAUUCAUCAAGUUCUGAAAAGUUGCAGGUGCAUUGAUAAGCCCAAAGGGUAUCACUAAAAACUCAUGAUGUCCUCUAUGGGUCCUAAAUGCAGUCUUAGCAAUGUCUUCUUUGUGCAUCAAUAUCUGGUGAUAACCUGACCUUAAGUCAAAUUUUGAGAAGAAAACAGCACCAUGUAGUUCAUCCAGCAAGUCAUCAAUUAGAGGGGUUGGAUACUUAUCCUUGAUGGUCAAAGCAUUAAGCUCCCUAUAAUCGACACACAUCUUCCAUGUACCCUCUUUCUUCUUCACUAGUAACACUGGAAAUGAGAAAGAACUAUGACUUGGUCUUAUAAACCCAGCUUCCAAAAGUUCUUGAACUGCUUUCUCAAUUUCUGUUUUCUGCAAGGGACCAUAGUGAUAGGGUCUGAUAUUUUGUGGUUUUGCUCUUAGAACCAAUGGUAUAUGAUGAUCAUGGACUAUGGAGGGUGGGGGUUUAGAUAGUAGAACAAAAAUAGACUCAAACUGUCCCAACAGAGUCUGUAAUUCCUGUAGUUGUGACUGAGUGAGAUCACUAGCUUCAAGUUUUUCCCCUUCCAUAGAGUAUAAGAACAACCCCAAGUUGGAAUUAUAAAUGUCCUUGUCAAGGUGCUGCAAAAAGACUUCCUGAAUAACUGGCAAUGUCAUAGGGCUAUGAUGCAACUUGUAUUGCUGAUUAUUUUUAACAAACUCUAUAGUCAGCAACUGGAAAUCCCAGAGCAUAGGACUAAUGGAAGAAAGCCAUUGAACCCCAAGCACAAUGUCAUAACCCCCUAAAGGUAAAGUGUAGAGAUCCACUGCACAUUUAUACCCUCCUGUAGUGAGAGAGGUUGACUUACAACACCCUGAACUCCUCACCUUCCCUCCAUCAGCUAUCAUCACCCAAAUUGCUUGGUGUGAUGAACUUGCUGCCCCCACUGCUUCAAUAGUCGAGCAUCAAUAAAAUUAUGCGUGCUACCGGAAUCCAAAAGGAUUUUCACAGGAUGACCAUUAAUAACAUCAUCCACUUUCUUUGUUUGAAUAGUUUGCCUAGCCUUAGUCCCAUAAAAUGCACAUUCACUAAGCUCCACAUGAAGAAGCUCAGGUUGUAUCCCCACAGAUUCAUCAUCAGAUAAUUCAUCAUUGACCACAUCAAGCAUCAACAAUUGUUUUAGACCACAUUUAUGUCCCGGAGUCCACUUAUCAGUACAAAACCAAGACUCCCCAUUUUCUCUCUUCUUUUGAAUCUCAACAGGGAUGAGUUUUAUAAUGGCUAAAUUUCCAACUCUAGGCACUUGGAUAUGUGGGAAUGACAGCUGAGAACUUAACUGGUGGUGUGGAUUUAGGAGGGAAAACUUUCAACUCAAAGUGUUUGGUAUCUAAUUGGAUUGCAAGAGCAAUUGCUUCAUGAACAUUUGUAGGUUUCAACAAUGACAUCAAAUUUGAGUUCACGUUUAAGGCCACCAAAAAACAACUCCUAAGCAGAAUCAGACCAAUAACAGUCGCUCUAGUAGCCAAACGACGAAAUUCAUAAUGUAUUCACGGAGAGUACCUGUUUAGCGGAGCUUGAAUAAGGACUCAGCAUUAUCCUCGAAUUUGGAAGGCCCAAACUCUUGACAAAAGGCGCGAGUGAAUUCCUCCCAACUCGGAGUAGUCUGAACACAAUCCAGCCAACGAAACCACUGUAAAACCUCACCCUCCAAAUGAAAAGAAGCAGUGAAAACACAAUGAUCGGACGAAGUGUUAUAAAAGGAGAAAUACUGUUCAGCUUUGAAAUUGCCCACUUUAAGCAGUUCGUGAGUUAUGGCUAAUUUCAUUUGUCCCACAAGUUUGUCCUCUCUCAGCUUAGGAAGCCUUCACAAAGGUUGCUUAGGAAAAGUCUCAGCAGUCGGUAGAGCCCCAGAAAGAGAAGGUACCGGAGGGGGAUCAUUCGGAGCCUCAGUACUGGACAGAACCCUAAAAGGAGGAGGCAUCGGAGGUUGAUCAUUUGGAGCUUCAUUACGCGGUACAGCCCUAGAAGACGAAGGUAAUAAAUGUCUUUGGAACAAACCCACAAACCUCUGAUGAUCAAGUAAAACCUGACCAUCAGAUUUCUUCAUCUGGUCAAGCUUCAUCUUUAUGUUUGUAGCAUGGUUAUGUGCUAGCCGGUGCAACUGUUUAUUCUCAUGCUUGAGUCCUCUAAUCUCCUGUUUGAGACUCAUCACUUCAGCCGCCAAUGAUUUAACUUGGCGGGUUCAUACAAAUAGGCGUUGGGCCAUAUUAGACACAGAACCUGCACACUGAACACUGAGAGCCAGAGAAUCCUUAACAGCCAACUCAUCACACUGUUUGAAAAGUAGUCUGUUAUCUUUGGGAGUGAGAAGGUUCUUGGCCACUACCGAAGCGGUCAUAUCAUUCUUCAUCACGGAAUCCCCAACGGUAAGAGGACCAGUAGGGGAUAAGAAGGAUGGGUGCCAUAUGUUGUCUGGAGAAGACAUGGCUGCCUCUUCAACAAGUGGUAGCUAGAUCUUCAAAAUUUAUGUGUCUAAACUUUGUUAGUGCUGUUUCUUUGCUAUUCUUUUACCCUUCUUGGUCAUAGCGAUGUAGUGGGAGUUGCAAGCUUCACGUGUCUUCCAGGCAGUCAGUUCCUGACUGGAAGCUUAAUUCCAAGUGCUGACUGAUUACUCUCUUUCUCCCUCUCUUGCAGGUAAGAACAAGGCCAAAGGAAAAGACAGGGAAAAAGCAUGAUAUGGGAUACUCUUGCUUUUAACCCUGAUAAUAUGAGAUAUUCUUACUCUGAUGUAGCUUGUUUGCAGAGGUAUUAUCGGGGGGGGGGAAAGAAAGCUGAGUAUUUCGAGAGGCUUCGUUGGGAGUGCCCUCUCAGAUAUGAGGAAGGGUUGAACAUUUUUGCAGGUCUGCCUGUCCAUUGAGGAUGAAGGUCGACAUAUAUAGGAGUCUCCCCAACAACAAGUGGUAAUGCUAUUCCUUUACCCUGCUUGGUCAUAGCACGGUAGUGGGAGAUGCCAGCUUCAAGUGUUUUAACUCUGUCAGAGCACUUUGAAAAAAUGGUAUGUGGUAUCUGGAAAGCUGAUGUCGCGUGUGAAGAUUACAGACAAGCUUUAUCCAAUGAGAUCUGACUCUCAAAGUUGAGAAAAUUGUGACUCUUCGAUUUUCGAACAAGCAAUCCUGUCGGGGAUCUGGCUCUCGAGAUUCGGAGAACGGUGCCUCUUCGAUUUUUGAGAAACCAAUCAUACUGGGAGUCUGGCUCUCGAGAUUUGGAUAGCGGUGUCUCUUCGAUUUUUGAGAAAGUAAUCAUGUUGGGAGUCUGGCUCUCGAGAUUCGGAGGGCGGUGCUUCUUCGAUUUUGGAGCAAGUAAUCUUGUUGGGAGUGUUUUCUCGAAUGUGAGUAAAGGUUGGGCAUGUUUGUUAGUCUACCUUGCCACGGAGCACAGAAGUUGACACACAGGGACUUUCCAAUUAUCCAACAGUAGUGAUGUUCCUUUACCUUUGUGGGUAAUAAUAUGGUAGCUAGACCUUCAAAAUUUAUGUGUUUAAACUUUGUUAAUGCUGUUUCUUUGCUAUUCUUUUACCCUUCUUGGUCAUAGCGAUGUAGUGGGAGCUGCAAGCUUCACGUGUCUAAACUUUGUCAGAGAUCUUUGGCAAAGUUAUUUGUGGUACCCAUGAGCUAAUGUUGCACGUGUGGAAAGUAGAUGAUUGAACAGUAAGAUUCACGUGCUUUCUACUUCACCAGUAAUCUUCGACAGAAUGCCCGUAAUUUUGGCAAAGCUGAGUGUGCAUGUGAAGGUGUUGACAAGGCUGAAAAAGCAGGUGCCUCUUCGAUUUCUGAGAACGGCCCUCGUGGUCUCUGAGCAGCCCAACUUUUGAGAAAGCAAGCGCCUCUUCGAUUUCUGAGAUCGGCUUUCGUGGUCUUUGAGCAGCCCAGCUUUUAAGAAAGCAAACGCCUCUUCGAUUUCUGAGAUUGGCCAUCGUGGUCUCUGAGCAGCCCAGCUUUUGAGAAAGCAAACGCCUCUUCGAUUUCUAAGCAGGCGCCUCUUCGAUUUCUGAAGCUCCGUCGAGUGCAGAUUUUUAUAGAGGUUGGCAUUAAGUUCCAAAGCACACUUGAAUCUCCACCAGUAGAAGCUCCCUUUUUACACUUCUAAGACCUUGAUUUGUCUGACCUCUUCUCUCUUCAACACCUUUGAAAAUGUCUGGCCCCUCCGACCGUCGUUUUGACUUGAACCUUGUUGAAGAGGCAGCCAUGUCUUCUCCAGACAACAUAUGGCACCCAUCAUUCUUAUCCCCUACUGGUCCUCUUACGUUGGGGAUUCCAUGAUGAAGAAUGAUAUGACCGCUGCGGUGGUGGCCAAGAACCUUCUCACUCCCAAAGAUAACAGACUACUUUUCAAACAGUGUGAUGAGUUGGUUGUUAAGGAUUCUCUGGCUCUUAGUGUUCAGUGUGCAGGUUCUGUGUCUAAUAUGGCCCAACGCCUAUUUGCAUAAACCCGCCAAGUUGAAUCAUUGGCGGCUGAAGUGAUGAGUCUCAAACAGAAGAUUAGAGGACUCAAGCAUGAGAAUAAACAGUUGCACCGGCUCGCACAUGACCAUGCUACAAACAUGAAGAUGAAGCUUGACCAGAUGAAGAAAUCUGAUGGUCAGGUUUUACUUGAUCAUCAGAGGUUUGUGGGUUUGUUCCAAAGACAUUUAUUACCUUCGUCUUCUAGGGCUGUACCGCGUAAUGAAGCUCCAAAUGAUUAACCUCCUAUGCCUCAUCCUUUUAGGGUUCUGUCCAGUACUGAGGCUCCGAAUGAUCCCCCUCCGGUACCUUCUCUUUCUGAGGCUCUACCGACUACUGAGAGUUUUCCUAAGCAACCUUUGUGAAGGCUUCCUAAGCUGAGAGAGGACAAACUUGUGGGACAAAUGAAAUUGGCCAUAACUCACGAACUGCUUAAAGUGGGCAAACACAAGCAAUGGUGUGCUCAUUGGAAACUUUGGUAUUUUAAAUUUUAAUCUUGUAUUUAUAGACGGAUGUAUGUGUAACUCUUUUAUUGAUCAUUUUGUGGCAUGCCACUGGAGGAAAUAUGUGGCCCCUCCAACUUUUGAGCAGCCCAGAUUUUGAGAAAGCAAACGCCUCUUUGAUUUCUAAGUAGGCGCCUCUUCGAUUUCUGAAGCUCCGUCGAGUGCAGAUUUUUAUAGAGGCUGGCAUUAAGUUCCAAAGCACACUUGAAUCUCCACCAGUAGAAGCUCCCUUCUUACACUUCUAAGAUUUUGAUUUGUCCGACCUCUUCUCUCUUCAACACCUUUGAAAAUGUCUGGCCCAUCCGACCGUCGUUUUGACUUGAACCUUGUUGAAGAGGCAGCCACGUCUUCUCCAGACAACAUAUGGCACCCAUCCUUCUUAUCCUCUACUCGUCCUCUUACUGUUGGGAAUUCUGUGAUGAAGAAUGAUAUGACCGCUGUGGUGGUGGCCAGGAACCUUCUCACUCCCAAAGAUAACAGACUACUUUUCAAACGAUGUGAUGAGUUAGCUGUUAAGGAUUCUCUGGCUCUCAGUGUUCAGUGUGCAGGUUCUGUGUCUAAUAUGGCCCAACGCCUAUUUGCAUGAACCCGCCAAGUUGAAUCAUUGGCGGCUGAAGUGAUGAGUCUCAAAUAGGAGAUUAGAGGACUCAAGCAUGAGAAUAAACAGUUGCACCGGCUCGCACAUGACCAUGCUACAAACAUGAAGAGGAAGCUUGACCAGAUGAAGGAAUCUGAUGGUCAGGUUUUACUUGAUCAUCAGAGGUUUGUGGGUUUGUUCCAAAGACAUUUAUUACCUUCGUCUUCUAGGGCUGUACCACGUAAUGAAACUCCAAAUGAUCAACCUCCGAUGCCUCCUCCUUUUAGGGUUCUGUCCAGUACUGAGGCUCCGAAUGACCCCCCUCCGGUACCUUCUCUUUCUGGGGCUCUACCGACUGCUGAGACUUUUCCUAAGCAACCUUUGUGAAGGCUUCCUAAGCUGAGAGAGGACAAACUUGUGGGACAAAUGAAAUUGGCCAUAACUCACGAACUGCUUAAAGUGGGCAAACACAAGCAAUGGUGUGCUCAUUGGAAACUUUGGUAUUUUAAAUUUUAAUCUUGUAUUUAUAGACGAAUGUAUGUGUAACUCUUUUAUUGAUCAUUUUGUAGCAUGCCACUGGAGGAAAUAUUUGGCCCCUUCAGCUUUUGAGCAGCCCAACUUUUAACAAAAGCAAACGCCUCUUCGAUUUCUAAGCAGGCGCUUCUUCGAUUUCUGAAGCUCCGUUGAGUGCAGAUUUUUAUAGAGGCUGGCAUUAAGUUCCAAAGCACACUUGAAUCUCCACCAGUAGAAGCUCCAUUCUUACACUUCUAAGAUCUUGAUUUGUCCGACCUCUUCUCUCUUCAACACCUUUGAAAAUGUCUGGCCCCUCCGACCGUCAUUUUGACUUGAACAUUGUUGAAGAGGCAGCCACGUCUUCUCCAAACAAUAUAAGGCACCCAUCCUUCUUAUCCCCUACUAGUCCUCUUACCGUGGGGGAUUCCGUGAUGAAUAAUGAUAUGACCGCUGCGGUGGUGGCCAGGAACCUUCUCACUCCCAAAGAUAACAGACUACUUUUCAAACGGUGUGAUGAGUUGACUGUUAAGGAUUCUCUGGCUCUCAGUGUUCAGUGUGCAGGUUCUGUGUCUAAUAUGGUCCAACGCCUAUUUGCAUGAAUCCGCCAAGUUGAAUCAUUGGCGGUUGAAGUGAUGAGUCUUAAACAGGAGAUUAGAGGACUCAAGCAUGAGAAUAAACAGUUGCACCGGCUCGCACAUGACUAUGCUACAAACAUGAAGAGGAAGCUUGACCAGAUGAAGGAAUCUGAUGGUCAGGUUUUACUUGAUCAUCAGAGGUUUGUGGGUUUGUUCCAAAGACAUUUAUUACCUUCGUCUUCUAGGGCUGUACCGCGCAAUGAAGCUCCAAAUGAUCAACCUCCGAUACUUCCUCAUUCUAGGGUUCUGUCAAGUACUGAGGCUCCGAAUGAUCCUCCUCCGGUACCUUCUCUUUCUGGGGCUCUACCGACUGCUGAGACUUUUCCUAAGCAACCUUUGUGAAGGCUUCCUAAGUUGAGAGAGGACAAACUUGUGGGACAAAUGAAAUUGGCCAUAACUCACGAACUGCUUAAAGUGGGCAAACACAAGCAAUGGUGUGCUCAUUGGAAACUUUGGUAUUUUAAAUUUUAAUCUUGUAUUUAUAGACGGAUGUAUGUGUAACUCUUUUAUUGAUCAUUUUGUAGCAUGCCACUGGAGGAAAUAUGGGACGUGAAACUCAACCAAAUCAGGGACAAGAAUAAUCUGCAUCUAAUGCAAGUUUUGACCUAUGUCUUUGUCCCUUUCUCGUGUGCGCUUUUAUAACCCAAUGCCAUUUGUUAAUUUUUCAGGUUUUUUUUUUAUUGUUUAUAGGUUUCGAAAAGGGGUAGAGUGAAACAAAAUGCAAGAGGCAGGUCAAUGCACAAUUCAAGGAAGCCACCUAAAAACCGUAGAAUCUGAAGGAAAUCAUUUGAAAAUUUAGACUUUUUGUUAAUGUCAAUUUUUUUCUUGGAUGAAGACAAUGUUGUGAACUUUAAGCCCCCAGGAUUUGGUGUUUUUUAUUUUGAGCAUAACCAAGCAAUGAAACAAUAUUUUUGAUAUGGUAGCAAUGAAAUGAUCAGGCAUUGCAUUCUCUUAUGGUUGCUCAAAAUAUCUUUAAGAUACAAAAGUGGGUGUGUUCAGUUUAGCAUGUCACGAAAUCAAAUUUUAUAUAGGUUUUGUAAUAUGAGAAACGGGUUGAGGUUUGGUGCCAUAAAUGGAGUUGUAGAUGCAUAUGCACUACUCAAACACAACUAUCUACAUGAAUACUUUCUAACACAAAUUUUAAAGGUUUUACUAAGAAAAGUAAAAACUUGUUAAAAGAUCUUAAAAUGACAGAAAUAACCUUGAACACAAGCCAUGUGCGAGGCACAUGACUUAUUUUGGAUGAAAAACGUAACGGAGUUAGGGUGGAAUGACAAAUUGAUGAUUUCGGCAAGUUGGUAUGACAAAUUACUUAAAAUUAUAGUUUGUGUAUAUGAUAUUUCAAAAAAAAAUUCCUUGGGAAAAUUAUGGUCCCUAUGUCCCAACCAAAUAAUAAGGUUUUUGAUGAGAUAAUCCAUGCAAACUUGAGCAUUAUAAUGUUCAUGAUUUUGUUUGAGUCUAUUCAUAUAUUUACUCUGUAAAUAUAGAUUAGAUCGGUUGGUAAGGCAUUGUAUCUGUCUCGUUUUUAUAUUUAAGUUUAAAUUCUUCUCUCUUAAGUUAUAGCUUAUAAUAUCGUCUUAACAAAACUAAAUAUACAUAUUUUUAGUGGGAUAUAUUUUGCUUAAGUAUGCAUGUUUGCAAGAUUAAAUGAAAACCUCCAAAAUGUAUGGGGUUUUAAAUUGAAUUCUAACCACCACCACCACCCUCAUAUAAUUAGGGCAAAAGGCGAAUUUAGGAAGGUUCGUGUUACAACCCGUUUAUAAUUUUAUUUUUGAAAAAAAAUGUGAAACGAUCAAAAUGCUCUUAGAGGGUAUGUGUCGACUUUCAUUGACUUACUGGUCAGGUCACGUGUGACAUAUUAAUUAGUAUAUUCUGUCAGCACUCGUUAUUAUGAAAGACUGAUCAUAAGCGUAGCGAAAAUUAGAACUAGAAUAAAGAUUUUACGAAACACGUAUAAAUCAUUUUAUUUUAAAGUAAUGGAAAAGAUAAUAACACUAGAUAUAAAAUAAUAAUGAUAGAAUAAAAUAAUAAAAAAAAGAGAGAAGAAAAGAUGAGAGGUGGAGAAGGAUCGGGAAGAAACGAAAAGAAGGGGAAAGGGGAGAAGGGGGGAAAGAAACUUUUCUUCUUCCUCCUUCACUCACGGGAUCCCUUUCAAACUAUUUUCAUCAUAAUUUCCUCCUACGAUAACGAAAUCACAUGAGGUCGUAAGCUAUAGUUUCGUAGCGAGGCCGUCUUCAAUCUUACCAUACCCACCCUUAGAAAACCGUUGUAUAAAGAAAACGAGGUCCAAACAUAUUGACUUGUUCCGGCGACUUUUCUCUGAUUUCGGGCAAUCCCGCUGGAAUCUGGCUCGACCCAAGUGAAAAUAAUGAUUCUCCCCUCGUGGGCUCUCCUCUAGCGUAAGUAUUUUCCCAAGGUUUUAACUUUUAGUUUUGGGGUCAAUUCAUGGUUUCGAAUUUCAAUUCGAUAUUUUGUAUGUAUAUUUGAGAUGAUGCUUGUUGUAUUGUUUAGGAGUUGAAUCGGAACCGGGUAGUCAUGAUUGGUUACAUAUAUAGGGAAGAACAUUGAAAUCCUAACCUCAAUUCGGUUCUCUUCAGAAAUUUAAGGGUUGGGUUUGUGUUAUAAGCAUUAAUGUUAUUCCAUAAUGGAGGCCAGAUACGUUGGAAUAUUUUGUGUGCCAUAUUUGUCCUACCCUUUAUGCACUGAAAAGAACAUUGCUGAAAUUGUAUGUGUUGCAGCCUAGGUUUGUGCAGUUAAUUAGAGUUCUAAAACUACUGAAUGGUUCUUUAUUCUUCCCAUGGCAUCGCCAGAUGCUGAUGCUGAAUAUUUGAUUGGACAAUGCUAUUAUUAGAGUAUUAUAUGACUCUUGUUUUGGCCGUGAAUUUAUUGGUGGUUCUUUAUUUCAUUCUUUCAGCGGAUGAAGAGCUUAAGACUGCUAGGAAUUUACAUUUUUAUUUUGAAGCACUUGAAUAAACAGUUUGGUUUUUCUAUAAUAAUAAUAAUUAAGGAUCAUUGAUAUGGUUAGGCUAGUGUACUAGUUACGAAUAAUUACAUGAAUGUUAUAGUUUAGGGAUUGCAUGUUAUUCUAUGGCCUGAGAACUAGUUCCUUGGUAAGAUUAAUGGAUUAUCAAACAUUAUACAUAUUCUCUAAUUGAAUACAUUACUAUGUUUAUGAGUUCAAGAUCAACUUAUUAUGGCUGGUAUGGAUAUCAAUAGUUGACAGAUCCAAUUUGGUGUGGUUACUUUUCCAUUAAGUAUUUCACGUUUAUACAUAUCAUGUUGUUUGCUUAAAUAAUACAAUGGAUGUCCUAUUAAGUGUAAAUGUCUAUAUGCGUAUACUGAAACCAAAAUCAAGUUGAUGAUUCACGUUUUGAAGUUAUAUAUAUAUAUAUAUAUAUAUAUAUAUAUAUUUCUCAUAUGCCUAGACAAGCUAUACAAAGAAAGUAUACCGUUUCUAUUAGUUAUUUUGAUUACAUGUAUGUAGUAAUGACUUGCAGUGGUGAUAGGAGUUUAUUGAAAUGGUGAACUACGAAUGGUUUGAUCCCUUUAGGGUAGUCUAACAAGGAGGUUAGAUGCAGCCAUAAAGUAUACUGAAAUUACUACGCAGUUCGAAUCUUGAGUUAUGCUUUGUACAUAUCCCGGAGCGCGGGGUAUGUUAGAUAUACGGAUGCGGGGUAUGUUAGAUAUAUGGAUACUUGGUGACGUCACGUGUCGAUCCUGGACGUAUGUCGGGAUUGGGGCCGUUAAAUGAAUUGCACCAAAUAGGGGAGGCCUUCGCCGGAUCUCUGUGUCCGAAGCCGACAAACACAGAGAUCCAAACCACUCAUUUUAAAUCAUAUGGUUCUCAUUAGCUCAUUCUAUUGGCCUUCCUCACACAAACCACGAGUUCAGAUCUCCCUCUCUUUAACUACCUGGAUAUUCGAGUUCUUGAACUUCGAAAACAAAAAUCCAGAGAGGAUCUCGACUCCAAAUAAGGUAGUUUUUCUACUGUGCAUGUAGAUAGCCCCAAAAAUAAGGGAAACCGCACCCCCCCCCCUCCGAAAAAAAAAAACCCCACCCAUAACAACAGUACAACUAUAAGUAAAGCUUUAUGAGGGGUCGCUCUAAACAAUGUUGCAUUAAAAUUAUCUGACAAUAUAACAUUAUUUCGAAUAAAACUUUUGUAUAAAUUAUAAGUUCAAACAAAAGACACUAUACAACUUCUUCUUGACUAUUUUAGGUGUAUAUAUACUCCAUUGCUGAAAAUUCUACUAUGCUCAUCAUAAUUCUUGCCAAUCCAUCAGGCAAUUGGGUUAAAUUGCCCUUGACCAAAAAAAUGAUGGUCCAUUGGUGCCAAAUUGGGCAGGCAAUUGGUGGGCUCCAAUAAGCUCGUUGAACUACCCUUGUAGCCCGUUGGCAAUAAGUAACGAUGGGCCUGACGUCAAGUAGCAAAAGGCUGACCUUAACCCUGUGCACCACACUUUGUGGCGCAUUUGAUAUUAAAAUUUUGAAAAAUUCAACGGUCAAGAUUAAUCCCAUGGUAAAAAAUCCAAAAAAAAUUUACAACAAAAAGUAUUUAAAAAACUUACAAAGUUCCUGCUUAAACAAAAAUUUGAGCUGAUAUUACUAAUAGAUAAUGACACGUGGUGCAAUGAAAGUGGUGAAAAUGGAAAAGUAUCCUCCCCAGCUCCCUUCCACCAAAUCCAUCAAGUUCAAAGAUCCGGAUCUUUGAAAUUUAAUCCAACGGCUACAAACAAGGUCUACUAUAAAAGCUAUAAUAGAUUGGAUCAAAUUUCAAGGGCCGGAUCCGAGCUUGUGAAUUUGGUGGAAGGGAUCCGGAGUCCUUUCCAUUGAAAAUCUCAUCGCCUCUCCUUUCAGCCCUUCAAGGGAAACCCACUUCUUGGGCCGUCUUCAACCACGUAAAGCUUCACUCUUUUAUUAGUUUCUGUGUUUAAAUUUGUUGGGGUUUGCAGUUUUGGAUUGAAAUUGGUGUUUUGGGAUUUGUUGGGUGCUCACAUGUGGAAAUUUGGAAAAUUUUAGUUGUGGAUUGUGGGGAACUGACGCAGUGGCGGUCCUAUUUCAUGUAAAUUGCUUUCGUUUGUGUGUUUUUGGUGAAAUUAUGAUGAGGGUUGGAUAGUUGGACUGGUUAGAUUUGUUUUGUGAAAUUAGAGUGGGAUCAAUCAAGGUUGAGACCUUUUUAGGUAAAGUAAUUGUGAAAGUUAUGUUUUUACAAUUUUUUUUUUGCAAAUUUUGUGACUUGGUGGAUUUGGAAUUUUGGUUAUAUUAGAUAUAUGUGUAAAGAAAAUAGUUGAACUGCAUGAAGCUUGAGGGGUAAUGAGGGUUUUAGGUAUUUAGUGACAUUCAGGCCAUGCUUGAUGUCUAUUUGAUGUCGGCGUAUCAGAAAUGCUUGAACAAAGAAGAAAGGUGCUCGAAGAGCUGUAGUAGUUAACUACUUGGUUUGAUUAGAUUGCUAUGUUAAUCAAAAUGUCCCCUAUAGUAUGUUAUAGGGUCAAAGUUUUACAUUAGUGUUCUUUAGCGACUUGGUUUCAAAAUUUUCGUUUUCGUUCGACUUUCCUUGGUCUGUGAGGCCAAUGGUAGAAUGAUCAUGGAAAUAUUUUUGUCUUAAUAUCUCUGGUAACAGCGGGUGUGCAUUCUUAAAGGACUUGUUUGUCACUCUUUUAAGCUGUUUAAUGUGCUCAUUUUAGUAUGCAUCAUCCAAAGUCUAUAACUGGUAAAAGUAGCACUACAAGGGCGAGGGAGCUAUCAUCUGUUUGGAAAUAAGAGCUAUAGACAUGCCCCAUAAGGGUCAAUAGGUCUCAGUUGCAUAUCUAACUUGUUUCUCAUGUGUUUUCAUCCUGAAGGUUAGAAAAGGUGGGCACUCUAGACGCGCAGAGAGUGGUUCAUCAACACCAAGGAUGGCGGGUGAUCUCAUGUAUGUGGUUACAUGCUGGAGUUUUCCAUGUGCUUGCCAAUAUGCUGAGUCUUGUAUUCAUUGGAAUUCGGCUUGAGCAAGAAUUUGGAUUUGGUAUGCAUCUGGAUUUUUAGCUUUAUGUAUGUUAUCAUGCAUGUAUGGCCACAUCCAUAAGUGUUUGUAGUAAAAGAUAAAGCUCACGAUGUAAGUUGUAGAAUAAUAAAUUAGUUACCAAGUGCAAAACUUCUUUCAUAAAUCUAGAAGAGAAACACUUUCCGGAUGGCUUUAGCUACCUUGCGAUUAAUCUACAGAGGAUUUCUAUGCAUUUGUUUAUUGAAUUGUAAUCCUAGAGUAGUGGUCAUGUAGUGCUGGUUGCAUUAUAACUUACAUCGGUAUGUUGUUUGGUUUGAUGGAAACAAGAGGACGUUUUGUUCAGCGGUGAGCAACGAAAAGAGUUUAUACACUGAAGAUGGGGUUCAAACUUUAGUUUUAGAUAUAGUAUUCCAUUUUACAGAAUAAAAUUGCUUGAAACAGAAGCUGAGAGAUUAUUUCAAUUUCCAUCACAUCUAUGGGAACAAUGAUUGUUUUGGAUAUCCUGUACAUGUAGACAUGGCGCCUCAUUUUGAAAUGUUUCAAGAUGCCGUCUAUUUGAAAAGAUUGAAAAAAUAAUAGUUUGAUGCGGAUCUACAUCAUGUACAGUUGUUUUGAUGAACUGUUUUAACUAAUUGGUUUGAAAUUCUAAUGUUUUUCUGAUUUGUUCUUCGGCAGUUCGAAUUGGUUUCCUAUAUCUCAUGUCUGGUUUUGGUGGGAGUUUGCUUUCAGCUCUUUUAUUCAAUAUGGUAUUUCUGUUGGUGCUUCUGGUGCACUUUUUGGUUUACUAGGAAGCAUGCUUUCAGAGCUCACAUCAAAUUGGACAAUGUAUGUAAAUAAGGCAAAUAAAAUUCUGUAUACUCAAUGAUGGACCUCUUUAUAGUAUGUGCACGACCCUUUGAUCUUACAGUUUCAGAUUUCGAUCCGCAGUUAGCAGCAUUGCUUACUCUCCUUUUCAUCAUCAUAAUAACUUAGCAGUGGGAAUUCUACCACACGUGGACAACUUUGCUCAUAUUGGAGGAUUUGUCUCUGGAUUUCUUCUUGGAUUUUUGUUUUUGAUCUGCCCCCAGUUUAAAUGGCUUACCCAACGGAAUGCUCCCCCUGGACGUGUUACUACUCCAGUGAAAUCUAAACACAAGACGUAUCAAUAUGUAUUGUGGGUCCUCUCUUUGAUACUAUUGAUUGUUGGGUAAGCUCCUCCUCGAUCUCUGAUUUAAUUGUUUGACUUCAUGAACCUAAUCAACUCCCUGCAUGAAAAUCUGGUAGCCACAGUUGACAUAUGCACAUUUUUUUUUUUAUCAAAUCAGAGAACUGGAUUUUGUAUAGAUAUGUAGAUCUCGUGUGUCCUGUAAUAUUUUCAUUGCAAAUAGGCUCUGUAUCUGCUUGUUUCUCAUCAGAAUGGUUAGGAGAAGGCAUUGUGUUAUAGCUAUUCUCUGUGUAAUACUAAUUGAUCACUUUGUUGAUAGCGGCUUCUACUUUGCUGUUUUGGAUUGCAUGUAUUGGAAAUAAAGGUUCAUUUUCCUCGUAUUUGUGUAGUAUCAGUAUAUGCAGGCAUUUUCUGACAGAAGUCAUGUUUUUGACAGGUAUACUCUUGGCUUGGUUGCUCUUUUUCGAGGGGUCAAUCUAAACAACCACUGUUCCUAGUGUCAUUACUUGAGCUAUGUCCCUACAUCAAAAUGGAAUUGCGAGUCGCAAAUAUUUAUUGUCUGAUAAUAUGCUGUACUUUUCUACUCAUAUUAACUUCCACCUUAAUAUUUGAUUGACAGAAGUGCUUGCUUAUUAAUAUGAUCAUGGUUGCAUUCAGUCGUUCUAGUUUGGCAUGCCGUUUAGUCUAAUGCCUUAAAGAAAUGUAAUUUAAGAAAUGACUUCUGAAAUUCUGUGUCAGGAAAUUGCUUUUGCAACGUACUUUGUUAGUACUAUAAGUUGGUUUUGUACUGACAUAUUGUUCUUUAUAUGCAUAUAUGCACCAAUCUUGCAGUUGAGCCAGAUAGGGAAUCAGCUGAACUUAACGUGCGUAAGCAAUGGUAGAAAUGGGACAUAAUCAUUGUCAGAUCCCAGCCCCUCCCGGACUUAGCAGCUAUAUGCUGAGCUUUGCAGUUGACCAUACAUGUACAGAUUUCAGAGUUGAUAGAAUGUUGAUUGAUAUGCUUCAUUCUUGUAGUAAGUAUUCUUUCUCUUACUUCUAUUUUUUGUUGGGUGAAAUAGUCAUGUGUAUUCACCAAGCAAUGGUUCUCAUUGUCAUUAUUCUUUUCAUUCUUUUACUGCCUUUGUACCUCUUUUCUACUAUUCAUAACAGUUGAAACCCAUACCGAUAACUAUGAAAUUUAUUUGCCAUGUAAAACUACUCAAUCACGCAAUUUACCCAUACCUAAGUUUGUUGAAUGUGGAAUGUUAUGGAUCCUCUCAAGCGGACCCUCUCGGCUCUCUCAUUCUGCAAUGUUGCAAGAUGAUCGGACAUAUGUAUACUUUGUAGUUCAUCCUCUAGAGACCAACUUUGAAAAAAAAAUCAACUAAAUAAAAAAUCAUUUAACCAUUUAAUUAACAUUGUCAAACUUUCAGUAUUUAAUUGAAAAACAUAGUUCAUUUAUUUAUUGGAUAACAAUUAGAUGACAAAACAAGUAUGAAUUACUUUGGUUUUUGGCGAAGUUGGACUUUAAAGUGAGGCGUUAAUAACUGGAUAUGUCUACAGUGGUGGAAUUCUCUUGCUAAAGACUUGAGCCCCCAUGAAGUUUAAAAAUUAAGAAAGCUUGAUCUCACUAGUAACUGGUACAAUUUUUAGAAAGGUUGCAUCCACAACAAGCUUUCUUGCAAUGGUACUUUAGGGGAACUAUGAGAAAAUCAGCAAUCUCACAGUCCAGCCCCUUAUAAAACAUAGAGACUUCAAAAUUUCCAUUCAUAGCUAGGGUCGCUGAUCACUCAUAUAUUUCAUGCAUUUAUACCAUCCAUUCUAAAGUCUUUGUGAUGUUUUGUGUUAAAAUUGUGGCAUUUUACCUUACCUUGUGUUAGUGUGCAGUUAAAUUUGUUUUAGGAUCAAUUUCAAGCAAAAAGGAGAAAAUGAAAUAAUAAAAAAACAAACAAAAGAAUUGGAGUCAAUUAUUCAAUGGCCUUGCACGAUGAUAGCAAUGUUUGAGCAUUUACACUUUGGUUAUGUUCAACAGUUAUAUGGAGCCUUAAACAUUGACAAAAGAAAGGGAAUAUGUGGCCAGGGAACACACGGAAGUGGAACAAAAAAAGGAAAGAAAAGGUGGUGGAAAAGAAAGGAAAUGGGAUUAUUGGGUUUUGGUAGGCAACUUUACAGUUAGUAGUCAAAAUACUUCCCCGAGGAGGACCACUUCUCUCAAAGGAUAGGAGCAGCGACAAGAUAUUGAUCAUCAUGAAGUGGUUAGUCCUCCUACUGCAACUAAGAAGCACGGCAGGAGAGAAAAGAAUAAUGGAGCAGAAAGACAGCGCAGAGGAGAGAGACUGACAGACACGGGACAGAGUGGAGAGACCGACAGAGUGGAGAGAAGACAGAGAGGGCAGACUGACAGAAAAAAAGAAAAGAAAAGAAAAAAAAAAGGGAAAUAGAGAAGAGAGGGCACGGCAGAAGGGAUGGCACACGGACAGAAAGAAUAAAAGCAAAGAGAGUAGAGAGAGCCAGGGGAGAAAAAGAAAAAGGAUAGCAGAAAAAUAUAGAGAGAAGCCGUGGAGGGCAGAGAUGGAGCAACAUACAGCAGAGCAGAAAGAAGCAUGCUCAUCUCUUUGAGGAGAAGAUCGGAGAGCUUCCUUGUAAAAAAGGUUGUCUCUUUCUUUGAUUCUUCAUGAAUUUCUUAUAUAUUCAAAUAAUUAUGUGCAACUAAUUUCCUUUUGCUAGAGUGAGGUCAUGAGCCGCAACAUGAUUACGUAGAUUUCUCUUUCAAUUGCUUAAGUGUUGUUAAAUGCUUGCUUUGAUAUUUUCAAUCUCUAAAUUAAACUAUCUAUGUGUCUAGAAGCUUGAUCACCAUUAGGAUGCUUAGAAAAGUUAUCGGAUGCAAUUUUGAACGAAUGUCACGUUAAAAUUGGUUAUGCUUCUUGUGAUUGAGGAUUGUACUCUCCUAAGGUAAAUAUCAUGCUCUUAGGGAUUACAUGGUUUGAAGAAAAGAAAAAAGGAUUUUUCACUAAGAUUAAUGAAUCACUCAUGUUUAUAUUUAGUACAAAUGUUAUGGAUAAGUUGCAUGUAGUGGUAUGCGUUUUAGCUUGAAUGUUACAAGUAAAACAUACACAAGGAAAAUCCAACCUUCAAAGAAUGUGUUUUCAAUUAUUUAAGCAAUUGGAAUAGCUACAUAGGAGUGUUGUUGUAAAGGUUGAACUCUAGGAUAUUGUCAAUCUAUUUUUCUUCAAUCAUUUAUUUUAUCUUGAAUUUCCUCAUUUACUUGUUUUGUUUAGUUGAAUCACUAUUCCUAUAAGCCAAUUCCUAUUUUAGAUAUUUGUUUAAGUCACAUCGAGGAGUAUUUAGUUUCGUCAAAUUAGUGUAGUUCUUAGAGUUAAAUAAGUUAAAUACACAAAAACUCGUAAAUUGUUUAUAUCAGUCUCUGAGGAGAUCGACCUUGCUUGAGCCAUUCUAUACUACAACACUUAUUCUCUUACAAGAAUUUUCUAUGGUUUAACCCUUUGUUUUACAAGUGGUAAAAUCGCUAUCAAUCGCCUAGCAAGGUAACUUUCAUAUUAAAAGACACCAGCGUGACGUCUGAUGUGACCAAAAUAUAGGGUUCCAUGUAUUUAUUUUUUCAUUUUGGAUGGUUGCCAAAUGUUUCGAGUCAGCUUCUGGAAUCAAGGUGCUUUAAUGGUCUUCGUCCUUGGCGUACCGAAAGUGCCGGACAAUAGGUGGUUGCCAAAUGUUUCGAGUCAGCUUCUGGAAUCAAGGUGCUUUAAUGGUCUUUCCAGUCAGCUUCUGGAAUCAAGGUGCUUUAAUGGUCUUCGUCCUUGGCGUACCGAAAGUGCCAGACAAUAGGUGGUUGCCAAAUGUUUCCAGUUAGCUUUUGGAAUCAAGGUGCUUUAAUGGUCUUGGUCCUUGGCGUUCACCGAAAAUGCCAAACAACAGUUCCCAGUAGUGGAAGUAAGCUAGUGAAGUCGUCUAAAAAAACAAGCCAAAGUGGUUAUCAUUUACUUGGACUUAUUCCUUCUCAUAUUUGAAUUUUCAAGAAACAGAAACUGUGGUGUAAGUUCCUCCUAUGAUCCUAUCCUUCUAUAAAUUUCCUUGUCAUGUAACAAAUGGAACUCACCAAAAACUCAACACCCAUCUCUUUAUUUCUUUCUGCUUCUCUCACUAGUUAUAUAGUUAACCAGAUUAGAAAUGGGGGUUUUGGUUGUGAAAUUGAUCUUAAUAUACUUGCUUUUCAGUGCAAUGUUCGUUUGCUGUUGGAGCUCCCUGCAAUCGGGACUCGGAGGGAAUGCGACGGAUAGGCUGGCUCUGCUUGCCAUCAAAGCUCAAAUAAAGCAAGAUCUCCAUAAUUACAAUGUGAUGAGCUCCUGGAAUGAAUCCACGCACUUUUGCAUGUGGCAUGGUGUGACGUGCAGUCGACGACAUCGCCAAAGGGUCACUAACCUGGACCUGCAAUCUCAAAAUCUGGUAGGGAAACUAUCCCCAAACAUAGGAAAUCUAAGUUUUCUAAGGGAGCUAUGGCUGCGAAAUAACAGCUUCAGUCAUGAAAUUCCUCCACAAAUUGGGAAUUUGCGUAGAUUGCAGGUAUUGCGAUUAGACUUAAACUCAUUUAGUGGCAGUAUUCCACCCAAUAUAUCACAUUGCUUCAACCUUAUCCUAAUGCGUUUCUCUCGCAACAAGUUGGUGGGUAAAAUUCCUUCAGAAAUUGGAUUGCUGUCAAAACUGCAAAAAUUUUCAUUAAAUUUUAAUAAUGCAACGGGACAGGUCCCUCCUUCCUUAGGGAACCUUUCGUCUCUCCAGCGACUAAGUCUUGUUGAUAAUAACUUGAUGGGAAACAUCCCCGGUUCUCUUGGCCAAUUGAAAAAAUUAACCUUCUUGGGAUUGGGGUUAAAUCAGUUGUCUGGUAGCAUCCCUUCCUCAUUUUAUAACCUCUCUUCUCUUGAUACAUUUUCCAUAGAAAUUAACCAAAUUCAAGGGAGUAUUGCAUCAGAUAUUGGCCAAAGUCUUCCCAAUCUCGGAGUCUUCAACGUCGGCGCAAACCAACUUACUGGGUCCAUACCUCCCUCAAUAUCCAAUUUCACAAGUAUUCGGAAAUUUGAAGUUGGGAGUAACAACCUAAUCGGACAGGUACCGAAUCUCCAAAAGUUUCACAACCUCCUGAAGUUCAACAUUCAAUUUAAUAAUAUUGGAAGCGGUAAAGAUGGUGACUUAAGUUUUCUCUCGGACUUGACCAAUGCCACCUAGUUACAAUCGCUGGUUAUUAACACCAACAAUUUUGGAGGGACAUUGCCCAUUUCAAUAUCCAAUCUUUCAACCAAACUUGAAUUGUUUUGGGUUGACGAUAACCAAUUAUAUGGAAGCAUCCCAUCUGGGAUAGGGAACCUGGUGAGCUUGGCAUCGUUGCGUUGGGGGAAUAAUAGCUUCACAGGUAACAUCCCCUCUGACAUGGGUAAGCUUUCAAACCUUGGAGUAUUAUAUAUUUCCAAUAACAACUUAUCAGGAAAUAUCCCGUCUUCCUUAAGAAAUUUAACCAAGUUAUACCAUCUUCGGUUGGAUGAAAAUUAUCUUGAGGGCAGCAUUCCUUCAGGUCUGGGGGAAUGCCUUUGGUUGCAAUUGUUGAAUCUUUCUUAUAACCUUCUUAAUGGCACAAUACCCAAACAAGUUUUUAGACUCUCCUCCUUAUCAAUUUAUUUGGGCCUGUCUAAUAACCUCUUCACAGGUUCCCUUCCUCCGGAGGUUGGGAAUUUAAAUAGUCUAAGUGAACUGGAUCUUUCUGAUAACAUGUUAUCUGGAGAACUCCCCAGUAGCCUUGGUGGUUGUGAGAGUUUAGAAGUCCUGCAUUUGCAAGGAAACUUCUUCAAUGGGUCCCUUCCUUUGUCUAUGAGUUCAGUGAGAGGGAUUCAAGAUCUAGACCUUUCUCGCAAUAAUUUUUCAGGUGAAAUUCCACAUUUUUUAGAAGGCUUUAGAAUCCUGAAUAAUCUGAACUUAUCAUUCAAUCAAUUUUGGGGAGUGGUACCAACUGGAGGUGUUUUCAAAAAUGCAAGUGUUAUUUCAGUUGUUGGCAACACUAAUCUGUGCAGCCCUGUUGCUAAUUUAAAGCUUCCCAAGUGCAAGUCUAAAGAGACCAAGAAACAAAGAUUGUCUCGUAGCUUGAAACUAAUACUCCCUUUAGUAUUUGGACUUACUCUUCUAGGAAUAGCCAUGGUGUUCUCCUAUUUCUUUCUUUGUUCGUCAAGGAAGAAAAGGACAGAAAUUUCAUUGAGCACUUUGGAGAACACUAUUUUGCAAGUGUCAUAUGCUACUCUACUCAAAGCUACUAACGGGUUCUCAAAGGCUAAUUUAAUUGGUGCUGGUAGUUUUGGGUAUGUAUACAAAGGAGUUCUUGAUGAUGAUGAUAAAGCUCAACUUGUUGCAGUGAAGGUGUUUAACUUGUUAUGUUGUGGAGCUUCGAAGAGUUUCAUAGCCGAAUGUGAAGCUUUGAGAAAUAUUAGGCAUCGAAAUCUCGUCAAGAUUAUAACCGUGUGUUCAAGUGUUGAUUUUCAUGGUAAUGAUUUCAAGGCUCUAGUUUAUAAGUUCAUGGACAACGGGGAGCUUAGAGGAGUGGCUGCAUCCACCCGCUGGAACUGAAGAGUUAAGAGAUCAUGUACCCGUGAAGUUAAGUCUUCUUUAGAGGCUAGAAAUUGUCAUUGGUGUUGCUUGUGCACUGGAUUAUCUUCAUAAUUAUUGUGAAGCGCCAAUAGUUCAUUGUGAUCUCAAGCCAAGCAACGUUCUCUUGGACAACGAAUUGACUGGCCAUGUUUCUGACUUUGGAUUAGUAAGGUUUCUCUCACAAGUAACGAGUAAUGUUUCAACAAUUCAGAGUCAGACAAGUUCCGUUGGAAUAAGAGGAACCAUUGGUUAUGUAGCUCCAGGUAUAUAUAUGUUAGAUAUAUACUUCAUUAUAUUUCCUUUUUUAUUCUGCAGUAUUUAAUUUACAAAAUUCAAACUGAACUAUUUAUACACAAAUGUGAUGUUUGAAUUGUAGAGUAUGGCAUGGGGAGUGAGGUGUCAACGAAUGUUGAUAUCUACAGCUUUGGCAUUCUCUUGUUGGAGAUGUUUACAGGGAAGAGACCCAUUGACAACAUGUUUGGUGAUAGCUUGAACCUUCAUAAUUUUGUCAAGAUGGCUCUCCCCGGGCGAGUUACUGAGAUUGCAGAUGCACCACUUCUUCAAGGAGGCCCGAAUGAGAAUCCCAAUCAAUGCAGUGCGAGAAUUCAUAGAGUUGAGGUGUGCUUGAGUUCAAUAUUUAGAAUUGGAAUUGCUUGUUCUGCUGAAUCCGCAACAGAUCGACUAAAGAAUAUCAAUGAUGUUGCAUCUAAACUUCAUUCCAUUAGGAAUACUUUUCUUGGAUAGAAACUCCUUUUUAUGUGCUUUUGUGAUAGAGAAAUUUCGUGUACUGCUUGUGAAGUCUAGCUUUUAUGUUACCACAGUAGAUGUGGAAGUUUGCAAUGUAAAUAAUCAUCAAUGAAGUUCAUUGUGUGAAAAGUGUGUUACUACUACUUGUACUUGGUAGUUUUGUGUAAUAUUCACAUCGAUUAAAGUCUAGUUCGUGCCACAAAAUUGUUGAAUAUUCACAUUGACAGAUUCCAAAUUUUUGAAAGAUUCGUAACCUCAAGACCCUCAACAUUCAAUAAAAUCAUCUUGGAAGCUGUAAAGAUGGUGAGUUGAGUUUCCUAUCAUACUUGACCACCAUCUGUGUAAGGUGUUUUCGAAAAUCAAAGUGCUAUUUCAAUUGUUGACAACACUAGAUUCUGCGAGGGAAUUCCUAAUCUCAAGCUGCCCAAUUGCAAUCUAAAGAGCUCCAAGAAAAGAAGAUUAGCUUAUAGAUUGAAAUUAAUAAUCCCUUUAGUAUUCAGACUUGCUCUACUUGCAAGUGUCAUAUGCUACUUUCUCAAAAGCCACUGAUCGUUUUCUUCAACUAAUUUGACUGGUGUUGGCAGUAUCCUCCAUAUAAGUGAAGGGAAUUGGGUUCAAGUUGGUUGGUAUGGUUAAUAGGGUUUGCAAAUAGUCAUUUUUUUGUAGAAUUUUAACCCCAACUUUAAAGCCCAUGGCCUAUGACAAAUCAGUGUUUUCUAGCAUUGUUGCUAUCAAUAUUCUCCCAUGUGCAUUCUGAAUUCUAAUCCAAUGGUUUUAGCAUUCAUUCUACUAAUCUUGACAAUGAAAGAGUUUUUUUUUUUUUUUUUGGUUCGAAUAAAUGAUAUUAUCUACACAAAGAGGAAGGGGAUAGACUUAGCUUAAGUGGCAUGAAAGAAUUUCUAUUAAACCUGCAAAAAUGAAAAUUCUCAGCCGGUCAUUAAUGGAUUUGAAUUUAGAUUUAUUACAAUUGAUAAAGAUUUUUUUUUUUUCGGCAAUCAAUAGGAUACUAACAAAUUUGUUUUUAGUACAAAGAUGUCACGAUAAUGUGACUUAUAGUUGUGUCACUGACCUUUUAACUUAUUGCCCUAUCUUUAACACACUUCAAUUAAUAUCAUCCUCUAAUUGUUAGUAUUUAAUGAAUCUCAUCAUAAAUUGUUAGCCAAAAUAUUAAUUAUCAAAGCAAACAAACUUGAUUGAGUUAUAAAUUUAACAUGACCCAGUUGGCAUGGCUAGGAGAAAAAUCAAUUUUGUUCAUAAUUUUCAUGUCUUCCAAGUGAACAUGGGGCUAUAAGUGAAGUUCCAAAGGGUACGGUGGUGUAAUUUGGUCCAUGAAUUGUCUCCUCCAAUUUGCAUGCAUGCGGUAGGUGACUGACUCCCAAAUAAUUCUCGUUGCCAAGCAAAUUAAAUACCAUUAAUUAAGAGCUUAAAAACACUUUAAUUAUUACCUCUAUUUUGCUUUUGCAAUUAGGAAAUUUUCCCCCUUUUGCGUACAAUAUUAUAAGAAUAUUUUUGUUCUCUACACUUAAAUGAUGGUGAUGCUCACUACCUUAUUUAUCACCGUUAUAUGAGUUUAAUACAUGUUAAAACUCAUAGUGAUGGUGCUAGCUACCUGCUUCUUGUGUUUUUUUAAAGAAAGAAAGGGGCAUUUGAUGUUUGGACAGACAUAGUGAUGGUGCUAGCUACAUGCUUCUUGUGUUUUCAAAAAGAAAAUAAAAAAAUGAGAAAAGGCUAAUUUGCACCCUUUUGGAUAUUAUGAUGCCAAUUUGCCUCGUUGAGAAACUUGUGGCUUUUCUAAUGGAGAUUGCGUAAAGGUGCAAACAAUUUGUUAAUGGUUGUGCAAAAUAGGUUUCAUACUGCACUCCGCCGCGGGAUUUGAAAUCAUAACCCACAAUUUAACAUACCCAUUUCUAAAUUAUUCAGAAAUCAAUCAGAGAAACUUCAAGCAGAAGAAAAUUGAGUUCUCAAUUAGAGAAAACUUCAAUUUCAUGCAAGUUUUUUUGUUCAAAUUUCAGGGCUUAACAAUGCAAGAUUUGAAUUUGCAUUUGGUUCAAAGAAGUAAGAUAAACUGAUAAGAAAAAUGAACUAAAAAAAUAGUGUUUUUUUUACAAUAUAUAAAGAGACAAUCUCAGAAGUUUGCAUAUGUGCUGGAAAUUUACAAUAUAUAAAGAGACAAUAUCAGAAUAAAACACAUUUGAAGAAAAAGUAAUAAGAAAAGAAAAUAGUGUUUUUUACCUAUGAUCCAUGUGAGGAGUAGAAUUUUCAGUCAUAAUUGACAACCCAAGAGCUCUGUAAAUCAAAUAUAUAGGAAAAGAUCAAUAAAAAGUGAAUUACAGUUUCUCAAAUCAGAAAGUAACAUUUAUUUGAAAAGAUUCAGACUCAUUUUGGAUAUAGAUAAACAAUGGCAUGUUAAAAACCAAAAUGAUAAGGCAUUCAACAUUCAACAUUCACGUAAAAAAAAUGAAAUACAUGUUAUCCAUCAAUGUUUUGGUAACAAAUUCCCAAAUUGCUCUAUCUACCAAACAUUUGCAAAUCUAUAGUUACAGAUGUUUAGUUCUAUGAUAUUCAACCCAAUACCCACAUUAUUGGCAAAACGACAUUGUAUAGAUCGUUUGAGCACCCGAGCCAAUGACAAUAACAUUGAAGGCAACUACAAAAUUGUACAUUAUAUAAAGAGGCAAUCUCACAAUCAAAAUUGUCAAAAUCAAUAUUUUAUGGCUACAUUUUUUUCAUCAGUCAAUCAAUACACACUGAACACAGAAUCACAUACUCGACAAAAAUUCAAACCCAUAAAUCUGAAAUUAGCAAUGUUAUUUCUUACCCCCCAAAAACAAUCCAAAUCUUAGUGGUUACAUUCAUUAGUCAAGCACUCAACCACUUAGGCACAUCAACUACAACUUGGGAAUUGUGGAGCAAAAAAUAAUCACAAGGCGACACGUGGACUUUUUAGUAUAAGAGGACCAAACUACCCUUGAGGCACACCGAGAUUCCUACACGCGAGCAGCUCAAAAAUGCUCCAAAAAGGUAACAAUUCAAUAUUCAUCUCAUCAAAUCCCGUAACCUCUAAAAUAUUUAUUCCAAAAUUAUAUUAAUUGGUUAAUUAAUGGAUUAAUUACCCAAUUACUCCAUUAAACAUCAAUUAAAAAAUCCAAAUAACCACAACAUAUAUUCCCCUCAAUCCCAAAACUAGUGAUUGACCGGCCACCCCCUUUCUCCCCAACUUUUCACACUUUUCUCCAUUUUAUUACCCUAUUUACACAACUAUUCAAUUUUGUAACCUCCUAUUUAUUUCUUUAUACUUAAUUAGCCAAUAAAUUGGCUAAUUAAGCUAAAACUAUAACCACCAAAACCCAUUAGUGGCCGGCCACACCUUGGGAAAAUUGGGCAAAGCCUAACCCUAUAAAUAGGCACCCAUUCUCACAAAAAAGCUAGGCCAACACUCUUGCAAAAAUCUCUAAAUUCUCUAAACACUCUUUCUCUCUAAAUUCUAACUUUGGCAUCGGAGGUUCUUCGGCCAAAGCCUCCCCCCAUUCAUCGUGGGCGCGUGAGGCUUGUGGCCAUAACCAAAUGUGUUAUUUAUUUUGUAGGUGCAAUUUUGUUUAAAAUCAAGGAGGAAGAAAUUUGCAUCCACAAAUUGGUGCUUUCAUUGAGAGUUGAGAUUCACACUCGUAGAAGACUCUUGCGCAAAAAGGUUUUUUCUCUAUUUCCUCUAUUUUCUAGUCCACUUGUAUUUUUCAUACGUUUUUAUUAUGAGAAUUUUUUAUUUGCCAAGAUUCUUUGAUAAAACGUAAAAGAGAAAUACAAUGGCUAGAAAUUUAGAAAAUUCCACAAGUGAAAAUUCCAAUAUUCAAGAAAUGGGACUGCGGUGAUCCACGAGACUAAACGUGAUCUUAAAGGGAGCGGCACCACCACCACAAGGCUCCACCAUGGCAACCACCGAGGUGGCCACCAUGGCAAUCACCCGCGGCGAGGUCCAUGGCUCCACCACUACGGCCCAAGCCGUGUUAUCCAGGGCCCACGCCACCAAAGCCACGGCUCGAGCCAUGUUACUCCAUGCCCAACGUGAGCCCAAUGCGUUUCCAAUUCGAGCUCAAGCCUCGCAUUCGCAUGCACCACGCAUUAAGCAGCCUGCUCCCGUGACCUAGCCUGCUCCCGUAAUCCAACCUACUCCUGCAGCCUUGCCUGCUCCCGCGACCCAGCCUGCUCCUGUAAUCCAGCCUGCUCCUGCAGCCUUGCCUCCCAUGGUUUCCCAAGCAGCUCAAGUUGGCCCGAGAAUAUCUUAACUAUCCGGAGCAACCAUCAAGCUGGGGGCAUUUUCACCAAAUUUCUCCGCGGAUUUGACAUUUCCCAAUUCAAAUCUUGCACCCGGAGUCUACCACACUUCCAUUGCUCAAGGAGGCACAUUCCUUCCAAGCUCUUCCAAUCCAAAUGGCGAACAACACUUGUCUCGACAAGUCAUAGAGUUGACGAGCGCCCUUGCACAACAGACGACCUUGGUGAAUCAACUCUUGCAACGCACCGAGAUCCAACGUGCCCCGGACGAGGUGUCCCGAAGUAGGACAAGGGUAAAUGAACCUCUCCGCCAGCAUCCCGGCAAACAUUAACCAGCCAUGUUCCAAGCGUUCGUGCAUUCCCAAUCAAGCCCACAGACGAGCAUACGUUCACGGUUGAGGUCAUACUCCGAUUAUCAACAUGGACAACCUUCCAGGUGAAAUGUUCAUUCACAACUAGGCUCACAAGGAGCAUUCUCCACCUCACAUCUGAGUAGGCAGCACAGCAGAUGGAGAGAAACAGUCACUCAAUCCGACUCAAGUUCAAGCAGCAGCCUGCGAACGGCCCGUUCGCUUGCUGGAUACAUGCCACAUGCACCGCAGUCGCAACAUAGACGAGUUAAACAUAGGGAAGAGCGGCCCAAACCCAUAGGUCACGACCGGAGGCAGUCGAAAAUUCCAUUGCCCCAGCAGAGGUAAAUUCAAGAAGAAGUUGAUAGGCUUUUAACUGAACGACUGCGCAAUUUCCAACGAAACGAGGCUGCUGACGUACGCUUCGACGAGACAUGACCAACAUAAGCAUGUCAUCAUUCACGAAUGAGAUCGAGUUGAUAGAUCCACCUCGCGGGUUCACUAUGCCUCAUUUCAUUCCGUACAAGGGAGACGAAGAUCCGGAUCGACAUCUCAAGUAUUACUGCAGUACCAUGAUCCUCUACAGGAACAAUGAUUCACUUAUGUGCAAAAUUUUUGCCACAACUCUACAAGGCGAGGCGUAAGACUGGUUUCACACUCUACCGCCGCAGUCGAUCCGAAGUUUUAACGAACUUUCCUUUGUUUUCACUAAGGAGUAUUCGUUUAAUCGCUCAAUCAAAAGGACAUCCGACCAUCUCUUCAGCAUCGUAAAAGACCCUCGGGAGACAAUUCGCGACUAUGUCAAGAAGUUCAAAAUGGAGAAGGCGAAGAUUGUUGGCUACAACGAAGACAUAGCAACGACAACAUUCAGAAAUGGGCUUUCCACGGAACAUCCUUUAUUCGGAAAAUUGAUCAUGGGAGAAGAAUUGACCCUAGCAGCUUCAUAUGCUUUGGCAGAAAAGCAUGCAUUAUGGGACGAGGCCAAGCAGUCUAACAAAAACGAGUCAAAAAAGAAGCACAUGGAACGUUCCCCGACCAAAGAAAACUCAGCGCUUGAAACAUUCACCAAGUUCACAGUUCCAAUCAGCCAAAUUCUUCGCAAGCUCAAGAAUGAACCUUGGUUUGAACUACCACCACCCAUGAAAAGCGAUCUUACUAGGCUGGAUCAUACAAAAUAUUGCGCAUUCCAUCAAGGACCAGGCCACACUACCAACGGCUGCCUGAAGUGGAAGCAGUACCUUGAGAAGCUGACAAAUGAGGGCCGAUGCGAUGAGUAUCUUAACAGGUCAACAAAACGGCCUACAUAAGCAGGGGAAGUUCCCAUCACCCCCUGAACCACGUUUGGAUUUUUUCCAAAUAAGUUCGAAGAUUCAAGCAGCUCGACGAACAAGGCUUCAUAAGCCGAAGAAUAUCCAGUUUGUUAUGCAGUUUCUACUUUCCAGCACAGUUGAUUUAUUUCUUUAUUCUCAAUAAAGAUUCAAGAAGUUAUUCAUAAGUCUGCUCCAAACCCUUUCUGGGUCUGCUCUCCAGUGCGAGAGGUUAAACUAAUUGCUCUCCAGUGCGAUAGGGUAAACUAAUUCCCCGACACCCUAAAGGGUCUGCUCUCUAGUGUGAUAGGUUAAACUAAUUGCUCUACAGUGUGAGAGGGUAAACCAAUUCCCCGACACCCAUAUGGGUCUGCUCUCCAGCGCGAAAGGUUAAACUAAUUGCUCUCCAGUGCGAGAAGGUAAACCAAUUGCUCUCCAGUGUGAAAGGGUAAACUAAAUCCCUGACACCCAUCUGGGAAAGCUUCCAAUGUAAGAAGGCCACAUAGUUUAAAAGAUCGAAUGCUUAAAUAUCAGUUAAGUAACAAAUGGUUAGGGAGCAGCAACCACUUUUACACUUAAUAGUUCGCUCAUCCUACACUUCAUCUUUAGCAACUCCGAUCUUGGCAGCUUCAUCCUUGACUGCUCCAUCUACGGCAACUGAGAAAUCAAACUCAAGCAGUUUCCUCAUUUUUGGCAAGCAGCCCAGACGUGGUAGCCCAAACUGUUGUCCAUGCCACGCCAUUUCCUCGGCCCAUGCCGAGCCAAUCCUUGGCUUCAAUCAAGCUGACAACAUAAACAAUGGCCCUUGCCACAUCACCUCAUUGGCCCAUGCCAAGCCGACUCCUGGCCCCUGCCAGCCGACGUGCCACACCACCCCCGACGGCUGCCCCGUGGUAGCACCUCCCAAGAAGAAGAUAAGGAGAAUUAAGUUUUCCUUACAUCGGUGCGGCGGAGAAAACAAAGAAAGCAACGAAAGACAGUCCUUCGCACGAACAAGAUGUAGAAGAUUGAAGCUUUCUCUCUCUUGUAGGGUAGAAUAAAUUGCUCUCCAAAGUUGAUUUAACAACCCACUUAAGGUGGACUUAAAUAGGCUUUGAGAAAAAUUUAUUUCCCUUUCCUAGAAGGAUCUAAUUUCACAUUAAAGAGGGAAUCAAGCAGUCCUAAGUUUCCUAGAGCAAGAAGAUCUCUACACCUGCUGCCCUUUCCUACGAGCAGCCCAGCAGGUGUGGGGGCAUUUGUGGAGCCAAAAAUAAUCACAAGGCGGCACGUGGAUUUUUUAGUAUAAGAGGACCAAACUACCCUUGAGGCGCACCGGGAUUGCUACAUGCGAGCAGCUAAAAAAUGCUCCAAAUAUUUAUUCCAAAAUUAUAUUAAUUGGUUAAUUAAUGGAUUAAUUACCCAAUUAAUCCAUUAAACAUCAAUUAAAACAUCCAAAUAACCACAACAUAUAUCCCACUCAAUCCCAAAACUAGUGAUUGACCGGCCACCCCCUUUCUCCCUAGCUUUUCACACUUUUCUCCAUUUUAUUACCCUAUUUACACAACUAUUCAAUUUUGUAACCUCCUAUUUAUUUCUUUUAUACUUAAUUAGCCAAUAAAUUGGCUAAUUAAGCUAAAACUAUAACCACCAAAACUCAUUAGUGGCCGGCCACACCUUGGGAAAAUUGGGCAAAGCCUAACCCUAUAAAUAGGCACCCAUUCUCACCAAAAAGCUAGGCCAACACUCUUGCAAAAAUCCCAAAAUUCUCUAAACACUCUUUCUCUCUCAAUUCUAACUUUGGCAUCGGAGGUUCUUUGGCCAAAGCCCCCCAUUCAUCGUGGGCGCGUGAGGCUUGUGGCCAUAACCAAAGGUGUUAUUUAUUUUGUAGGUGCAAUUUUGUCUAAGAUCAAGGAGGAAGAAAUUUGCAUCCACAUUCCACAGGAAUGUUAUGCAAAUCUUAGGCAGCUUGAAUCAUUAAGUUUGAGUUGGAAGAAGCUCCGUUGCCUGCUCUGCUAGUUGAGGAGUGUCACCAAAUUCGGCACUAUCAGCAACAUCAACACAUUUCACACACUCCCGCUUCCAAAACAUAUCACAAAAUCAAAAACCAAAUGAGAUUAUGUAGCAGAAAAGACAGAAAAAUAGAUUAAGAAAAGCAAUUAAUAUUAAAUAUAGAGGGUGAAUGAUGUUGUCCAAUAAAUAAGAUAGCUGUAUAUAUUUCUCGACCAUGAGAAAACAUCAAAUUAAUAGAGGCAUUAAUCCUAAGUUUGCCAUUCGUUAUUGCCGGAAUCAGGAGCUUUCUUUCAGAACCUUUUGACCAACGGGUCCUUGGUCUAAACUUGAUGACAUAUUGUAAAGUCCUCUUACAUACAAAUUAAUGAAAUAUUAAUUUAUUUCCAUGAGUUAUUUGAUUUUGCAAAUUCAAAAUAAUUGAAGAAUACUGAAAAUUACUAAACCCCAUCACAACAUCCCAUUAGUGAAAAAUCAAAGACAAAAGUAAAUUACUAUCUUUCUAAGCAUCCAAAGAUAGCAUACUCAAAAUACCAAAUUCAACUCCAAUGUCUUAAAAAAUUAAAAAACAAAUUAGCCAAAUUGGAAUAGUUAGAUCAAAUAAAGAUUUAAGUCAACCAAUUACACAAAAUAAUUCAUGCAAAGUAGGCUCCUAAGAAAAUAUACCACAAUGGUGGUGGAGGAGGCCAAGGCUUAAAUAGUGGAGGACAGCAACAUUUAAAUAUACCGCAGCAGCACGGAAUCCACAAACUGCAUAAUCAAAACCAAGGCAUACACAGAAGGGAAACCAGGAUCGGAAGUUGAUACCGAUGUUAGAUACCAAUUCCAGCCACUAGUUCAUCCUUAACUGGAAGCAAGAAUUGUAGGAAAUGGCGAGAAGGAGAAGAUGGAGUAUUUUUUGUAAAAUGAUUUUUUAUAUUUGAUUUCAUCUAUCCCCGUUCAACAAGAAAGAGAGAGCUUUAAUAGCACUAGCAACCUCCCCAAUGAAAGACCGUCACAUGGCAUACACAGCCUAAACUCUUAAACAACAGCACAAAAGAAAGGCAAAUUACACAACGACCCCAAAACAUUACAUUUCGACCCAAAACUUUGUUGCUUGUGAUCAAGGCAAUCACAGUACAUAACAGUCUAUGAUCCGAUUUUGCCGGCUCCGUCAGAGAUGCUGCCUGAGGAGGGCUUCGCUCUCAGAGAAUGAAGGAGGUAGGGUCUCGAAUUCUAAUUGUUUUCGAUUGAACCGAUAGUUCUGUAUAUCAAUUAAAUUUUGACUCUUUUGUGCAAUUUAGUUGAAAGUUGUUGGUUUUGAUUUGGCUUGAUCUUUCUGUUGCUGAGAAAUUGGGUGGAAAUUGUUGUUUUGAUUUUGUAGUUUUCAAGAAUUGCAUGCUUAGUGAUCAGUAAUCGUCUGGCUUUAUCGGAUAAGGAGAUAAAGCAAUUAGAUUUCAAAAUUUGGAUUUACAGUUCGUAUUUUGAGCCUGAAUUCAUGAAAACAAACGUAACCCAUUAUUUAUUAGCGAUUAAUGAUUUGAUCUUGCACCCAUGUUGUCUGCUUUCCAUUUCUCAUCUCUCUUGCCAUCUUCUCUGUAUUUUGGCUGCUUCUCUCUCCCGCACUCCUUUUUUUUUUUUUUUUUUUGAAUCUAGUGUCUCCUGGUCUUUAACCCGACUACUCACUAGGCCACCCGCCUGACCCCACAACAUUUGGUAGGCAAGAAACUCUAGCAAUUGCUAGGUCUAGGUGGGUACCUUGUGAGGUGUCGAACCCCAGACCUCUUGGUAACAAACCAAGGGCCUGACCAUUAGACUAAACACUCUUAGGUAAGAGACACUAAAGUAUAAAGUGAGAUAUCAGGGCACACGCCUUUAUAGAAACACUUGGUUUCAUUAAUCCAGAAUUUACUUUCUUCAUAGGUUUCAAAUGGAACUACUUAAUAUGUUGUUUUCGUAAUUCUUUUUGCUUUCAAAGUUUAUUGCUCAGUUGUGUUCGUAACCUCUGGGUUCUUACAGUUCUUUGUCUCUCUUACUUCAGAUUCUUUGCGUUUUUUAUCAUUCGUUUGUGAAGAAAUGGGUCGUACGAAGUGGUAGGGCUUUGAGGAAGGCACUUGCCACCAAGGUGCGUUUUGUUUGGGUUUCUGAUGUCAAGAAAAUUAGAAUUGAUAAUUGCAAGCGAUUUUUUCCAAGAAACAAUCAGAUUAUUGAAUCUAAGUUGCUAAUUGUUUAAUUUUGUAUAUGCUGCAAUUAAAUCAGCACCCGCAACUGGAGGAGUCAAGAAGCCUGACUGCUACCGCCCUGGAAUCGUCACUUCGGUAAGUUUUCAACACAAUAUAGUUCAAAUCCUCUGAAUCAUGUUCUUGAAUUCUAUAUGUAUCGUGUUCUUUGCAUUUCGUUAUCUGAAAUCUGUUCUUUGAAUUUGGUUACCGGAAUCAUGCCUAAUGUUUGAUGUGGCCAGUGGCUUUGUAUGGCUGGUUGGUGUGCAUUGGGAGUGUUUUUAGUUAAUGGCAGACAUAGGACAAAGGUGUGGGGCAGCGAAGUCAAGUGGGAAUAGGAAUUUAGGAUGGUACAGUUUUUGCUAAUUUAUGGGACUAGAAGUCUUCCUUUAUUUUUUGUCUUCGUGCGAUGAAAAAAAAUGGGUGAGUAAUUUGAACUCCAGUUUAAGAUAAUAACAUGUGAAUUUUUCGUAUUACUGUUUUUUCCCUUUCUAUUAAAAACAACCUUUGAUUUCUUUGAUAGUGCUUUUUUCUAUCUGUACUAUUGUUGAACUCCCCCAGUUAUCAGUUUUGGCUCAAAAAAAUUAUUUGAUGAUGACAUGCUGAAUUGAAUAUUGGCUAAAAUUAUAUUGAAAUUUGUAGCCCGAAGCAGAUAUCGUUAAAAGAGCUCUAAGUCACCCUCUGAAAUUAAUUGCCAUAAGUGAUGUUGUAAAUGGAAGCGUUGUCGAUGAGAAGGCAUUUUUUUUCGUUUCACUUUAUAUACUACGCUCACUAUCUGUUUAAUAUGUCUCAUCGUAUAAAUUAAAGUCUCAUUUCUCAGGUGCUUUCAAGUGACAACCCCAACUAUGGAUGCAUGCUGCCACUGGAAACUAUGAAAAUUUAAUAGUUGCUGGGAUCACUGAUGCAACUAAAGUGGGUUUCUUCAUCAAGUACUUCAUGAAUAGAAUAUUUCGGAGAUCCAAUUGCUGGGACAGAUUGAAGAAGGUGAAAAUCACAGGGGUGGAAUACUGGGGAGGGUGGUAGGGUUAUGGGGAGUGGGCUCUGGUUGGUUUCGGUUUGACCGAGGCCAUGGUUCGAUGGAAUCGAGGUGAUGAGGACGAUUCAUGAGGUCACAUCCACAAGAUAUAGGGCUUACACGUGGGGUUUAGGGGUUUCACGGGGAGGGUUACAGAGGGAGGGGGUGCACGCGUGAAUUGCAGAAGGGGAGGGAGAGAGGGAGAAAGAGGGGGAGUAGGGUUGCUAUAUUCAAGUUCUCUUUUUUAUUUUUACUUGAAUUUAAUUUGAUUUGAUUUGAUUUUUUUUUUUUUUUUUUUUUUUUUUUUGCUACAGGUUGAGAAUGCAAAAGCUCAGCUGGAGGUGGAGGUGAGAAUUUUAAUUUAAUUCAUGGUAUAUUGUUGUUUUUUUUUUUUUACUUUAUUUUUGUGGGAUUGUGCUGUUUUUGGGGAAAACAAUAUUAAAUUGAAGUAAAGUUUAGAUAUUUCUGUAAUUGGGAUUUAGAGUAAGAGAUGAAGAACUAAAUGUGAUUUCAAAAUUAAAAGUUUAGAACUUUUUUGGUUUGGAAGCUAAUUUUAAAUUCAGUUAGCUGAUUAAUUAAUGGAGAAAUGUAUAACGAAUGCGUGAUAUGUUUUUCGAUGCGUAUGAGCAGACAUGGGUACUGCUUCAGCGGCAACAGCUGCUACAUGAUGGUAGAUGAGGAAUUCUGAGAUGCUGAGUGCUCUUAGUUUAAGAGAUGAAGACUUGAUAAUGAUCGUUCCAAUUCUGCCUCAAGGUAUACUUGAUAAUGAUGUCGUUUAUGUGCAAUUCACUGUAUGAUGUUCGUGCCUUUAAUGGGCCUAUCGACAUAAUUCAAUGCACCCACCAAUUGGUUUUAUGAUCAUACAUCAUUCGUGAGAAAUGGGAUGGUGAGUUUCUCGAUACAGUUUUAAUUUUUGUGCGAAUAAUGUUUGUAAAAUGUCUGUUUUUAUUUAGUUCAUUGCAGAUUCUUAUUCCUUUAUUUAGUUCACCAUAUUCUUACUCUUUUAUUUAGUUCACCAUUCAUGCUUUUAAAGAUAACAAGUGCAUGGCUCUCUCAGAUGUUAGUUUUGGGUGGCAAUUGAAAGAUACAAGGAUAAACAAAAAUACUUACCAAUUGAAAGGAUAAAUUCAAUUGAAAAUAUUUGGUUCAUCAAUUAUUAUAGUAUGAGCUUUUUGCAUUAAAUGUCCUGUUUUCGGGGAGAGUGAUUCAUGUAAUUGGGUUUUAUUAAUUUUUUCAUGAUUUUAUGCAGUUUUUCGUUUAAAUUUGUGGAUUCUGAAGCACUUUUAUGAGUGUUAAUUUCUGUUUGUAUGUCUAAAAUCUGUUUGGAAUUUGGCUGUUUCUUCAAUUUCAUCACCACCCAUUCUCACAACUUCAUCUAAAGUGUUUUGCAUGUAUAAGAUUCGUGUUCAUGGAGGUCAUUUCAAACGGAUUUCAAGCUGAGCUGCAGAAAUUUGAUUCAAAUUGAUGGAUUUGGGUAAGAAACUAAGAAACCAUAAUCUUUUCUUUCGGUUUUAAGAGCUGAAUUUGAUGGUUAAGUUUAUGUUUUAAGAUUAUCUUCCUUUCUCCUAAAUACUGAGUUUUAUGAGAUUACAUUUGGCAAGUCUGAAAACGGAUUAGAAAUACUGAGUUUUAUGAGAUCUAUUUGGCAAGAUUAUCUUCCUUUCUCCUAAAUACUGAGUUUUAUGAGAUCUAUUUGGCAAGUUUGAAAGUGGAUUGCGUAUGUUUAUAUCUUCCUUUCUUCUAAAUACUGAGUUUUAUGAGAUCACACCAUCUUAUGUUUAUUAUAUAAUCUUAUGCAAUCAGAAGAAUUAUCAUAUUUUUCUUUUUAGAUUUCAACAUAUUUGGAAAUACUUCAAAUUUUUUGUAGUGCAGUUUGUAGUUAACAUGAUUACGUGAGUUCUGUUUCUUUAGUAAAUUUUUAUGCAGGAAAGAAAGUCAUUUCUCAGUUUGUAGUUAACAUGAUUACAUAAGUUCUGCUUAUCUUAUUGGCCUUAUUCACUCAUGUGUUGUUCUGUUCAUUCAUGAUUGUGUUAAAUUUAUUUAGGUUAAAUGUGUCUUAUUCAUGCAGUUACGCAUGAAACAGUUGUUCCCGCCGCAAUGUGCGGGUUUAUUUUCUAGUUCCAAUCUAAACCUAGAGACGAAACGAGGCCAUGUAUUACAAAGACAAAAAUUCUAAAACAGCCUUUGCUCAGAGAAUAAAAAAAGCCAUGCAGUGAGAACAUCUAAGGGAAACGAGUUGAUCCUCAAUAAACACCUCAAUAGAAUGACAUAUCUUUGUUAAAGCAUCUGCCACAAAAUUAGCUUUAUCUAAAACAUGAUAGAAGCUGAUAUGAUCAAGCAUCCCAUGUUUGCCCAAGAGAAACCGAUUUGAGCCGCAUCUGCUCCAAAUAUCUCAGGCAAACAGUCAGCUGACAAAAUGCGGUCAAUGGCUUCAACAUCUUGAGAAUAAAAGGCACAACUAGGAUCAAUUGGUUGUACUUUAUAUAGGGAUAAGAAUUGAGUUACCUCUUUUACAAAUGUUACUUAUUCAUUCCGGCCGUUAUAUGGUACAACACUGAACAGAGAGUACAACUUUUCCGGCCUCUAAGUCCGGAACCCUUCCAAACAUUGGACACUAGAAUACCAAAAUAAUGCAAUAAGAUACAACAGUACAAUACAAUAUAGUUGAAAACAAUCCAUCUAAGAUAGUACAGGCUCAAUCAGAUGAAUCAAAGGAGCCCUAGUGUUCAAGCUUCCAUCUUUGCGGUAAACUUAAGUGGUGGCUUCAAGAAAUGGAUAAUCAGUGUAACCAAUGACGGGAUCAGGUGUGUAGAAUGUCUCUCUGUUGUAUUUGUUUAGAGGAGCAUUAAGUUCAAAUCUCUUUGGCAAAUCCGGAUUCGCCAAGAAAAUACGGCCAUAAGCAAUAAGAUCUGCACGGCCCUCGGCCACAGCUCUGUUUCCAUCUUCCCUGUCAUAACCACCAGCAGCAAUGAAGGUACCAUGGAAAGCCUUUCUCAUGGGAAGAAGACUCUGGUGGGUUUCAGCUAUUUCUCCAACUGCCUUCAUCCUCGGCUCAACCAUCAUGUGGCAGUACACGAUUCCAUAUUUGUUCAAGGCAUUGGCCAUAUAGAGUCCUAAUUCUUUUGGAUUUGAAUCCCCUGCGUCCAUAAAGUCAGCAAAUGGACCUAAUCUAAUUCCAACUUUAUCUGCUCCUAUUUCGUUAACGACAGCUUCAACAACUUCCAGAGGAAGGCGGCAACGAUUCUCUAGAGAUCCACCAUAUUGGUCUGUUCGAUCAUUCACAUGAUCUUUCAGAAAUUGAUCAAGAAGGUAGCCAUGCGCCCCAUGAAUUUCAACUCCAUCGAAGCCUAUAUUAACAGAUUAACAAUUUCAACAUACUGACGGUAUUAGAACCUUAAGCAUUGUCGCUGAAUUACCAAAAAAUUCAAUAACGAGAUGUGAGGGGGCUUGCAGCUUUUUACUCCACCCCACCAGCACCACCCACCACCCACACCCACCCCCCUUCCCCUCUUCCUCCUCCUCCUCCCCCAAGGCCAGAGUUUGAAGAAUCCCCCUCCCAUCUCUAACUACAUUUCGCUGAUCAAACACAAUUUAUUUUGCAUAAGAUUUGAAGCAAAUUGAGUUGUUGUAAAUUAUGUUUCAUAUGUAACGUAAAGACAAAUUACCAGCUUCAAUAGAAUUCCUUGCAGCAAGUCUAAAAUCAUUGACAAUUUGUGGAAUUUCAUCUGUCCUUAAUCGUCUUGGAGGCGUGAAUUCAGAAGCAUCGAUGCCAUUUAAUCGUAUCGGCUUGUCAGUAGAAGAUAUUGGAGCUUGCCCAUUUGGUUGAUAACCUGUAAGCAAGGAGGGAAAGAAUUACAAACUGAAGUCUAACAACAGUAACUAACAUCCACAGCAGCACUCUUUUAAGUGGGAAUCCUUUGUUACAAAUUACUAUAAAAUUUGUUAACAUCAAACUUCUUCCCAUCCAAUAAUAAUAAUAACAAUGCUUCUGAAACAGCAAGGUCAUAAAAGUGGUGUCUUCUUAUGAGUUAUGUUAAAAACACCAACUCGGAACUUAGCAAGUCCAAGUUUUAUCGUCAUUUGAGCAACAAACAAUGUUGUCAAUUAUAAUCACUCGCUCGUUCUGAUGCAUACACCAUUAUGUUAUACAUCAAACUUCUUAAUCGGUCUAAUUAUUCACUCAUGUUAACACAGCAUUCUAUGGUAAAAGUGAGGUCAUAAAGGUGUAAGUCAGAAACGCACCGCUAUUAGAAACCCUUCCAACAUGCCAAAUCUGACAGAAGAAGACGCCACCUUCAGCAUGAACAGCAUCAACAAUGGGUUUCCAGGCUUCAACUUGCUCCUUUGUCCAUAUACCAGGUGUGUUCGGGUACCUUCGUUUAUUAAAGAACCAAAAAUUUCAUCAAACUUUGAAACGAAAGAAGCACCCUCAAAUGUUUGUUAGUCUAUAAAUCUACUGUUGUUGAAAAUACCCUUGAGCUGUGUCGGAAACUCCGGUGGCUUCGGCUAUGAGAAGACCCCCGUUCGACGUUCUCUGAGAGUAAUAUAAGAUAGCAUGUGGUUGAGGAACAUUGUUGUAUGAUCUCUGUCUGGUCAAUGGUGCUAAAAUAAUUCUGGAAAGGAAAAAGAACUUGUAAUUAUAAAUACAGAGUGAUCAAGACGGAAUGUGGCUGAGGAACAUUAUCGAAUGAUCUGUAUCUAGUCAUCAACGGUGAAAAUACAAUUCUAAAGAGGAAAAACAUACAAUAAACCAUAAAUACAACCUUCAGACUUUGUAGGAAGGAUUAGUUUGCUAAGGCUCCUUUGAUAACAAAUUCGCUUAUAGUUUUCUUGUUUUAGUUAAAAAGGAUAAACGACGGAGGAAGAAGGAAUUUGGGACGAAAAUGUGUGAAAUAAAAACUCGAAUUGUAGAUUAUCUGAAUAUGCUUUUUGUCCUUCGUUUUCGGUAUCAUUCCAUGCACGUUUAGUCCCUCAUCCAUCCCUUUCCCUUCCUCCUCCUCCUCCUCCUCUUCUAUCAUGCAUUUUCUCUAUCUAUCACUUAAAAUUAAAAACUAAAAAUCAAAUACGAAAUCGUUACCAAACACAACUUGAACAAAGCAAUGUCUUACGAAGUGACCAUGGCCGAAAGGACACAUACUUUUAACGAUCAGUUGCAUCUAUUUUCAACAAUUAAUCAAUGAAAUAACUCAAGUGUGCUAGUGUUUUGAUUUAAUUUGUAACAUCUGUACUAUUUUAUAGACAAAGAUAGAGUUACAAGGACACUUCUUGUCUCCUUCCCAACAUUUGUACUAUUUUAUAGACAAAGAUAUAGUUACAAAAACUACUUGUCUCCUUCCCCAAAUCAUUCUUCGGGAAGAGAUUGUCAAAGAUCAACACCAGCCCAUUAAGAUCAGUCGGUACAAAGGAACUAGAUUGGUCUAGUUCAAACAUGCAUGGUUUUCUCUAGAAGAUUCUAUAAUGGGAAUAUGCUAGAAAACUCUAGCAAAGAAGGUUGUUCCUUAAGUUGGUGGAAGAUUCUAGAAGAAUGGUGAGGUUUCCACCAACAUGCAAGAUUAGUGUAGAUAAUUCUAGCUUGGGAAGUUAGUAGAAUUAUCUAGAUAACUCUAGCAUGAUAUUUCCAUGCUUCUCCAAGGUUCCAUCCAUGCCUAUAAAAUGAGAAGGCAUCCACACCAUUUGUAUCAACCAAGUAACCAAGUAACCAACCAAGCAAUCAAGAAUGCAACCAAGUGAGAGUGAGAAGCAAGAAUAGUCUUGUAGGAGUGUGAGUGAUCUAGAGUUUGUCUCUAGAAAGUGAGUGAGUGUCAUUGCUUCUAAAGUUGUGUCUUUGAGUGUUUUGAGUGUUGUAAUAUUUUGUGUGUGUAGUACAAGUAAUUUGUUUACUUGUGUUGUCUCUCCAACACUUGUGUUAGACUUGUGUACUCUAAGUUCUUAUCAACAAUUGGUAUCAGAGCGGUACGAUCAGGGACCGUCUCUAGUGAAGUUUUUUUAGAAUCGUUAGAAGUUUACUACUUCACAAGAUUAUUCGUUAAGCUUGUUCGGUUUAUCGAAGUUCUGCCGACACGAUGGGAGAUCUUCAAGUUGUUGAAGGAAUCAAGAAGUUGAACAACAAAAAUUACAACACAUGGGCGACAUGUAUGGAGUCUUACCUACAAGGCCAAGAUCUUUGGGAUGCUGUCGGCGGUAAUGAAGUUAUGCAGCCGGAAGAAGACUCUAGUGGCAUUUUGAGGAAGUGGAAGAUCAAGGCAGGUAAGGCCAUGUUUGCCUUAAAAACCACAGUUGAAGAUGACAUGUUAGAGCACAUACGGAAGGCUAAGACACCAAAAGAAGCGUGGGACACCUUCGCCACACUCUUUUCAAAGAAGAAUGAUACAAGACUGCAACUUCUCGAGAAUGAGCUACUAUCGAUGGCCCAACGAGACAUGACGAUUGCUGAAUAUUUCCACAAGGUAAAGGCUAUUUGUCGUGAAAUUUCUGAGUUAGAUCCUAGUGCUGCCAUUGUACAAUCCAGGAUAAAAAGAAUAAUUAUCGAUGGAUUGAGACCCGAAUAUUGAGGCUUCGUUGCCGCUGUACAAGGAUGGCCGACCCAACCAUCACUUGUUGAGUUCGAGAAUUUGCUUGCCGAUCAAGAAGCUUUGGCAAAGCAAAUGGGAGGGGUCUCGUUAAAAGGUGAAGAGGAAGCGCUCUACACCAAAAGUAAAGGCAGUUUUAAGCAGCGUGCUCGUGGUGGAUCUAAAAUAAAUGGUGACAAGGCGAAAUGUCAUCAAGGAGGAGGGAGUUCUCGACCAGGGGGAGCUCCGAAGUAUCACGGCAACCAUGGUCAGUCCCAGAAUAAUAAAAGGUUUGAGGGCAAGUCUACAAUUGUGGAAAGAAGGGCCACAUGGCAAAGGAUUGCUGGUUCAAAAAACCCGCAGAAAGUAACGUCACCAACUCAGAGAAGAAAAGUGAAGAUGAUUGGGACGCCGUAGCAUAUCUAGCUAUGGAGGAAGAAUGGGACGCUGAAGCAUCUUCUUGGUGGUGCUCAGAAAAUGAGGUGUUCCCUGACUCAAGAGAGAUUGAGGAUACGUUGCAGGAGGAAAUGGGAGACCGAGCUGCCCAAACCCAAACGAGUCUAGAUGAGCUCGAGGAAUUGCUUGAUGGUGACGAUGUCAAGCAAGAAGUACCUAAGAGUCAUUGGCAAACUGAAGAAGUUAGACCUAGUGAAGUGGAAGUAUCAUUUCCACGAUCAUAACUAAGUAGGUCAACGGGAAUAACGAAGUCAAAUCCCAAAUGCGCCAACGCAACCAUAGUAGAAGAAGCAGUUGAAGCUAAGAUGCGUAUAGAAGCAUCACAAAAUUCUAAAUGGCGUAAAGCUAGAAGAAGAGGUCGCUGCGUUAAAGAAAUAUCAAACUCGGGAUCCAGUGGUAAGGCCAAGAGAUGUGAAACCCAUAUCAUGCAAAUAGGUGUUCAAGAUAAAGUGUCGACUGAGCGAGAAGAAAAGAAUGAGCUGGUGUUGAGGGGGAGUGUUAAAGAUCAACACCAGCCUAUUAAGAUCAGUCGGUACAAAGGAACUAGAUUGGUCUAGUUCAAACAUGCAUGGUUUUCUCUAGAAGAUUCUAUAAUGGGAAUAUGCUAGAAAACUCUAGCAAAGAAGGUUGUUCCUUAAGUUGGUGGAAGAUUCUAGAAGAAUUGUGAGGUUUCCACCAACAUGCAAGAUUAGUGUAGAUAAUUCUAGCUUGGGAAGUUAGUAGAAUUAUCUAGAUAACUCUAGCAUGAUAUUUCCAUGCUUCUCCAAGGUUCCAUCCAUGCCUAUAAAAUGAGAAGGCAUCCACACCAUUUGUAUCAACCAAGUAACCAAGUAACCAACCAAGCAAUCAAGAAUGCAACCAAGUGAGAGUGAGAAGCAAGAAUAGUCUUGUAGGAGUGUGAGUGAUCUAGAGUUUGUCUCUAGAAAGUGAGUGAGUGUCAUUGCUUCUAAAGUUGUGUCUUUGAGUGUUUUGAGUGUUGUAAUAUUUUGUGUGUGUAAUACAAGUAAUUUGUUUACUUGUGUUGUCUCUCCAACACUUGUGUUAGAGUUGUGUACUCUAAGUUCUUAUCAACAGAGAUUUGGUCCUUCCCAACAUUUGGACUAUUUUAUAGACAAAGAUACAGUUACAAACACUCCUUGUCCCCUUCCCCAAAUCAUUCUUCAGGAAGAGAUUCGAUCCGAAUCUCUCCAAUUAAGUGAUCUAGGCCGUUGAAAUUCAAUCAAACGACUACAAUUAUUAUAACUUUUAGAGAGGCUUCCUGUUUGUAGUCGUUAAAUCAAAUUUCAACGGUCCGAAUCACUUGAUCUUGGGCCUUUGAUGGGAGAGAUCCGGACCGAAUCUCUUUCCUUUUUUGUAUAGCUAUAUUUCACACGCACACAUGAAUAAACUACACAGUACGCUAAACUUGAAUAUAGACAAGCAGUAAUUUCAUCUUCUAUUUUUCCUGUUAACCAAAAGCUAUCUGCAGACCUAGCUACUCUUUGAAUCCAAGUUCGGAUCUCCUCUCAUAGUUUUUACCAAGGUUCUAAAAGACGCUAGGCGCUAGUCGGGUGGCGGGCUGGGGCCUAGCGCAUAGGCGGACUAGGCGGAUUUAAGUAAAUCUAUUAUAUUUUGUGUAAAUAAGUGUCUGUUUAUACUUAAAAUAUAUAUAAUUUUAUCAUAAACUACAAAAUAGAAUGACAUAUAUAUUAUGAAGUAUUGGACAUAAUGAAAACAUGAGGAACAAGUAUAUAAUGUGUGUUCAUUUAAGUAUUCAACAAGUCUUUACAAUUUAUUGAAAAAAUAAAUAAAAUACAAAAUGCAAGUUAUCUAAUUUUUGUCUAAGUGAGUUGCAACCUAGUCGGUGCUUAGGUGGGUCUGGACAGGCUACGCGGGUGCCUUAGCAGAUCUAGGCGACAUUUUUUAAUUUUCAAACGCCUAAGCAUUAAUUGGGGGCAGUGGUCAGCGGGGCUUGGCGGAAAUUUUUAGAACAAUGAUUUUUACAACAUCAUAUUAAAAUAACGCCCGAAUCAAAAUAAAUUAAACAAUUACAUGACAGAGAAAUUUAGAAAAGUAAACAAAUAGGAACAAUGUAUGAAAGUUUUAAGUACCUAUGAGAAAGAUUGAAGUUUCCCAAUUUGUAGGGAGUGAGGAGAGGAAUUGUGGGAGGUUGAGCAGCAGCAGACAUCUCAGAAUUCGAGUUGGUCGUCUGCCACCUGAUUUUGUACUUGGCCUUUUAUACUGGAUUCUGGGAUGAAGGAAGGAACGAAGGAACGAAGGAAUGAAUACAGGACCCGAUUGGGUCUUUGUACGUUCAGUAGACGCUUAAAAGUCCGCCCUGCAGCUUUCCUCCACAAAAGUUAGAGAUGGCUGGGUCCCACAUCUCCCCUCCCUUGUAUGGAAUGGAAGGCUGAAAGCUGUGGUGGUGGUGGCGGCGGCGGCGGACGUCGAUGGCUGGGUCUGUAAUUACGUUUACGUGUGUCGAAAAUUCACCAGUUUUCCCCAUGAAAAAGGACGUCCACGGAAUGCGGGUGUAAUGCUAGCCGCAUGUUCAUUUCGAUUUAGCUUUUUCAUGCUGCAUUAUUAGGCCAUGGUUUGAAUAGUAUAUUGUUUAGGUCCUUAAGGCCCUCUCAAACUAGAAGGGUUAAAAACAUAAUCCCAUCUAGAAUUAUAACUUUUAAAAAAAAAAUAGUUUUAAAUUAACAAUAUCAAAUUAUAUUCAUAUAUUAUCUUCAAUCAAAUGAGCUAAACAUAACCCAUCAAUUUUCGAUGGAUAGCAAGGUUAUAAUUCCAUGGAGCUCAUCAAGUCAUCAUUUGGCUAAAUGAGCAUUAGGCUGGCCAAAUGUAGCCACCCUCUUAGCCCUUUUUUGGGGCUCAGCUCCUGCAUUAUUUGAGUCAAAUUCAACAGCUAUGUUUGAAAACAUCCAAUGAAAAUUUAAUUAAAUUAACCAAUAAAUUUAAUAUAUAAACUUAAAACUAAAUAAUUGUUGAGAGGGUUAUGUUUAGCCACUUUAAUGACGACAUAUAUGUAUACCUGAUACUGUUCAGUCAUUUUGGUUAGAGAUGCCCUAAGGUCAUAAUUUUGAGGAUGUGUGAGACUAAAUGCAUAUUAGUUUAGAUUGCUUGAAAUAUUUGACAACUUAAUAAAGAAAAACCAACUUAAAAUUCAUGAACCAUCACAAAACUCUUUUUUUUUUUUAUCAAGUUGUCAAAUAUUUAAGAUUUUGGAUACAAACUAAAAUAAUCUUAUGGUUAAUAUGCAUCUGAUGCCCACAAAUCUUCAAAAUGAGGGCCAUAAUUAAUCAAUGAAUUUGUGACAAAUUAAAUAGUCUAGAAAUAAAAGGCUCCAAUCAAGUAGCAUUGCACAAUUAAAAAGGAAAAUGACAAGGUUGCUAGCUUUUUGCAAAAAAUAUGUUAUGUAGGUUCUCUAAUGAGUGCUUUUAACACAAUGGACAUACCCACUAUCGUGUAAAACUUUUCUCGAGAAAUAAAGUUAAGAUUUAUUUAGAUCUGUUACAUAGAAGUUUCUCUUUUGGAUCACUGUUUUUCUAUAAUCGUAAUUUUUUAGGCAUAUAGAUUCAUUGUAAGGAUGAAUUACGUUUUUUUUUUAGUUUGACAGGUUUCAAUUUUGAUCCAUGUCAUUUUCAAUUGGUCAAAUUUAAACUUUGUCAUACAUAACAUAAUUUUAUACCGACACCCCUUUUUGACCAAAAUAGGUUGCGUGGAAUAUUCUAACAAAAAAAAAUCACGUUUGUAAGUAGUGUAUUCUUCUAGUGGUUCAAACCAUUUUCCUUUCCUUAUUGUAAUUUUUAAAGUAAGAAUAACGUUGUAUUCAACAAACAAUAAAGUCCUUGUGCACAUCAAGUAGAAUCAUGAAAGAAAAAAAGGAAGAGAAAAAUUUGCCUACAACGGACACUACUACAAUAACAUUUUUACCAGGGGUUAAUUGGAGCCCAAUAUAACAUUCUAGCAUUAACAAGAGAUGAUCAGGAAUAGAGAUUUAUAUCAUCCUUGAAUCUCAAACGUAGAAUUAUCAUAACUUACAACUUUUAUUGUAUGGAUAAUACUUGCAUUCAUUUCUUAAAAGGAUGAACUUAUUUCCUCCAUGUAAGUAAUGUACAUUUAUCGUCCAAAGUUCAUAAUCAAAACCGUUCAAAUUAUUAAUCUGCAUACCCUUACAAAAGAAUUGGAGAUCAUUUAGUUAUUCAAAUGUAUAGAACAAAUCAAAGAUGUAGGUAUCAAUGACACACCCCGACCCGGAAGGUCCAUAAGGACUCUGAAUCGAGUUAUGCUGACCGACACCUGGAAGGUGAUAAAGCUAUAAAGUGUGAUGAUGUGGAAAAAUAUGAAUAAAUUUGAACUUAAGAGUGCCUAAAUACCAAAGUGCGCUGGUGAGCGGGAAUGAAUCCACUUCACACGUGACCUUAGAGCAUAAGUAAGUAUAGUAGAGUGGAUAAGGAUUAUAACCUCAGAAGUAGCCACCUAUAUUGAGAUUUGCCCAGAAUCCUCGUCGAUACGAACAUUCAGCAAUUAAAACCUGGAGGGGCGCAAAAUAGAAAGUGUGAGUGGGCAAAAACAAAGCUUUACAAAACCAUUUCACUUAUCAAAAGUAAUAAUCUCUCGCCGUAAAGCCUGAAUAAUUUCCCAGAAAAUAGAAUAUUCUAUAUCGAAACCAUACUCGGAAUAGCAAAAUCCACACGUAUGCCAUGCCUAAAAUCUCAACAUAAUGAAAUAAGUAAACCAGGUGAAAUAAAUCCAUGAAAAGUAAUAUGUCAGCCGGAUCCACCUAUUGUGGCAUGUACGACUGAACCUAUAGCUCAACCAAUAUCCAAGUAACAUGUCAACAUGAUCCACCUCUUGUGGCCUAUACGGCUGAACCCAGAGCUCAUCACACAUCCAAGUAAUAUGUCAACCGGAUCCACCUCUUGUGGCCGAAUCCACCUCUUGUGGCCUGUACGACUGAACCUAUAACUCAACCAAUAUCCAAGUAAUAUGUCAACCGGAUCCACCUCUUGUGGCCUGUACGGCUGAACCCAUAGCUCAUCACAUAUCCAAGUACUAUGUCAGCCAGAUCCACUUCUAGUGGCAUGUACGGCUAUGUCAGUCGGAUCAACCUCUUAUGGCAUGUACAACUGAACCCAUAGCUCAUCACAUAUCCAAGUAAUAUGUCAGUCGGAUCCACCUCUUGUGGCUUGUACGGCUGAACCCAUAGCUCAUCACAUAUCCAAGUAAUAUGUCAGUCGGAUCCACCUCUUGUGGCCUGUACGAUAGGACUGGGUGUAAAUAAAUACGCUCAAGUGCUACGAUCACGUGAAGACUGUGCGAAUAAUCGCAGGUCAACUACAAGUCGGAACCACCUAUAGUGGUCUGUAUGACAGGAUUGUGUAACUACCUUGGAUCCAAAGUGAGCGUAAGGUGCGGGAGGUGAACAUCACGCAAAGGACUGUGCCUUAGCCACGGUCGGGAGCACUAACACCGGGGUGCAGGUUUAUUAGCUCUAAUUGCAUCUAUUAUAACAUGUACGACUCAUGGACAACAUGUACAACAGUGUUGGAGUUGCCUAUCAUUGCAACUUGUACGAUAAGGUCGGAGUUGCCUAAAACAUACAUGUAGUCAUGCCAUAACUUCAUCAUUUCAACUAAUACCAUAAACUCACCUGAACUUACCUAGGUCUUCUGCGUUCACCUUUGCACUUCAAAGCGUUCACAAUAAUUAUGUGCAAGUAAUAUACAUAUGGAUAUACCAUGAUAUAAUCUAAUACUCAACCAUGUCAUAGCAUUUUCAAUUAUAUACAUAUAUAUAAUAUGGCAUAAAAUGCAUAAGCUGUAACACCCUACUCACAAACUAUUUAUUUUCGGGAAUAAUUAUCGGUGAUAAGCCCAAUUAGACACUAGUUUAAUUAACUAUCAUUACUUACGUUUCCUUACUUCAAUUUCUUGAUUCUUCACACAUUGAUUUAUGAACAACAUUUAACCACCAAAUCAUAAGGUUAAAUCUAAAAUUUUCCACCAAUCUCCUUCACAUUGCUCAAUUCCCCAAAUAAGGCUAUUGUCACAAUUAUUUAGUCUCAUUUAUUGUAUGGUUGCAUCUAACGUCUCGUUAGAUUGCCUAUGUAUCCUAAAUAGGGAUCAAGCCAUUUGUAGUUCACACUAGUACUUCAAAGCAUUCACAGUAAUUAUAUGUAGGUAAUAUGCAUCAAUCAAUUUAAAAACGUUUAUGAUAAUUUACUGAAAAAAGACAUCCCUACGUAAUUCACUCCGGAAGAUCUGCAUCACGGAUUUCUGAUCCGUUACUUCCAAAUAUUCACAUUAUGUUCCUAGAACCACGUCCUAAUAUUUCAUUAUGAUCCAACGGUCGGAUCUCCGCCAAUUGCCAAAACCAAGUGGCGGUCAACAUUUUAUUUUAUGAACUUACAAAUCCAAUUCGGGAAGAUCUGUACUUCGGAUUCCCAAUCCGUAAGUUUCUAUGGUCCUCAUAUAUUACGUACUAUAAUGUGUUAAAGUUUGGUGACGAUCAAACAGUUGGAUCGUCGAUUCACACUUUUACCAAGUAACCUGACAUAGAGAAUUUAGGUUCCAACCAUCAACCUAAGUCAUACAGUUACCAAGAAUAAACUCAAGGUAUCUAAUUUAUCCUAAGAAUGACAUCGACGGCCCCCUGGCCACACGCCGCCGUGGGUGGCGGUCGGUCGCCCCAACUCGCUGGAAAAUCCAACUAUUUCUAAAAAUUACCAAAUUUUACAUAAAUGAAUAUUUCAAUGAGUAGAAUAAGUUUUAUACCUAUGACUAAGUCCAAUUUAACCGGGAAAGGCUCCAAUUUCACUCAAACCGCCGAAAACCCUAAGAUAGGUAUUCUUCGAUUCGACUUCCUCCAUGUUCCAACACCCCUACAACUUCUUGGGUCUUGUUCCUGGGUCCAAGAGGAGUUGAUUAAGGGUGGUGGUGGGUGGCGAAACUCGUCAGAUCGAAGGAAUCACCGCCGAACACCUCCGGUUCUCCGGUGAUGUUCUUUGCGUUUUUUGGCCUAAAACUCUUCAAUCUUGAGCGAAGAUGGAAGAAGAAAGUUUGGGGAAGAUGUUGCAGGUGGUGAAUAUGGUGUUCCACGAAACAAAAUGGCAGAAAUUGGCUGGAUUUUGACCGGUUUGGUUGUGCGGGUGCACUGCCCGACGGGAAGAUUUCUUCUUUUUUUUUUUUCCUUCUCCCUUCCUGAUUGGUUCUCAUUUUCCUCUCUUAAAAUUGAUUGGUUACCACUCCCACACGGUGGGAGUUUGAAUUAAUUUAUAACUAAACUUUAAAUAACCAAUUUCAAAUGUCUAUAACUAUACCGAUAUAAUCCGAACUCGCAAACGGCUUUCGCCUAUGCAUUCGUACCAACGAGUACUACACAAAUGCGCUAAGUGAAUAAGUCAUACGUUUCUCUACACGUUGGUCAAUGAAAGUCAAAACCUUCACCUCUAGGGUAUUUUCGUAAAUUCAUUAUUUUAAAACUUAUAAAAUCGUAGAACUAGGGACGAGUUGUCACAAUAUACCCACCUUAAAAAAAUUUCGUCCCCGAAAUUUGAAAUCAUUAGCUAAAGAUAAUGUACUUCAGAAGAUAGGAAAAAGUAUAUAUAUAUAUACACACACACAUAUAUACACACAUAUAUGGACGGAGGAAAUCAAGAUAGAGCGGUUGCAUAACAGAGAAUGUCAUUCUGUCGCGAUUAGAGUGCAGUAAUUCCUCUUUCGUGCCUCCAAACUUAAACUUCCUUCUCCUUUAGUACAGUACUAAAAUAUACAGUCCUUUAUAAAACAUAAGGUAGAAAACUAGAUGAAUAACAACGUAAUGUCGAAGCACGUAUAUAAUAAAGUGAAGUUAAAAUAGUUGUACUGAAAACCACACCAAAAGUAGAAAACUUCACCUACACACCCACAUGGGUCACGUGCCUCAAAGAUGAGUGUGUGCUAUCUUUGGGUCAAGCCCAAACAAUAAUUAAAUAACUAAACGUAGACGGACCUAGAUGUCUACUUGUUCAACAAAUUCAACACUUAAGUUUUCAAUAUUACGGUCAGUAGCUCGUAAUACCAACAAUUCACUAUUGUCCUGAUAAGUAAGUAACAGAUUCCUGAGGGUGCAAUAUUACCAUCAUGCCCCCCAAUGGGAAAAUACGCAUAAAUCAUCUGAUCCAAGUCUUGAUCGUGUUCACAUACUACCCUUACGGGUAACAUCAACAAAUAUCAUAAUUUUCUAUAUCAUAUUCUCGAUCAUUCAACUAUGGAUAAAAUUUUCGGUCAUGUGCCAUAGAUAAAAUUUUCAUAGUACGCUUUAACAAUGCCAUACUCGAAACCAAAAAUUGUAACCGUAGUUACAACCAACUAAAAAAAAAACUAUUUAUUACAACAUACAUACCACAUAACUCAACAAUGCAAUUCAUAACACCAUAAUGAGCAGAUUCCUAUUGAAUUUCUUUCGAAUUUAGCGAAAAUUAUGUCAAGAAGGCUAACAUAAUACUCGAGAAUUUGAGGGUCAAAUAAGUCCAUCAAAUUUUAAAUACAAGGUAAUUGAAAUUAAUGUAUAACAUCUCGUUACAACGGUAACUUCUGGAACAUUUAAUCACCAAUGGUUAAGAUUCAUUUAGUAGAGUGUUUGUUGGGUGAUUGAGAAUUUAAUGUUCACGACUAAAUGUCAAUGUCCUAUCAAUCCUCUAGACAAUUUGCUUAAUUCAAAAAUAAUACCAAGUGGUCAAAAUUGUAGUCCCUCUGGACCAAUGAAAAAAAAAAGUUGACUUGUCAAGUCGAUUUGACUUGUCAAGUCGAUCUAUAAACAUCGAAACAUCAUCAUCAUCAUCACUACAUGUACAAGAUACCUCGUUCCAAAGGUGUAUGAUGAUAUUUCUCAACUCCCUUCAUAUACAAGAAGUGAUUAUGACCAUUCAAACCCUUUCUUGAUAUUUCGCAAGUAACAUCAAAACAAUACAUGUGAAUUCCAACUGAGGCAGAAUAGGACAGGCCGAAAGUGUUCAAGUAUACAUAAAUCUUUUGCUGCAUUUAAUAGUAAUACAUUUGCAUAAUCGUGAUAAUCAUAAAAUUUGAUUUAGUUCUUCCACUACCGUUGUUUGAAUUUAACUUAUUUCAAAUGAGAAUAUAUUUGAGAAGUCCAAGAUUGAUAAAGGUCUCUAACACAUUUCUCCACCAGGAAGUAUCAUUCAGUUUUUCAAAUAAAGAUAAUAACACCUUACUCUAGUCAUGAAUAAGAUGGUUCAUUUCGAACGAUUUUAACCGUUGGAAAGUCUAAGCGAUUCAUUGUCAUGUUACCUCCCCCACAAUUAAAAUACCUAAAGAACACGUCAUUAUGGAUUUCCAAAUGAUCAAUGUCAUCAAAAGAUGUAAAGAAAAGGUAUGGUGAGACAACAGUUCUUUGUUAGAAACUUUAUUAAUAUUCAACAUCUCAACUAAAUUGACCUUCCUCGGUUGGUAUGUGAAGAAAAACACCACAGCUGAGAAAUUGCUAACAAUUUGUCGAUAAAAUCGACAAGACGAAAGAUAUCUUGAAAUUCACAAUACCUUAUGAGAAUUCCAACUUUCUUCCGCAACUACCCUUGGAGAAAAGAAAAGAAUAUCAUUGAGAAUCACAUCUCCUAAGAGAAGUACCAAUUUACACAAAGGUAAUAUUUGAGGAAUAUUAUGUGAAGCUAACUGUUGAUAAUUGGAGAAUUUAAUCUCGUUAAUAGAAUAUGUAAGAUAGUCAUCUACAAGACUAUUAUGAAUUUAUCAAACUACACAAGGAAACUUGAGUUACAAAGAUUGGUUGAUAAGAAAUAAGGAGAAUAAAUGUGAUGUUAACAAGGUGGAUCAAUGGUGUAUUCUACUUCUCGCAUUUGGUAGAAUUCCAAAUAAAAAUUUGAGAAUUGAUGCCAAAGGUAAACCUCCUCCAAAUGUACUAGGAACUGAUUCCAUAAUUCUAGGGAAAAAAAACCUUACCACUUCGGGAAUUUCUACUGACCUUAGAUAUAACGAUUCUUACUCAUGUGCCAAUGCUCAUCAAAAUGACGAGUAUAGCACCAAAAGUAAUGUGGAAUUUAACAUUGGUUGGAGUGUUCUAAAGUCAAAAAAAUAAAAUUUUCUAGUAAUCUACUUUAGAACGGACUUAAACAAAAGUCGAUCUUCCCCCUGAAGAUCCAGAAUGAUCACUUGCGUGUUUGGAAAAAAUUGUGCUAUCAUAGACCAAAGUGAUUAUCCCAAAAUUGUGCUAACCACAACAACAACAACAACAACAAAGCCUUUUCCCACUAAGUGGGGUCGGCUAUAUGAAUCCUAGAACGCCAUUGCGCUCGGUUUUGUGUCAUGUCCUCCGUUAGAUCCAAGUACUCUAAGUCUUUUCUUAGAGUCUCUUCCAAAGUUUUCCUAGGUCUUCCUCUACCCCUUCGGCCCUGAACCUCUGUCCCGUAGUCACAUCUUCGAACCGGAGCGUCAGUAGGCCUUCUUUGCACAUGUCCAAAUCACCGGAACCGAUUUUCUCUCAUCUUUCCUUCAAUUUCGGCUACUCCUACUUUACCUCGGAUAUCCUCAUUCCCAAUCUUAUCCUUUCUCGUGUGCCCACACAUCCCACGAAGCAUCCUCCUCUCCGCUACACCCAUUUUGUGUACGUGUUGAUGCUUCACCGCCCAACAUUCUGUGCCAUACAACAUCGCUGGCCUUAUUGCUGUCCUAUAAAAUUUUCCCUUGAGCUUCAGUGGCCUACGACGGUCACACAACACGCCGGAUGCACUCUUACACUUCAUCCAUCCAGCUCGUAUUCUAUGGUUGAGAUCUCCUUCUAAUUCUCCGUUCUCUUGCAAGAUAGAUCCUAGGUAGCGAAAACGGUCGCUUUUUAUGAUCUUCGCUAGAUUGCUCCAGUCAUUAGUGUGGAUAAGUAUAUAAAUGGAUAGAGAUAGGAAAGCAAACACAAGAUGUACGUGGUUCACCCAUAUUGGCUACGUCCACGGAAUAGAGGAGUUCUCAUUAAUUGUGAAGGGUUUACACAAGUACAUAGGUUCAAGCUCUCCUUUAGUAAGUACAAGUGAAUGAUUUAGCACAAAUGACAUUAGGAAAUAUUGUGGGAGAAUGAUCUCGUAAUCACGAAACUUCUAAGUAUCGGAGUGUGGUAUCGUCUUGACUUGCCUUAUCUGUCUCAUAGGUAGAUGUGGCAUCUUCUCUGGAAGUACUCUUCCUCCAUCCAGGGGGUGGUAUCUUUAACUGGUGGAGAUGCACAAGGUAAUGUAUCAAUUUCACUUGAAGCUUACUUGUAGUUUCAGGCUUGGUCAAGCGCGAUACAAACCAUGUAGUAGGAGUCCCCCAAGUCGUCGAGCUAGGGGAUCUGCUGAAAGAGGUGACAGACAAGGUAAGCAAUCAGAGCUCCGGCUGAUUGUUCACCUCUCCCCCAUCUUGCAGCAGCAUGAAGGAUAAAGAGAAGAAAAAUGAGAAGAGAUGAUAUGGGAUACUUUUGCUUUUGAAGAAGUAACUUUCCACAGGCUUAUUCUUGAACUGAGCUGGAGGGUUUUCUGGUUUCCUCCAGAGUAUAAGACCUGCUGAUAUGGGAUACUUUUGCUUUUGACAGAGUAAUGGAUGUAUCGGCACGUGUGCUGUUACGCUUGUCUCCACAUGCUUCCUUGUAUCCUUCGCACUUGCCCUAUCUGUUCCUCAAGCAAAUGCGGUAUCUUCCCUGGAAGCAUAAGAUGUUGAAGAUGAGUACUCGAGAGCAAUGCCAGGUAAGUAAUCAGGUAAGGGGUUCCAGGCAGUCAGUUCCUGGUUGGAAGCUUGAUUCCAAGUGCUGACUGAUUGCUCUCUUUCUCCUUGUCUUGCAGGUAAGAACAAGGCCAAAUGAAAAGACAGGGAAAAAGCAUGAUAUGGGAUACUCUUGCUUUUAACCCUGAUGAUAUGAGAUAUUCUUGCUCUAGUAUAGCUUGUUUGCAGAGGUAUUAUCGGGGGGAAAGAAAGCUGAAUAUUUCGAAAGGCUUCGUUGGGAGUGCCCUCUCAGAUAUGAGGAAGGGUUGAGCAUUUUUGCAGGUCUGCCUGUCCGUUGGGGAUGAAGGUCAACAUAUAUAGGAGUCUCCCUAACAACAAGUAGUAAUGCUAUUCCUUUACCCUGCUUGGUCAUAGCACGGUAGUGGGAGCUACCAGCUUCACAUGUUUUAACUCUGUCAGAGCACUUUGAAAAAGUGGUCUGUGGUAUCUGGCUCUCGAGAUUCGGAGAACGAUGCCUCUUCGAUUUUUGAGAAAGCAAUCAUGCUGGGGGUCUGGCUCUCGAGAUUCGGAGAGCAGUGUCUCUUCGAUUUUUGAGAGAGUAAUCAUGUUGGGAGUCUGGCUCUCGAGAUUCGGAAGGCGGUGCCUCUUCGAUUUUGGAGCAAGCAAUCUUGUUGGGAGUGUUUUUUCGAAUGUGAGUAAAGGUUGGGCAUGUUUGCUAGUCUACCUUGCCACGAAGCACAGAGGUUGACACACAGGGACUUUCCAAUUAUCCAGCAAUGGUACUGUUCCUUUACCCUCUCUUCGAUUUUGAGAAACUAGUCAUGUUGGAAGUCUGGCUCUCGAGAUUUGGAGGACGGUGCCUCUUCGAUUUUGGAGCAAGCAAUCUUGUUGGGAGUGUUUUCUCGAAUGUGAGUAAAGGUUGGGCAUGUUUGCUAGUCUACCUUGCCACGAAGCACAUAGGUUGACACACAGGGACUUUCCAAUUAUCCAACAGUGGUACUGUUCCUUUACCCUUGUGGGUAAUAAUAUGGUAGCUAGACCUUCAAAAUUUAUGUGUCUAAACUUUGUUAGUGCUGUUUCUUUACUAUUCUUUUACCUUUCUUGGUCAGAGCGAUGUAGUGGGAGCUGCAGCUUCACGUGCUCAACUUUGGCAGAGAACUUUGGCAAAGUUAUCUGUGGUACCCAUGAGCUAUUGUUGCGUGUGGGAAGUGGGUGAUUGAACAGUAAGAUUUAUGUGCUUUCUACUUCACCAGAAGUCUUCGACAGAAUGCCCAUAAUUUCCGCAAAGCUGAGUGUGCAUGUGACAGGUGCUGACAAGGCUAGAAAAGUAAGGGCCUCUUCGAUUUCUGAGAUCGGCCCUCGUGGUCUCUGAGCAGCCCAGCUUUUGAGAAAGCGAGCGUCUCUUCGAUUGAUUCGGAGAACGAUGCCUCUUCGAUUUUUGAGAAAGCAAUCAUGCUGGGGGUCUGGCUCUCGAGAUUCGGGGAGCGGUGUCUCUUUGAUUUUUGAGAAAGUAAUCAUGUUGGGAGUCUGGCUCUCGAGAUUCGGAGGGCGGUGCCUUUUCGAUUUUAGAGCAAGCAAUCUUGUUGGGAGUGUUUUCUCGAAUGUGAGUAAAGGUUGGGCAUGUUUGCUAGUCUACCUUGCCACGAAGCACAGAGGUUGACACACAGGGACUUUCCAAUUAUCCAGCAAUGGUACUAUUCCUUUACCCUCUCUUUGAUUUUUGAGAAAGUAGUCAUGUUGGGAGUCUGGCUCUCGAGAUUCGGAGGACGGUGCCUCUUCGAUUUUGGAGCAAGCAAUCUGAUUGGGAGUGUUUUCUCGAAUGUGAGUAAAGGUUGGGCAUGUUUGCUAGUCUACCUUGCCACGAAGCACAGAGAUUGACACACAGGGACUUUCCAAUUAUCCAGCAGUGGUACUGUUCCUUUACCCUUGUGGGUAAUAAUAUGGUAGCUAGACCUUCAAAAUUUAUGGGUCUAAACUUUGUUAGUGCUGUUUCUUUGCUAUUCUUUUACCCUUCUUGGUCAGAGCGAUGUAGUGGGAGCUGCAAGCUUCACGUGCUCAACAUUGGUAGAGAACUUUGGCAAAGUUAUCUGUGGUAACAAUGAGCUAUUGUUGCGUGUGGGAAGUGGGUGAUUGAACAGUAAGAUUCAUGUGUUUUCUACUUCCCCAGAAGUCUUCGACAGAAUGCCCAUAAUUUCCGCAAAGCUGAGUGUGCGUGUGACAGGUGCUGACAAGGCUGGAAAAGUAGGUGCCUCUUCGAUUUCUGAGAUCGGCCCUCAUGUUCUCUGAGGAGCCCAGCUUUUGAGAAAGCGAGCGCCUCUCUAAGCAGCCCAGCUUUUAAGAAAGCAAACGCCUCUUCGAUUUCUGAGCAGGCGCCUCUUCGAUUUCUGAAGCUUCGUCGAGUGCAGAUUUUUAUAGGGGCUGGCAUUAAGUUCCAAAGCACACUUGAAUCUCCACCAGUAGAAGCUUCAUUCUUGCACUUCUAAGAUCUUGAUUUGUCCGACCUCUUCUCUCUUCAACACCUUUGAAAAUGUCUGGCCCCUCCGACCGUCGUUUUGACUUGAACCUUGUUGAAGAGGCAGCCCCGCCUUCUCCAGACAACAUAUGGCGCCCAUCUUUCGUCUCCCCUACUGGUCCUCUUACCGUUGGGGAUUCCGUAAUGAAGAAUGAUAUGACCGCUGCGGUGGUGGCCAGGAACCUUCUCACUCCCAAAGAUAACAGACUACUUUCCAAACGGUCUGAUGAGUUAGCUGUUAAGGAUUCGCUGGCUCUCAGUGUUCAGUGUGCAGGUUCUGUGUCUAAUAUGGCCCAACGCCUAUUUGCUCGAACCCGCCAAGUUGAAUCAUUGGCGGCUGAAGUGAUGAGUCUGAAACAGGAGAUUAGAGGGCUCAAGCAUGAGAAUAAACAGUUGCACCGGCUCGCACAUGACUAUGCUACAAACAUGAAGAGGAAGCUUGACCAGAUGAAGGAAACUGAUGGUCAGGUUUUACUUGAUCAUCAGAGAUUUGUGGGUUUGUUCCAAAGGCAUUUAUUGCCUUCGUCUUCUAGGGCUGUACCGCGUAAUAAAGCUCCAAAUGAUCAACCUCUGAUGCCUCAUCCUUCUAGGGUUCUGUCCAGUACUGGGGCUCCGAAUGAUCCCCCUCCGGUGCCUUCUCUUUCUGGGGCUCUACCGACUGCUGAGACUUCUCCUAAGCAACCUUUGUGAAGGCUCCUUCUAGUUUGUUUAUUUUGACUCAUGUAUAUGUACAUAUUUGUAGCUUAUCGGGGAUAUCAAUAAAUAAGCUUUCCUGCAUUUCAACAUAUUGUGUUAAAUACACCAAAGCCUUCUUCGCUAAGUUCUUUGAAUUUUCUUUUGUUGAAGCUUGUAUGUUGAAGCUUUCUGAGUGGAGCAUGUAGGUUGGGGCAAUGUUCCCUUAAUUUCCCGAGUGAGGAAAACUUCUCGGUUGGAGACUUGGAAAAUCCAAGUCACUGAGUGGGAUCGGCUAUAUGAAUCUUAGAACGCCAUUGUGCUCGGUCCUGUGUCAUGUCCUUUGUUAGAUCCAAGUACUCUAAGUCUUUUCUUAGAGUCUCUUCCAAAGUUUUCCUAGGUCUUCCUCUACCCCUUCGGCCCUGAACCUCUGUCCCAUAGUCGCAUCUUCUAAUCGGAGCGUCAGUAGGCCUUCUUUGCACAUGUCCAAACCACCGUAACCGAUUUUCUCUCAUCUUUUCGUCAAUUUCGGCUACUCCUACUUUACCCCGGAUAUCCUCAUUCCUAAUCUUAUCCUUUCUCGUGUGCCCACACAUCCAACGAAGCAUCCUCAUCUCCGCUACACCCAUUUUGUGUACGUGUUGAUGCUUCACCGCCCAACAUUCUGUGCCAUACAGCAUCGCCGGCCUUAUUGUCGUCCUAUAAAAUUUUCCCUUGAGCUUCAGUGGCAUACGGCGAUCACACAACACGCCGGAUGCACUCUUCCACUUCAUCCAUCCAGCUUGUAUUCUAUGGUUGAGAUCUCCAUCUAAUUCUCCGUUCUUUUGCAAGAUAGAUCAUAGGUAACGAAAACGAUCGCUCUUUGGUAGUUCUUGAUCUCCGAUCCUCACCCCUAACUCGUUUUGGCCUCCAUUUGCACUGAACUUGCACUCCAUAUAUUCUGUCUUUGAUCGGCUUAGGCGAAGACCUUUAGAUUCCAACACUUCUCUCCAAAGGUUAAGCUUUGCAUUUACCCCUUCCUGAGUUUCAUCUAUCAACACUAUAUCGUCUGCGAAAAGCAUACACCAAGGAAUAUCAUCUUGAAUAUGUCAUGUUAACUCAUCCAUUACCAACGCAAAAAGGUAAGGACUUAAGGAUGAGCCUUGAUGUAAUCCUACAGUUAUGGGAAAGCUUUCGGUUUGUCCUUCAUGAGUUCUUACGGCAGUCUUUGCUCCUUCAUACAUAUCCUUUAUAGCUUGGAUAUAUGCUACUCGUACUCCUUUCUUCUCUAAAAUCCUCCAAAGAAUGUCUCUUGGGAUCCUAUCAUACGUUUUUUCCAAAUCUAUAAAGACCAUGUGUAAAUCCUUUUUCCCAUCUUUAUAUCUUUCCAUCAAUCUUCGUAAGAGAUAGAUUGCCUCCAUGGUUGAGCGUCCUGGCAUGAACCCGAAUUGGUUGUCCGAAACCCGUGUCUCUUGCCUCAAUCUAUGCUCAAUGACUCUCUCCCAGAGCUUCAUUGUAUGACUCAUUAGCUUAAUACCCCUAUAGUUCAUGCAAUUUUGUACGUCGCCCUUAUUCUUGUAGAUAGGCACACCAAAGUGCUCGUUCGCCACUCAUUUGGCAUCUUCUUCGUUUUCAAAAUCCUAUUGAAAAGGUCAGUGAGCCAUGUUAUACCUGUCUCUCUCCCAAAACUUUCCACACUUCGAUUGGUAUAUCGUCUGGGCCUAUUGCUUUUCUAUGCUUCAUCUUCUUCAAAGCUACAACCACUUCUUCCUUCCGGAUUCGACGAUAAAAAGAGUAGUUUCUACACUCUUCUGAGUUACUCAACUCCCCUAAAGAAGCACUCCUUUCAUGUCCUUCAUUGAAAAGAUUAUGAAAAUAACCUCUCCAUCUGUCUUUAACUGCGUUCUCUGUAGCAAGAACCUUUCCAUCCUCAUCCUUGAUGCACCUCACUUGGUUUAGGUCUCUUGUCUUCUUUUCCCUUGCUCUAGCUAGUUUAUAGAUAUCCAACUCUCCUUCUUUGGUAUCUAGUCGUUUAUACAUAUCGUCGUAAGCCGCUAACUUAGCUUCUCUGACAGCUUUCUUCGCCUCUUGCUUCGCUUUUCUAUAUCUUUCACCAUUUUCAUCGGUCAUCUCCUUGUAUAGGCUUUACAACAUUCCUUCUUAGCCUUCACCUUUGUUUGUACCUCCUCAUUCCACCACCAAGAUUCCUUUUGGUGUGGGGCAAAGCCCUUGGACUCUCCCUAAUACCUCUUUUGCUACUUUUCGGAUACAACUAGCCAUGGAAUCCCACAUUUGGCUAGCUUCCCCCUCUCUAUCCCACACACAUUGGGUGAUUACCUUCUCUUUGAAAAUGGCUUGUUUUUCUUCUUUUAGAUUCCACCAUCUAGUCCUUGGGCACUUCCAAGUCUUGUUCUUUUGUCUCACUCUUUUGAUAUGUACAUCCAUCACCAACAAGCGAUGUUGAUUAGCCACGCUCUCUCCUGGUAUAAAGUUUGCAAUCCUUACAAGUUAUACGAUCCCCUUUCCUCAUUAGAAGAAAAUCUAUUUGUGUUUUUGACGACCCACUCUUGUAGGUGAUCACAUGUUCUUCUCUCUUCUUAAAGAAGGUGUUAGCUAAGAAAGAGAUCAUAUGCCAUUGCAAAAAUCCAAGAUAGCUUCCCCAUCCUCGUUUCUCUCCCCAAAACCAUGGCCACCAUGAAAACCUCCAUAGUUGCCUGUCUCCCUGCCCACGUGUCCAUUUAAAUCUCCUCCUAUAAAUAACUUCUCCGUCUGAGCAAUUCCUUGCACCAAGUCUCCAAGGUCUUCCCAAAAUUUCUCCUUCGAACUCGUAUCCAACCCUACUUGAGGUGCGUACGCACUAAUCACAUUGAUAAGUUCUUGUCCUAUUACAAUCUUGAUUGCCAUGAUUCUAUCUCCUACCUUCUUGACAUCUACAACAUCUUGUGUCAAGGUCUUGUCCACGAUGAUGCCAACACCGUUUCUCGUUCUAUUUGUGCCCGAAUACCAAAGUUUAAACCCUGAGUUUUCUAGAUCCUUCGCCUUACGACCAACCCACUUAGUUUCUUGUAGGCACAUAAUAUUUAUCCUUCUCCUCACCAUAACUUCCACUACUUCCAUAGAUUUUCCCGUUAAGGUUCCUAUAUUCCACGUUCCUAAACGUAUUUUGCUCUCUUGAACUCUACCCUUCUGUCCUAGCUUCUUCACCCUUACAUUAGAAUAUGAUACUUCGGACUGCUGCUUUCGUAGGACUUGUUUGCUUUCCAAUUCAAAUUGUCUUCUCAGCUUCUCUAUCUACAACAAAAAUUAGAACUUAUACCAUUACAUGCAAUAUUUCUAGUUUAUAUCAUUAAGUGCAACACAUAUAUAAGAACACAUAUCUCAAUUGCACUGCAGUUGAUUAGGGAAAGCAGACAACGUAUAAAAGUCUCAUGAGUUUAUUAAACACUACGAGAUCAAAAAUAAAAUUCAAACUUUCUCACCUAUGACCAAGUAUAGUAGCUUCUGUGGCCUAACAAUUUUGAAAAGUAUAUCAAUAUAUUCAAAAAUAUUGAUGAACACCUCUUCAAAAUUUGCUGGUGGUAGAAGCUGAACACAGAAUGUAGAAAUUAUAUUAUGUAACCACAUAUAUGGAUAAAAAAAAUUCGGAUCAUAAAGAUAAAGAAAAUAUCAAAAAUUGUUACCUAGACAAUAAUCAAAAUAAAUAGUAUAUUAUAGAAUGUUUAUCUUAUUGCGAGUGAAGAAUACAUGUAUAUAUAUAUAUAUAUAGAGAGAGAGAGAGAGAGAGCGAGAGAGAGAGAGAGAGAGAGAGAGAUUAAGAGAAAGAGAUGAAUGAAUAAGGUCGUACUCCAUCAUCAUCGUCUAAAAAGAAAUCUAUUUACAGUUAAACUUUAAACCCAAAAUAUUUAAAAAAAAACCUUUAUGUUAUAAUUCUAGUUGAACUUUAAAUGUUUAUUUUCAUUAUCUUUAAGUCUAGUUGGAAUAUUUAUGUUAUGAUUGUGUUGGAUAUGUUAAAAUUUAAGAUUUCAAAUUUUUUCAUUUUUUGAAAAAAAAACCGAAACCGAACCGAAACCGAACCGAAAAAAAACUGAACCGAAAAAAACCGAAAAAAAUUGAACCGAACCAAAAUUUCGGUUUAGUUUCGGUUUUGGCAAAAAACCGAACCGAUUUGAACCGAACCCACCCCUACCUGGGAUACACAACUAUCAAUAUAGUAGUCUUGCUUCAAGGCCAUCAACUUAUCCCCAAAUCUACAUCCUUCCUUGGCAGGAAAAUUUUUCCCUUAUAAUUUAGAGGCGUUCACCAAAAUGAUCUUCUAAAACGUCGACAAGUCGACAAAACUGCCCAAAACUUAGGAAAAACUAACACAUUUUUCUUAUUCGACGAGGUGGACGAGGUGGCAAGAUUCGGAAAUUAGGUUCAAGAAUAAAAAAUGCUCACAUCACGCGUGUGAUGAAUGCAAUACUGCCCAACUUAUGCUCUCAUACCAGAUUGUCACAUCCCGGCCUGGGCCCCCACCACAUCCCCGGCUCGACUCCGCCAUAGCACGAUAUUGUCUGCUUUAAGCCCCGAUCACGCCCUCACAGUUUUUUUCUAGGAACUGACACGAGAACUUCCCAGUGGGUCACCCAUCAUGGGAAUGCUCUCGCCCGAACUCGCUUAAUUUUGGAGUUCCAAUGGAAUCUGAAGCCAGUGAGCUUCCAAAAGGCCUCAUGCUAAGUAGAGAUAGGAAUACACAUAUAAGGCUUAAAGGAUCCAUUCCCCUAGGCGAUGUGGAUGUAACAAUUCACCCCCUUAGGGGCCCGAUGUAUUUAUCGGCACACCUCCAGCCAGGGAUUGGCUCUGAUACCCAACUAACACACCCUAACCCGGAAUGUCCACCAGGACUUCGAAUCGAGUUGUGCUGGCCGACACCUGGAAGGUGACGAAGCCAUAAAGUGUGAUGAUGUGGAAAAAUAUGAAUAAAUUUGAACCUAAGAGUGCCUAAAUACCAGAGUGCGCUGGUGAGCGAGAAUGAACCCACUUCACACGUGACGUUAGAGCAUAAGUAAGUAUAGUAGAGUAGAUAAGGAUUAUACCCUCAAAAGUAGCCACAGAUCCUGAGAUUUGUCAAGAAUCUUUGUCGAUAUGGACAUUCAGCAAUUAAAACCUAGAGGGGCGAAAAACCAUUUCACUAUCAAAAGUAAUAAUCCCUCGCCGUAAAGCCUGAAUAAUUUCCUAGAAAAUAGAAUACAUAUCUAUAUCCAAACCAUACUCAUGAAAUAAGUAAUCCAGGUGAAAUAAAUCCAUGAAAAGUAAUAUGUCAGCCGGAUCCACCUAUCGUGGCAUGUACGAUUAAACCUUUAGCUCAACUAAUAUCCAAGUAAUAUGUCAGCAUGCUCCACCUUUUGUGGCAUGUACGACUGAACCCAUAGCUCAUCACAUAUCCAAGUAAUAUGCCAGCCGGAUCCACCUUUUGUGGCCUAUACGACUAAACCUAUAACUCAACCAAUAUCCAAGUAAUAUGUCAGCCAGAUCCACCUUUUGUGGCCUAUACGACUAAACCUAUAGCUUAACCAAUAUCCAAGUAAUAUGUCAGCCAGAUCCACCUCUUACGGCCUGUACGGCUGAACCCAUAACUCAUCACAUAUCCAAGUAAUAUGUCAGCCGGAUCCACCUCUUGUGGAAUGUACGACUGGACCUAUAACUCAACCAAUAUCCAAGUAAUAUGUCAUCCAAAUCCACCUCUUGUGACCUGUAUGGCUGAACCCAUAGCUCAUCAUAUAUCCAAGAAAUAUGUCAGCCGGAUCCACCUCUUGUAGCCUGUACGGCUGAACCCAUAGCUCAUCACAUAUCCAAGUAAUAUGUCAGUCGGAUCCACCUCUUGUGGCCUGUACAACAGGACUGGGUGUAAAUAAGUACACUCAAGUGCUACGAUCACAUGAAGAUUGUACGAAUAAUCGCGGGUCACCUACGAGUCGGAACCACCUAUAAUGGUCUGUACGACAGGACUGUGCACCUACAUUGGAUCCAAGGUGAGCGUAAUGUGCGGGAGGUGAACAUCACGUGAAGGACUGUGCCCUGGCCAUGGGCGGGGGCACUAACAUCAGGGUGCAGGUUUAUGAGCUCUAACUGCAUCUAUUAUAACCUGUACGACUCAUGGACAGCCAGUACGACAGUGUCGAAGUUGCCUAUUAAUGCAACCUCUACGACAAGGUCGGAGUUGCCUAAAACAUACAUGUGGUCAUGCCAAAACUUCAUUAUUUCAACUAAUACCAUAAACUCACCUGAAGUUACUUGGGUCUCCUGCGUUCUCCUUUGCACUUCAAAGUGUUCACAAUAAUUAUGUGCAAGUAAUAUACAUAUGGAUAUACCAUGAUGUAAUCUAAUACUCAACCAUGUCAUAGCAUUUUCAAUUAUAUACAUAUAUAUUAGACUUGGCAAUUUUUGACACGACACGGUGACACGACACGAAAACGACACGAAAAUAACGGGUUUCGGGUCAACACGAUAACUUAUCGGGUCACUAUCGGGUGACCCGUUAAGAACCCAUUAAUAACGGGUUCUUAAAAGGUAUACACGCGGGUAACACGUGGGUAACCCGUUUCGACCCGUUAAGAAAAAAAAUAUUUUAAUAAUUUUAAAGUUUAAUUACUAAAAGAUUUAUUAUAAAAUACAAUAGUCAUAUUAAUAUAUACAAUAUAUUCUAUAUUAAAUAUAUAGUUUUGUAUUAUCGUUCUAUAUAAAUUAUAAAAAAAAUUAAAAAAAAAGUUUUUGUCAUUAUUUAUUUUUAUUAUGAGAGUUCCCUAUUAUCAUUACUAGGAUAAAUUUUACAUAACAUAUUCUUGUCCAAAAUGAAAAUAUACUAGUAUAGUAUUUGUAUAUGCAAGAACUAAGAAGACAUACAUACAAGUAUGAAAAAUGUGAAAGAAUAUAUAAACACUUGUGAUUUAUCAUUAUUCCUCUACGAAUAGAUAAUUGUUACACUUAUAUUAUUGUUUAGAUUUUUAAAAUCCUUCAAACCCUCAUGAAUAAUGUUUUUUAUUUGAGGGAAAAAUUAAUAAAAUUAAUAAUAAUUAUUGUAGAAGUGUAAAAAAUGUAAAAAUAUAUAUAUACAAUCACUCAUAUAUAUAAAAAAUGUAAAUGCUUUAAAUUAAAGAUCAAAUUUAUUCAUUACAUUCUUAUAGGGUCGAAGAGUGUAUAUGUACAAAAUCAUCAAAAUCGAAGCUAAAAUAACCGUUAAAUUGUAAUUUUUCGUUUAUAACCGUCGAAAACUUUUGUUCCGUUACGUAAUAUCUGAAUGUUUGUUUUUUACAAUUUUUUAAGUUUGCAAUCUCGGAAUGUGUACAAAUAAGUUUGACAGUUGGAUCGUUGAAAAAAGUUUCGUAGAAUGCAUAUUGCAUCAAAACGGUAUAUUAAACAAACACUUAGAGUUAAUAUUAUACUUCUAUUAAGUAUAAAAUAAGUUUUUGUGGUAUCCACUAGUGUAAAUACUUUAAAUUAAAGAUCAAAUUUAUUCAUUACAUUCUUAUAGGGUCGAGGAGUGUAUCUGUAAAAAAUCAUCAAAAUCGGAGUUAAAAUAACCGUUAAAUUGUGAUUUUUCGUUUAUAACCGUCGAAAACUUUUGUUCCAUGAGGUAAUCUCUGAAUGUUUGUUUUUUACGAUUUUUUACAUAUGCGAUCUUCGAAUGUGUACAAAUAAGUUUGACGGUUGGAUCGUUGAAAAGUUUUUUGUAGAAUCCAUAUUGCGUCAAAACGAUACAUUAAACAAACACUUGGAGUUAAUAUUAUACUUUUAUUAAGUAUAAAAUACGUUUUUGUGGUAUCCACUAGUGUAAAUACUUUAAAUUAAAGAUCAAAUUUAUUCAUUACAUUCUUAUAGGGUCGAGGAGUGUAUCUGUAAAAAAUCAUCAAAAUCGGAGCUAAAAUAAUAGUUAAAUUGUGAUUUUUCGUUUAUAAUCGUUCAAAAGUUUUGUUCCAUUACGUAAUCUCUGAAUGUUUGUUUUUUAUGAAUUUUUACAUAUGCGAUCUCGGAAUGUGUACAAAUAAGUUUGACGGUUGAAUCAUUGAAAAAAGUUUUGUAGAAUGCAUAUUGCGUCAAAAUAGUAGAUUAAACAAACACUUAGAGUUAAUAUUAUACUUCUAUUAAGUAUAAAAUAAGUUUUUGUGGUAUCCACUAGUGUAAAUACUUUAAAUUAAAUAUCAAAUUUAUUCAUUACAUUCUUAUAGGUCAAGGAGUCUAUCUGUAAAAAAUCAUCAAAAUCAGAGAUAAAAUAAUCGUUAAAUUGUGAUUUUUCGUUUAUAACCAUCGAAAACUUUUGUUCCAUUACGCAAUCUCUGAAUGUUUUUUUUUUUAAGAUUUUUUACGUAUGCGAUCUUGGAAUGUGUACAAAUAAGUUUGACGGUUUGAUCGUUGAAAAAAGUUUCAUAGAAUGCAUAAUGCGUCAAAACGGUAGAUUAAACAAACACUUAGAGUUAAUAUUAUACUUCUAUUAAGUAUAAAAUAAGUUUUUGUAGUAUCCACUAGUGUAAAUACUUUAAAUUAAAGAUCAAAUUUAUUCAUUACAUUCUUAUAGGAUCGAGGAGUGUAUCUAUAAAAAAUCAUCAAAAUCGGAGAUAAAAUAACCGUUAAAUUGUGAUUUUUCGUUUAUAACCGUCGAAAUGUUUUGUUCCAUUUCGUAAUCUCUGAAUGUUUGUUUUUUAUGAUUUUUUACGUAUGCGAUCUCAGAAUGUGUACAAAUAAGUUUGAUGGUUUGAUCAUUGAAAAACGUUUUGUAGAAUGCAUAUUGCGUCAAAACAGUAGAUUAAACGAACACUUAGAGUUAAUAUUAUACUUCUAUUAAGUAUAAAAUAUGUUUUUGUGGUAUCCACUAGUGUAAAUACUUUAAAUUAAAGAUCAAAUUUAUUCAUUACAUUCUUAUAGGGUCGAGGAGUGUAUCUGUAAAAAAAUCAUCAAAAUCGAAGAUAAAACAACUGUUAAAUUGUGAUUUUUCGUUUAUAACCGUCGAAAACUUUUGUUCCAUUACGUAAUCUCUGAAUGUUUGUUUUUUUACGAUUUUUUACAUAUGCGAUCUUGGAAUGUGUACAAAUAAGUUUGACGGUUGGAUCGUUGAAAAAGGUUUCGUAGAAUGCAUAUUGCGUCAAAACGGUAGAUUAAACAAACAUUUGGAGUUAAUAUUAUACUUUUAUUAAGUAUAAAAUAAGUUUUUGUGGUAUCCACUAAUGUAAAUACUUUAAAUUAAGGAUCAAAUUUAUUCAUUACAUUCUUAUAGGGUCGAGGAGUGUAUUUGUAAAAAAUCAUCAAAAUCGGAGAUAAAAUAACCAUUAAAUUGUGAUUUUUCAUUUAUAACCGUUGAAAACUUUUGUUCAGUUACGUAAUCUCUGAAUGUUUGUUUUUUAUGAUUUUUUACGUAUGCGAUCUCGGAAUGUGUACAAAUAAGUUUGACGGUUGGAUCAUUGAAAAACAUUUUGUAGAAUGCAUAUUGCGUCAAAACAGUAGAUUAAACAAACACUUAGAGUUAAUAUUAUACUUCUAUUAAGUAUAAAAUAAGUUUUUGUGGUAUCCACUAGUGUAAAUACUUUAAAUUAAAGAUCAAAUUUAUUCAUUACAUUCUUAUAGGUCGAGGAGUCUAUCUGUAAAAAAUCAUCAAAAUUGGAGAUAAAAUAACCGUUAAAUUGUGAUUUUUCGUUUAUAACCGUCGAAAACUUUUGUUCCAUUACGUAAUCUCUGAAUGUUUUUUUUUUACAAUUUUUUACGUAUGCGAUCUCGGAAUUUGUACAAAUAAGUUUUACGGUUGGAUCGUUGAAAAAAGUUUCGUAGAAUGCAUAUUGCGUCAAAACGGUAGAUUAAACAAACACUUAGAGUUAAUAUUAUACUUCUAUUAAGUAUAAAAUAAGUUUUUGUAGUAUCCACUAGUGUAAAUACUUUAAAUUAAAGAUCAAAUUUAUUCAUUACAUUCUUAUAGGCUCGAGGGGUGUAUUUGUAAAAAAUCAUCAAAAUUGGAGAUAAAAUAACCGUUAAAUUGUGAUUUUUCGUUUAUAACCGUCAAAAAGUUUUGUUCCAUUACGUAAUCUCUGAAUGUUUGUUUUUUAUGUUUUUUUACGUAUGCGAUCUCAGAAUGUGUACAAAUAAGUUUGAUGAUUGGAUCGUUGAAAAAAGUUUUGUAGAAUGCAUAUUGCGUCAAAACAGUAGAUUAAACAAACAUUUAGAGUUAAUAUUAUACUUCUAUUAAGUAUAAAAUAAGUUUUUGUGGUAUCCACUUGUGAAAAUACUUUAAAUUAAAGAUCAAAUUUAUUCAUUACAUUCUUAUAGGGUCGAGGAGUGUAUCUGUAAAAAAGCAUCAAAAUCGGAGAUAAAAUAACCGUUAAAUUGUGAUUUUUCGUUUAUAACCGUCAAAAACUUUUGUUCCAUUACGUAAUCUCUGAAUGUUUGUUGUUUACGAUUUUUUACGUAUGCGAUCUCGGAAUGUGUAAAAAUAUGUUUGACGCUUGGAUCGUUGAAAAAAGUUUCGUAUAAUGCAUAUUGCGUCAAAACGGUAGAUGAAACAAACACUUAGAGUUAAUAUUAUACUUCUAUUAAGUAUAAAAUAAGUUUUUGUGGUAUCUACUAUUGUAAAUACUUUAAAUUAAAGAUCAAAUUUAUUCAUUACAUUCUUAUAGGGUCGAGGAGUGUAUAUGUAAAAAUUCAUCAAAAUCGGAGCUAAAAUAACCGUUAAAUUGUGAUUUUUUGUUUAUAAUCGUCGAAAACUUUUGUUCCAUUACAUUAUCUCUGAAUGUUUGUUUUUUACGAUUUUUUACGUAUGCAAUCUUGGAAUGUGUACAAAUAAGUUUGACAGUUGGAUCAUUGAAAAAAGUUUUUGGACCGCCAGCAAUAGAUAAUUUUGUAGUAGUGAAACCUUAAUUUUAUUUAACCGUCGAUUGUUAUUUACACUUUAUUCUUCUUACUGAAUUUCAUUUUUAAAAUUUUAUUUUUUGAAAACAUGAUCAUCUGGCGGAUGUAAGAAGAUGAUAUCACGUUUCGAUAUUUACGGUUAACUGAAAUAUGAGUCAAUGUCAUAUAAUUUGAAAAAACUUUAUAAACAUCAAGGAAUAUUUUCACUAACCGUAAAACUCUAAAUAUAAUAUCAACGAUCCAAACCGUUCAUCUACCUGCACCUUCUAAUAGAUCAUGUUUUCAAAAAAGAAAAUAUAAAAAAACGAAAUUUGAUGAGAACAAUGAAGCAUAAAUGUAAACAACAAUCAACGGUUAAAUUUUGAUAUAUGAAUUAUAUGAUUAUAGUGGCGAAUUUCAAAGUUAAGCUCUUUAUGAAAGUUAUAAAACUUGUCAUUACGAGUGUUUAUAUAUUUUUUUCUAUAUUUUUUUACACUUCUACAUUAAUUAAAAAACUAUUAAAGACUUUAGGUAAGCAAAAAUAUACUUAAAACAAAAUUGUGUUUUUAUGUUUUGUAUGUGAUAAUAUGGAAUGUAUAUACUUAUUUAGUAUUAUGUUUUUCAUUUGAUUAUUUAUUGGUUUAAAAUAUAAUUUCCUUAGUGGGUAACGGGUCGGGUCAUAUUACCUGUUAAUAUUAUCGGGUCGAUUUCGGGUCGGGUCAUUUUACCCGUUUAUUUUAACGGGUGUUACACGACACGACCCAUUAAGAUAUCAGGUAUAACACGAAAACGACACGAACACGGAAAACACAACACGAAUGCCAAGUCUAAUAUAUAUGUAUAAUAUGGCAUAAAAUGCAUAAGCUGUAACGCCCUACUCUCGAACUAUUUAUUUUCGGGAAUAAUUAUCGGUAAUAAGCCCAGUUAGACACUAGUUUAAUUAACUAUCAUUACUUACGUUUCCUUACUUCAAUUUCUUGAUUCUUCACACAUUGAUUUAUGAACAACAUUUAACCACCAAAUCAUAAGGUUAAAUCUAUCAUUUUCCACCAAUCUCCUUCACAUUGCUCAAUUCCCCAAACAAGGCUAUUGUCUCAAUUAUUUAGUCUCAUUUAUUGUACGGCUGCAUCUAACAUCUCGUUAGAUUGCCUACGUACCCUAAACAAGGAUCAAGCCAUUCGUAGUUCACACUAGUACUUCAAAGCAUUCACAGUAAUUAUAUGUAGGUAAUAUGCAUAAAUCAAUUUAAAAACGCUUGUGGAAUUAUCAAUCAUAUAUAUAUAAUAUACACGAUAGAAAGAAAAAGACCCACUCACCUGAGGUCCGCACUACGACUCCCUAGCAUGCAUAUCGAGACAUCACGAACCAAUGUCGCCUAGAACAAUUAUCAAAUCAUGUCUCAGAGUUCUUACUGAUAGAAUACAUAAUUUACUGAAAAAACACAUCCCUACGUAAUUCACUCCGGAAGAUCUGCAUCACAGAUUUCUGAUCCGUUACUUCCAAAGAUUCACAUUAUGUUCCUAGAACCACCUCCUAAUAUUUCAUUAUGAUCCAAUGGUCGGAUCUCUGCCAAUUGCCAAAACUAAGUGGCGGUCAACAUUUUAUUUUAUGAACUUACAAAUCCAAUUCGGGAAGAUCCGUACUUCGGAUUCCCGAUUCGUAAGUUUCUAUGGUCCUCAAAUAUUAUGUACUAUAAUGUAUUAAAGUUUGGUGGCAAUCCAACGGUCGGAUCGUCGAUUCACACUUUUACCAAAUAACGUGACAUUGAGAAUUUAGGUUCCAACCAUCAACCUAAGUCAUACAGUUACCAAGAUUGAAAUCAAGGCAUCUAAUUUAUCCUAAGAAUGACAUCGAUGGCCCCCUAGCCACGCGCCGCCAUGGGUGGCGAUCGGCCACCCUAACUCGCUGGAAAAUCCAACUAUUUCUAAAAAUUACCAAAUUUUACAGAAAUGAAGAUCUCAAUAAGUAGAACAAGUUUUAUACCUGUGGCUAAGUCCAAUUUAGUCGGGAAAUGCUCCAAUUUCACUCAAACCCGCCGGAAACCCUAAGAUGGGUGUUCUUCGAUUCGACUUCCUCAAUGUUCCAACACCCCUACAACUGCUUGGGUCUUGUUCCUAAGUCCAAGAGGAGUUGAUUAAGGGUGGUGGUGGGUGGUGAAACUCGUUGGAUCGAAGGAAUCACCGUCGAACACCUUUGGUGCUCCGGUGAUGUUCUCUGCAUUUUUGGGCCUAAAACUCUUCAAUCUUGAGCAAAGAUGGAAGAAGAAAGAUUGGGGAAGAUGUUGCAGGUGGUGGAUAUGGUGUUCCACGAAACAAAAUGGCAGAAAUUGGCCAGAUUUUGACCGGUUUGGGUGUGUGGGUGCACUGCCCUACGGCAAGGUUUCUUUUUUUUUUUUUCCUUCUCCUUCCUGAUUGGUUCUCCUUUUCCUCUCUUAAAAUUGAUUGAUUACCACUCCCACAUGGUGGGAGUUUGAUUAAUUUAUAACUAAACUUUUAAUAACCAAUUUCAAAUGUCUGUAACUAUACCGAUAUAAUCCGGACUCACAAACGGCUUUCGCCUAUGCGUUCGUACCAACGAGUACUACACAAAUGCGCUAAGUGAAUAAGUCAUACGUUUCUCUACACGUUGGUCAAUGAAAGUCAAAACCUUCACCUCUAGGGUAUUUUUAUAAAUUCAUUCUUUUAAAAUUUAUAAAAUCGUAGAACUAGGGACGAGUUGUCACAAUCAAGUACCAUAUUCAAGAUGAACCGUUCAUUUAUUUGAUAUGUUUGAAUGGAUUAAACAAUUUUUUAUUCGAUUGAUUUUUGCACGAAUGAUCUUCAAAUGAUAUUAAGAAAUUGAACGCUGUUGAUCAUUGAGUUUAUAUACUUAAGACACGUCAUUUGCAAAUGGGGAAGACGAAUCAAAGAUCUAUCCAAAAGCCAGUUGAACAGAUGUACAGUCAAACGUCUAGAGGUUAAUUAUACUGUUAAUUUCCAAUAAUCAUAAUAUAAGAUCAUCACAAACUAUCUUUAUUAAACUCAUUGGCAUGGCAUGCAAUCAGUUAGCAUGUUAAGGUAACCACCAGCUAUGACACUACACUUGAACUUGAUACAGAUCGAACAAUCCAGAAACUUACUAUACAAAUGAGAAUUUUACAAUCUUGUCGGCCAACUUCUGUCCCUCGAUUCGUUAUUUUCUUUAGUUAUCCAAACCGUGCAAGAAAAGCAAUACGAAAACACGUACGCAGACUAAUGCGGGGAUUUCAGAAAUAUAAGAGUGUACAAGCUUCCAUAUGCUGCACGAAACCUAUGCAGUGGUGUCAAGGAACGGAUAAUCAGCGUAGCCAAUAACCAAUUCAGGCACGUAGAAUGUGUUUCUGUUGUACUUGUGCAGAGGAGAAUUUAGCUCAAACCUCUUCCGCAAGUCUGGCUUAGCCAGGAACCAUCAACCAUAAGCAAUAAGAUCUGCACGGCCCUCAGCCACAGCAUUGUUCCCAUCUUCCCUGUCAUAACCACUAGCAGCAAUGAAGGUACCAUUAAAAGCCUUUCUCAUGGGUACAAAGACUCUGGGGGCUAUCACAUUUUUCUCCAGCUGUCUUCAUCCUAGGCUCAACCAUAUGGCAGUACGGGAUCCCAUAUUUGUUCAACAAAUUGGCCAGAUAAAGGCCCAACGCUUUCGGAUCUGAAUCCCCUGAUUCCAUAUAGCUGGCAAAUGGAGAUAAUCUAAUUCCAACUUUAUCCGCUCCUAUCUCAUUAACAACAGCUUCAACGACUUCCAGAGCAAAUCGACAACGAUUAUCCAAUGAUCCCCCAUAUUAGUCUGAUCGAUCAUUCACUUGAUCUUUUAGAAACUGAUCAAUAAGGUGUCCAUGGGCCCCAUGAAUUUAUACUCCAUCAAAGCCUUUAUAUCAGACAAAUAAUUUCAGUGCACCAAAUAUUAUUUGUAAUCUAGCAUGAAUCACACAUCUAGUUAAACUGCAAUUAACGCCCUUAACUACAUUUAUAAGAUUAGAGAUGGUUUGUUUACUUCUGUUGAAAGUAAUUUUGAGUUCUCGCCAAUGUUUUAAAAGGCUCACCUCAGGGCGGGUAUAGACGCCCUAUGAGGCUGGACUUGAGGAUUGCCGCCUAGGUGGCAGAAGGCGUGCCUCAGGGCUUUUUUUUUUUUUUAAUAAGUCCCAAACCUUUUGGAUAGGGUAUUAACUGUCUCAUACCUCUUCCUUGCACUAUCGUCUCUCUGCCUUUUUUUCUGAUUUUUAUUUUUUAUAUAAUGGAUGUAUGUGUUGUCUACAUGCAUUGUUAUAUGUGUGCUCAUUGUGUUUUUUAUCCUCAAUUAUUGUUCGAGCCCAAAAAUAUUGGUUUGGGCCGAGUUUAGAAUUGUUCUCGGCCCAGUAUUGGUUGGGCUGAGUUUAGAAUUGUUCUCGGCCCAGAGGUCGUGUUUAGGUGUCGUUGGGGGUUAUCCAACUCAUGGGCCGCGCAGUCGAAGCUGGCCAUAUCUCGUCAAGAACCUGUGGGAUAUGGGUGAGUUCUAUUACGAGAAGGAGUUUCGACAUGAUAAGGAUGUUAGAGUUUGAGAUUGAAUGCGGCCUGAUAACGAGUAAGUUCAAAGUCCUAGUAGGAGUAGGACUGGCUGAGAUAAGGUUGGAUCGGGGAAAGGAAUUCUAAUCCAAGAAUGAUUGGGAUUCAAUACAGGUUGGCUACUAUAAAUAAGGAGGGAGGACAUCGAACAAAGCCCCUCCAAUUCAACACACAAAUUGCCCUACGCAAACCCUUACUCUACUCAAAACCUCUCAACAAUCUUGAGAUUUUUGUUUUCCUUUUUCGCCAACACAUCUUCAGUUUGGAUAAACAGCACUGUGAAGGCAACCGACGAACAUCUUCAGUUUGGAUAAACAGCACUGUUGCCGUAGAAUCAGCCGACUGUGAAACACCUUCAGUUUGGAUAAAUAGCACUGCGACCUGGCCAACUGGUUAUCUAUCCAAGUCUCGGUCGAGAAAGAUUUUUGAAUCCUUAUUGGCAGAGGUUAUCUCGUUAGCCUUCUCGGCGAAGUGAGGUGUUACAAGUUACCAUACUCAGCAUACUGAACGUCGAGUUGUUUAUGAUUGGGUAUUUACAAGUAGGUUUUAGAGUUCGGCAUUCUGACGGCCAAACCACUUUCACAAUCAAGACGUACAUUUGUUUUGAGUACUUGUGCCCAUAUAGUCUGGUGUCGAUUCGGCGUGUUUAUACUUUAACAAAUAUAAUCACCAUGACCGAAUCCGGCACCGAUGAUUUAUGAACUUCGCAGAACUAGUAGCCUUGUCUUCAGGCUCUAGAACCCGAAGGCCGAGAGUGGUCCUUCCUCAGCCACAGUUGCAAGAUCAAAAAGUCAGUCGCGCGCUCAAUGCAACAUCACCAUAUUUUACUCCUCGACCAAGCUCGGCCGACAAGUUGGCAUGCCCUGCAUACAAUUGAAGGACGUAGUUAGCUUGUUAAUUACUCGGCCUGCAUGCCACGUAGGCAUAGUAGUUUUUUGGGUCAACAUUUUGGCAAAACCGGUGGGACCCAGUGCUAAAACUACGAAGUUCAUGACCAUCGAGACACGAUCGGUAAAAAAGAAAACAACCAUGGGAAAAUCAGCGACCAAUCUGCCGAUUCAGAGUCCUGGACAAGAGGUGUCACAUGCGUGAAAUCCUAUUGUCGCUGUGACCCCUGAGGCUGCAAGUGUAACACACCAAGAAAAGGAAGUGUGCCUCGGUACCUAGCCUCGAAAUGCAUAAGUACCCAACCGAACCGCAGGCGUUUUCAUUGAAAGAAUAGUGGAUGACUGCGACGAAGAAGAUGGCGAAGGCUUUGACCCUCCGACUAGGUCGUUUCUUCGAAGAUGACUUGAUAAGCAAUCUCGACAAGUUGAACAGACAGUUGGUCAAAAAAUGAACAGUUUGCUCGAAGUGAUAUGAAGCAAUAGUGAGACCCACACCAGAUUACUCGAACUAUUAGUUAGCAAAGUCUUCGAAUGAGGAUCGGUUGAUCAGGCUCAGCCCAAAAGUAGUGUCUACUCGGUCCAAAACGAUUGACUUAGAAAAAAAUGGAGGAUCAAGUAGUAGGUCAGAUGGAUCCGACCAGAGAGUGGAAGCAACAUCCGUCGAUGUGACCGAGAUCCAACGAAUGAUCGAUUCAGCCAUGAAAAAAAGGCCGAAGUUCCCGAAAUUCAUGCACCCAUAUCCAGCUUAUGUGGAAAAGUUCAAAUAUCCUAAAGGUUUCGAGAUUCCAGAUUUCAACCUUUUUGUUGGAGAAUCAUCCUUAUCCACGUUAUAACACGUGGCUCGUUUCACUGCGCAAUGUGGAGAUGUCAAUAGUGAUUUUCAUAAACUACCGUUGUUCAACUUUUCGUUGAUAGGCUCAACAUUCGCAUGGUAUAUCAACCUCCCAUCUAAUUCUAUCCAAAGCUGGAAGGAGUUGGUCGAGAAAUUUCACGAACAGUUUUAUCGCCCGGGGAUGGAAAUGUCAAUUUCUUCAUUGGCUAGGAUGGCUCAAGCAUCUGAUGAGUCACCAAUGGAUUAUCUUACAAGAUUUAAAUCGGCCAGGAAUUGGUGCCGAGUACCUCUUCCCGAAGUCGAAUUUGUUAAGCUUGCCCUGAAUGGGCUCAACGUUGAGUACAAAAAGAAAUUCUUGGGGGCAAACUUUCGGGAUAUGUAUGAAUUAGCCCAGCAUGUCGAGCAAUAUGAUUAUUUGCUCCAAGAAGAAAAGAUCUCGAAAUCCCCAUCCCAAGGAACGAUUUACAAAAAUCUUACGAUCAACUACGUAUCGACCGAAUGCGAAGAUUCCCAAUACGUCAGUGUGGAUGCGACCGAGAUAGUAAUAGAUAAACCAUAUGUUUGCAAGGCAUUGACUCAACUUAAUUCCAAGGAUGCCAAAACCCGCUCGGCCACUGAGGAGACGGCGAAAACAUCGAAAGUUUACACUUUUGAUAUCACAAAGGCAGAGGCAAUUUUCGAUCAAUUGUUAUUAGCAAAGAUCAUCAAACUUCGGCCAUGACAUAACAUUCCCAAAGCCAAAAAGCUUAAAGGAAAGACGUAUUGCAAGUAUCAUAAUUCGACCAAGCACAAACAACUGUGUCGUAUUCCGUGAUGAUAUCCAGAGCUGGAGUGAUGAAGGCAAGCUAAAGUUUCCCGAAAAACGGAUGACGGUCGACGUUGAUCCAUUCCCUUCGGCAACAGUCAACAUGGUAGACGCCCGUUUACCCAAGAGCAAAGGGAAAGGGAUGGCUAAGUUUGUCCCAGUACAACACGUCCCAAAGAAACAUUCCCAGUCACGACUCAAGAUCAACCUAUUUUCCAUUGAACCACCUACCAAGUUUUUAGGACCAGCUAUAGUUGAAUCCAUGUCAGAUUCCAGUGUAGAAGAAAGUGAUGGGCCGAUAAACAGUCAAGAGAGUGUCCUCAUUUUUUUUAAAAAACGGGGAUCCAUCUUGUUAAGGGAUUCCUUUGCGUAUGUACCUUGGUGUAGUUUCGAUCCUCGCAGAUUCGCUUCCUCCUAAACCCAAAACCACUUAGACUUUCUUAACUUUCUUAACUUUUGAAAUCUACUACAUAUGUUACCUUCCAUCUUUUUUUCUGUAAAAACAUGUUGCCACUCACGUGGAGGGAUAUUUUUCCGUCAAUCCACUUCCUAGAGCUCACUGCAAUCAAUUUGCACAAAGACAAAAUACAUUUUUUUUAGUAGCGUUAGAGUCGGGUCACGAAGAGACGGGUUUGAUUUUGACAAGGGUUGUUGAAGAAUUGAAGUGAAAAUGAUUGUUGGCAUCUACAUUUGUAGAAUUUGGUAGAUGGUGGCUGCUUGUGUUUUUAUUUGGGGGGGGGGGGGGGGGGUUUUGGUUCUUUAUUACUUAGACUGACUAAAAAUUCAAAUUAUUUAUUGUUUAACAUUGUAGUAUGUGUUUUGUGUCAGUUUUGUUGUGUUGGUGUAUAGGAUAAUUUGCUAAAGACAAUAGUCUUAGUCUAUUAGGUCCUUAUGCACAUUCAUUGUUUUAAAAAUCUCUGCCUAGCAUAGCACUGUCUAGGCGUUAGGAGGCUGACCACCAUUCUGAUUAAUUAAUAAAUAGCGCCUAGACUGCUUAGGCACCCGUCUAGGUCGCAACUCUUAUUUAGAUAGAAAAUAGAUAACUUUCAUUUUACAUUUUAUUUGUUUCAGUAUAUUGUAAGAGACUUAUUGGAUACUGAGAUGGACAUACAUUAUAUGUUUAUUCCUCAUGUUUUCAUUAUGUUCUAAUACUUUAUAAUUUAUGUCAUUCUAUUUUAUAAUUUAUGUAUUUCAGUGAAAUUAUCUAUUUUUUAAGUAUAAGCAGAUACUUAUUUAUACGAUAUAUCGUAGAUACUUAUUUAUACGAUAUAUCGUAAAUUUUAUUCACAUCCGCCUAGGCCCCCGCCUAGGUGCUAGACCACAGCCAUUGCCUGACUACUGCUAAACCUCAGCCCGCCAUCCGACUAACACCUGGCGUCUAUUAGAAUCUUGUGCAGAAUUUCAUGACCCCCAUUAUUUAGUUUAGCUUCACUCUUGGAGGUUAAAGUGAAAGCAUGCCUUAAAUAACCAAAAAGAGAUUUAUGCAAUUUCAACAUUGAUUGUAAUAGAGGAGCAGUUAGCAUCAUGCUAAUGUUGGAGUAGAAGAGAUUUGUAACAGAGAAAGCUCAACCAAAUAUCUUACAAAGUAAUUUGGUGGAUGUGGAUGUGCGAGAACAUGAAGCAUAGAAAAGAUUGACGAAGCUGAUGAUGUACGUAGAUUACGCGCAGAAUGUAGAAGAACCAGAGAGCCUGAUGGGUACAACUUGGAAGAACUUAGAAGCCUAUAUGGGAACUCAUCUAGUGAUGAAGAACCGGAUUCAAUGAGAAGGAAUAGGAGGAAGAAGAAACGACCUAAGUUUAAACAUCAUAGAAAAGAAACUGAUGUCAGUACCAUAGAGUUUGAUUUGGGGAUGUCUUUUCUUGUUAGACUAAACAUAAAAACCAAGUUCAUGUAACAUGAAUCACAGCCAUCCAAAAACAAACUGUAGUUCAUAACUAUUGUACAGAGUAGAAAUCUGCAGAUGCACCAGAAGAAGAAGCCAUAGUCAAUCUCAACAGCAAAACUAGUAAACCUUCUCCUCUUUCUAGAUUCAAAAUGCUCAAACUAAUAAUAGGUCUUAGUCCAAGACAGAGCGUAAUAUCUGACGAAUUACCAAUUCUCCAGACUCAUGCUCAUAUUCUUACAUUUCCAAGUUCCAAGGAAUUCAACGAAGCUGUAAAUAGACACUUUUAUAAUAUGCAGGUCUUACAAGUUAACCACAAAUGGUUGGUACAAGGUUAAGGCUCAAAUUCAUGCCCUUGGCAAGUUAUGCUUCUAAUGACCAAUCUGAUAGACAUUCUCCUUUAUAUGUAAAAACAUUUGUUCCAAAUCACACUUGUGGAAAAGAUGAAAACAAUACAAGUGUGACCAGUACUUGGUUGGCUGAUGAUAUGAAGAUCAAUCCCUUUUUCUUUUUUCUUUUUUUUUUUUUGAAUAAAGGACGGCAUAUAUAUAUGCAAAUCAAUCCUAAAAUGGAUGUUAAGACAAUGAAAGCUACAAUGAGGGAUUAUCCAUUCUAAUCCCUCUCCAAAUGAUAGGAUUGUGAGGGAUAAGUUUGUUUCAUUCCAAUCUAAACCUAGAGACGAAACGCGGCCAGAUAUUACAAAGACAAAGAUUCUAAAACAGCCUUCACUCAGAGAAUAAAAAAAGCCAUGCAGUGAGAACAUUUAAGGGAAACGAGUUGAUCCUCAAUAAAUGCCUCAAUAGAAUGACGUAUCUUUGUUAAAGCAUCUGCCACAAAAUUAGCUUCAUCUAAAACAUGAUAGAAGCUGAUAUGAUCAAGCAUCCCAUGUUUGCUGAAAAGAUGAAAGAAGGAUCUUUCCAAGUUUAGGAAGGUGGGAGUUGCCAAAGAGAAACCGAUUUGAGCCGCAUCUGCUCCAAAUAUCUCAGGCAAACGGUCAGCUGACAAAAUGCGGUCAAUGGCUUCAACAUCUUGAGAAUAAAAGGCACAACUAGGAUCAAUUGGUUGUACUUAGGGAUAAGAAUUGAGUUUCCUCUUUCACAAAUGUUACUUAUUCAUUCCGGCCAUUAUACGGUCAACAUUGAACAGAAAGUAUAACUUUUCCGGCCUCUAAGUCCGGAACCCUCCCAAACAUUGGACAUUACAAUACUAGAUAAUGCAAUAAGAUACAACAGUACAAUACAAUAUAGUUGAAAACAACCCAUCUAAGAUAGUACAGACUCAAUUGGAUGAAUCAAAGGAACCCUAGUGUUCAAGCUUCCAUCUUUGCGGUAAACUUAAGUGGUGGCUUCAAGAAAUGGAUAAUCAGUGUAGCCAAUCACGGGAUCAGGUAUGUAGAAUGUCUCUCUGUUGUACUUGUUUAGAGGAGCAUUAAGUUCAAAUCUCUUUGGCAAAUCCGGAUUCGCCAAGAAAAUACGGCCAUAAGCAAUAAGAUCUGCACGGCCCUCCGCCACAGCACUGUUUCCAUCUUCCCUGUCAUAACCACCACCAGCAAUGAAG